UGACAUUAGAACUAUGCUAAGUUAUGCAUCGGUAUCAAAGGAAGGGGUCAUAUGUGGACUCACUGCAGCAAUACGAGAAUAGAGAGAGAGGGACUAGUCCUAUCAAAGACUAGCAUCUUCAGGGGUCUUGCAGCAAUAGACGAGAGUAGAGCAAGUAACACAGAUAUAUAGUCAUACUGUUGCAGUAAUAUUAAUUAUAGUCACGCCCGGAGAUCCUCCCUCGACUCCCUGUGAGGAAGCAAUCCUUUAGCAAACAUUCCAGUUAAGUAACAGUUGUAGUUGUAUAAGAUCAGGGUGCAACUCCAAAUCGUCCUGUAACUAUGGACACGGCUAUUCGAAUAGUUAAUUUUCUUCCCUGCAGGGGUGCACCAAGUUUCCCGCCACAAUUGAUAAACUCUGGUCGGACACACUUUCCUGGGUCAUGCCUGGCCUCGGCACAUCAACACGUCGCAACCCCACCUAAGCUCAACAGAGAGGCCAGCCUGCUGGUCUAAAUCCUAAGCGCGCAGGGGUCAUGGGCCCAUCACCCUUUGCGCUCCUGCACAAUGCAAGGGCGGGCGAUGUCAAUCUUGUCACUUCUUAUACACGAACGAUGAUUAUCCAUGCCACUCGGGCGCGCGCCGCUCCAUUGCUGAGGUCUGAAGAGCUUCGGCUGAUACCACGAUGUCGAGAACCCAUAACUCCUCACAUGUAGACGGUUAGUGCACAAAAGGUCUCCAACCAACCCAGAUCAAAUACCCAAAUCCUUAGCAUUUUAAUUAUUCAUCGACACAUCCACGCGGGUAUCCACCCGCCAAACAUCAUUCAUCAAUGUUCCCAGUAGCACGGUCAAGUAACUGUGUGGUUGUAACAUUAGAGGGAUCGGAGGUAUCACCCUCUACGGAUUCCGAAUGAUGUAACUGUCAAGGUGGGCAGGAAGGAAUCACCCAGGCUGGGCCAGGUUGAUGGGUUGUACGACAGAGUCGUUAUCAGAGGUGGUGAACGAGGAAUCACCCUCUCAGAACCACCGCCGGUUAAUUACACUACAGAGCUAACAUCAGGAGUACGUAUCGAGGUGUCAUCCUCGGUACUCGAUAGUAGCCUUACAGCGUCGUACAACUAAGGGAGGGUGUAAGUGUUGUGUCGGGUCUUGGCUCGUCGAUUAGUUGAUCGAGACUUGACGAUAAAGCGAGGGCAACUGGUCUAAGGGGUCAAAGGGGAUGAUUGUGCCACCUAUACUAAGCAGUUUAAAGUGCGGUAUUGGAAAGUAGCACUUCAUAAAAAACAGGCUAUGCAUCAGCUAUAGGAGCUAACUACAACAGUAGCAAAAUUCUAAUGCAAGCACGAGGGAGAAAGAAAUAUGCGAUAUAGGAAUGAUCAAGAGGGUUUGCUUGCCUGGGUACUCUGCAGACAAAACGGAUCCUCGACCGGGAAGUAGUCAAUCACCGGAUCAUCAUCGGUCUCGGGGUCUACCAGAAAGGAAGUAACGUAGGGGAAACACGAUAAAUAACAGAGCAAUCAAAUGCAUCACAAAGAAUGGCAUGGCUAAAGGCAGAGCUAGGCAUGAGCUAACGUGGUACUAUACGUCAUCGACGGAUCGGAAUAAUAUCCGACGAUAUUUUCCGGGUCUCUGUCUAUUACUUAUCAGGCGAAAUGGAUGGAAAAGUUCCAUGUUCGCUAUGCUAGGUACACGUGAUAGACGAACGGAUAGCGUAUCCGGGUUCGUCUCGUUUUUGUGAUCAACUUUCAUGUAUAAAUUAUUUUCAUCCGAAUUAUUAUAUUAAUUUUUAAUGUUUUAAUAAUUAUUUUAUAAAUAAACAGAUUUAACUUUGUUUUAAUAUUUUAAAUGUGACAACAGCAUGAUGGCAUGCUGUCAUCAGUAAUCAAUAGUGGGGUUGAGUGGUCAAUUUGACCAAUGGGCUCCACCUGUCAUAGUCACACUUCAAAUCUAGGCUUAACUAAUUAAUAAACAGGUUUGAUUAGGUGUAUGGGAUCCACAUGUCCUACCCUCUAUUAAAUUAACAGAAUUAAUUAAUUAGAUUAGGUUUAAUUAAUCCAAUUAAUUGCUCUAAUUAAUUUGAUAGGUUAAUUAGAGGUUAAUUAGGCUACUUAAUUAGCUUAUUAAUUAAUUACCUAAUUAAUUAACUUGGUUAAAUAAAUUUAUUAAUUUGUUAUAUUUUUAUUUACACAUUUAAUUUAUUUAUUUUCCUUUUUUAGUACACGUUUUAGGGGGAGGCCCCACAUGUCAUCUAGUGGGAAAUUGCUAACAAAGGGGGGGUUAAUUCGCCUGACCAAAUUGGGGUUGGGGGCGACGCGGUUGUGACCAAUGGGGAGAGGCCGAGCGGGGUUGGCGCCGGCGACAUGUGAGGCGCAGGAGCAUGCAGCGAGGUUGGCCGUGGAGUAGCAUCAGCAGGCGCGCGGCCAAGGCGUGGCUCACGCAGGCACGCGCGCGCGUGGCGCGUGGCAGAGGUGGGGGGCGCGACGGCAUGCGGGCGUAGGACGUGCAAUAGCUGCAGAGUAGUGAAGGUAACAUUGGACUGGCGAUGCGGCUAGUGGCAGCAGGCGGCUCGGCGUCGCGGUGGGCGGAGCUCCACGGCGAGAGCUCGCCAAAUCGGGAGGGGACACCGAAGCGACGCGGCGCCGAGUGAGGGCCGGUGCGGCCGGGCUGGUAAGGGUGCGCACGGGAGGGGAAAGGGGAAGCGGGGUGGCGCUCACAGGGGGGCGGCGAGGUAGCACCGGUGUGGUAGGGCGUCGGGGACGGCGAGCGGUGGGGCAGGGUCAGGACGGCGAGGGAGCAACGCCGGAGCAGCGUGGGGCUUGGGUUGAAGGAGGGGAGGGUGCAGGAGAGAGCGCCGGUSGCGGGGGUGGGGGCUGGGGGASGACCGGUGAGGGAGCGGUCGKYCGGGGCCGGCSACCCGGSCCGGCCGCCCSGGUGACGGUSGUCCGGGGUCGGGGUCGGCYYCCCCGUAUCCCGAGACUCGAAGGAGGGAGGGGGAGAGUNNNNNNNNNNNNNNNNNNNNNNNNNNNNNNNNNNNNNNNNNNNNNNNNNNNNNNNNNNNNNNNNNNNNNNNNNNNNNNNNNNNNNNNNNNNNNNNNNNNNGUUCAACCUCGAACCCGAAACCCUUAYCGCCACCGACGCACCUCCGUCGCCGGCGACCCAGACCACCUCCGGUCGACGUCCCGACCACGAGCAGGUAGGCGGAGGCACGAGGAACCCGUUCCCGUUCCUAGCUAGGCCUGAGGACAACGGCAUCCUCGCCGGUGUCCAUCUCCACCUCUCUGGCCAGAGGUAGGAGAAGGACCCGACAGGUGGAGCCCACCUGUCGGUGUCCUGGGGCAGCCAGCGCGCGCAGCCGCUGACGCUGACCCCAGGGGCCCGCAGGUCAGGUUUGAACCUGGCCCACGCGCGCCUGGUGGCCAGGCCUGCUGGCUGGGCCGGCUCGAUCUGUUUCCCUGGCCUUUUUCUUUUGUUUUAAUCCAGCAAACUAAAUGAUUUUUAUAAAAAGAUUUAGCCAGUAGAAAAAUAUAAUUCUUCCACCAGUAUUUUUCUAAAAAUGAGUAGUAUUUGAUUCUGUAAUAGUUGACAUUUAUCAAUAACAGAAACUAUUUUGGUAUAAUAAAAUGAUAUUAAAAAGCACUUGUUUGCUUCUGUUUGCUUUUAAAUAAAUAUGCUUAGCUAAUAAAACAGUAGGGAACAUUUUUCAAAAUAAUAACAUGGAUUUCUUCAAGCCUUGCAACAUUUUUAAAAGCACUUUGUGAACUGUUUUAGUUGAAGCUAGUAUUUAUUUAUUCCUUUCUCGACGGUAGAAUUACCGAGUGACGGAGGAUCCGGAGCGGAAGACCUCGAAGACCCCGGAUACCUAGCUGACCAAGGCAAGCAUGCCCUUUGCCAUGACCUAAGUAAAUAAAAUGAUGCAUGCUAGAAUAGCAAGUAUUUUCCAUUGCAUGUAAUCACGAUGUCGGUUCAUCAUUGAUGUGAUGGUACCGAAGGCUUCUUCGAAGCCCUUGCAUUAUAGUAGUGAUUUCACAUGGCUCCUCGGAGCACAAACAUGAUGAGCUUGAUCCUACCAUCUACGAGGAUCAUGUUACUGUCAUGUUGGCUAGUAGAGUAGAAUCACUGCAUUGAGCUUGACCCCGUGAGGGUCAUGAUACUAUCAUGUUGACAAGUAAUGUUAAGGCACAUCAAGUUGACAAGUAAUAAUAGAGCAUUUUAUCAUGAGCAUGACGAUGAGUUAAAUAAAGAGUUUAUGAAAACCCCGUCGGGUGCCACUAAUGCCCGAAGGUGAUGAUGAGUUGGUGAUCACUUUUGGUGAAGUAAUGCACCGAUGAUUUUGUUGUGAGUAUGGUUUCGGAAAUGGAUUAGAUUUAUGAUGUGUUGACCAUCCCAACCUUACCCAGUACGACCACGAUACCCCUUUAUGGGACAGGGCUUUGUUGAUUACUCUGGUCGGUGCUAGCAAAGAGCCACAUUACUAGUGGCGGGAGUGAUCGGUGUCACUCUCGUGAUGGGGUCGUGCCAGGUAGGACGACUAUGCCAUUAUUAUGAGUUCAAGGCACACAGGGGAUAGGUGCAUGGUUGAUACAGUCCAGAGUCGGUGCUCGUAAGACGUACAACAUGUGGGCUGGGUACCAAUCAAGUGGAUCUCUUUGUCUAGUAUCGUCAGGGGAAAUAUGAUGAUCGGAUACUUACCUCGGGUAUAUGUGAUAUACCGCGAAUCAUGGAUGAAACGGAAGUAUUCCGUUUCUCGUGGGUCCAGCGUACUACCUCUGUAGAGUGUAAACUAUUCGAAUAGCUGUGUCCAUGGUCAAGGAUAGUUGGGUGGUGCUGCUUAAACUACGUCCUGAGUUUCCGCAUAAACCAAGUGUGUGUGUGUGGUAGUUAAAAGKUGUUGUUAUAAUCAUGAUAAUCACAAUAAUAUGAUCAAGUUCGGUGACUUGACAUAUAGGGUAAACCCGGAUGGUUUAGCCCUCAUUAAUACCUUGAGAUUAUGACAAGUCCGAUGACUUGGCAUAUAGGGUGAACCCGGUGUGUUCAACCCUUAGCAGAGAUGAUGAUAUCUGUAACCUGUUCUUCAAAAGUAAUUCUUUAACCUGAUGCAUAUACAUGAUCAUACCACCUCAUCGCAUUCCACUAAAGAUGCAUGUUACCGCCCCUUCAUUACCAUUUAUGUCAUGGGCUGUUUGCGAGUACAUUCAAAGUACUCAUUGGCUUGCCACUGGUUAUGUUAUUGACCAGACAUGGAAGGACCGGAGUUUGGCGAUGAGUACGCCGUCGGAGACGGACCUGUGAUCUAGGACGCUUCCGAGUCAGAAUGCCUGUCGGUGUAGGCUUGAUGGUAUGGGCACCGCUUAGCCCUUACGAGUUUCCGCUACUCGAUGUAUCCCUUUAUUUGGCUUUAGGCCCUGCUCUUGAACCCGACCUUCUGGUCAUUUGAUGUAAUAAUUUGGUACUUGGAUGUAAGACUCUAUCAUUCAGUAUGUGUGUUCAGUGAACAUUGAUCCUUGGGGUUACUGGGCACGACGAACUCGACUUGCUAGUCGGGGUCCCCACAUGAUAUGGAUCAUCAUCCGCUUGCUAAUCUUUUCAAGAGUUCCAAUUAUGAUGAACCAAUUGCUAGUGAGUUGAGUGUACUUGCUUAUCUCUAUGAAGUUUUGCUUGAUAUUAGUGAAUCGGAAAAUUGUGAUGAAGUGAUACACGAUGUUUCCCUGAAUAAAAAGCAUGAUUGCAAUGAUAUUGUUAUAAAUUCAAUUAAUAUCAAUUUUGCUAAUGAUAUGCAAACCCACAAGCUUGGGGAUGCUAUAUUUGAUGAGUUUGCCAUGACCACUACUUAUUGCAAUGAUCAUGAUUGGGGUGAUAAUGCUUCUUAUGAUCUUGAUAAUUUACUUAAUACUCAUGAUGAAUAUGAUAUUGAAAGUAGGUUUGGAAGAGUGUCAACUUUAGGCAUUAUUGACUCCCACUUAUUUGGAGAGUUGUUCAGUCUUAUAGUAAAUUUUUGUAAUUAAAGGUUGGGUUGGAGAGGUCUAUAGUACUUUAGUUAAUGAUAACUCCUACUUAGUUUUGGAAGUAGUUAUACCUAACUUUGCUACUGCUAGUGUUGGAUUCAUAGAAGUAAGUNNNNNNNNNNNNNNNNNNNNNNNNNNNNNNNNNNNNNNNNNNNNNNNNNNNNNNNNNNNNNNNNNNNNNNNNNNNNNNNNNNNNNNNNNNNNNNNNNNNNGGUGGGUGGACGAAACAAGGCUACGACGGCGGCGAGGGGAGGAUGUANGUUGGCCGACAUGAGUACGUCGUCGGAGAGGUUGCGACAGGCCAAGCGCGUCGUCUCCCAGCGGCAAUGAAAUCUUGUGGGCAGCGCUAGGGUUGGGGAGCUCAAGAGGUGGCGAUGGGAAGGAAGGUAUAAAUACAACAUGCCUCAUGUAGUUUAUAAUAGUAGAGGGACAUCUGAAUUUUGUGGACUGGACUGCCCCUGACGCUUCGGGAGUAGUGGGACAUGUGACAUGUAGCGAACUCCCCUACAUUCUAUCUGUUGCGCCAGAUGCGGGAAUUUGUUUUGAUAAGUGCGGUAAAAUGGUUUUUGAAGGUUUUAAAUGUUCGGUUGAGUUUGUCUUCGACUUACAAGGACGCAAUGAAGACAAUCAACACGUGUCAAGUAGAAUGCACGUGACUGGAAUUGAACAGUGUUAGAUGAGAUAAGAAUAGAUGGGGUAUCGGGUCCGAUCACAUUUUGCCUAGAUAAAGUUUGAAGAUAUAGCAAUAGACAAAAUGAUGUAGAGGACAAAAUUUCCUAAAGUCAAAUAGGACAUGUCUCAUUUGCAAAUGUUCAAGUUCGAAGUCAUGUGACAAAGUUGAAGAUAAACUCAAAUAUCUGAAGACAUUGAUAAACAUGCAUGAUAAAGGGAAAUGUCUUUAGAUGGGGUUGGUGGCGUUGCCCACCAUAUAAGAAUAUUAGACCCAUACACGGCGCACAAUUAUCGUGGCACUCUGAAGUCAUAUGCUUCGUUAAUGUAUUCACACUUAGAGUGUAAGUCUUCAUGAGUUGAAGACAUACAUUACUUUGUGUGUUGUGCAUCAAAUUCAUCAAUAUGCAUAAGCGUUAGGAUGUAUGCCCAUUCAAAGGACAUUUGAGGAUUCUAAGAUAUUUAGUUCACACCGCAACUUGCAAAAUCUGUUUUCAUCCAAAGGCUUCGUGAAGAUAUGAGCCAAUUGAUCUUCAGCGUUUGCAUGCUUGAUGUUGAUGUCGCCCUUCAUCACGUGAUCUCAAAGAAAAUGAUGUUUUAUCUGAAUACGCUUCGUCUUUGUGUGCUGUACUGGGAUGUAGGAGAUCUUGAUUGCACUCUCGUUGUCACGGUAGAGUGGAACAGGCUUCACGUUGAUGUCGUAGUCCUUCAAUGUUUGCGUAAUCCAUAGAAGCUAUUUGCAGCAUGCACCAACAUCAAUGUAUCCGACUUCAACAAUGGAAAGUGACACACACACUUCAUCUUCUUUGAAGACCAACAUACGAGUGAUCAUCCUAGAAACUGAGAGGUGCCUGAUGUAGACUUGCGAUCAACUCUCUCGCUAGCAAAGUUAGAGUCUGAGUAGCCGAUGAGGUCCAAGUUUGAGCUAGUUGGAUACCAUAAUCCUAGAGUUGGGGUGUGAACCAGAUAUCUAAGUAUUCACUUCACAGCUAAGUGAUGCGAUUCCUUUGGUGCCGCUUGAAAUCGGGCGCACAUUCAAACGCUAAGAAUUAUAUUUGACCUAGAUGCACAUAGCUAAAAUAAAGAGCAAAUCAUGGAGCGAUAUACCUUCUGAUCGAAAUCUUUACCAUUUUUGUCAGUGCAUAGGUGACUGUUUGUUGGCAUUGCGUCUUGUAACCUUUGGCUUCGUUCAUGCCAAAUUUCUUGAGACAAUCCUUAAGGUACUUCUCCUGAGAGAUGAAUAUGCCAUUGGGUUGUUGUCGAAUCUAAAGAACUUUAGUUCUCCCAUCAUAGACAUCUGAUAUUGUUCUUGCAUCAUGAAGCCAAACUCAUCACUAUAUCGAUUGUUAGUACAGCCAAAGAUGAUGUCAUCCACAUAGAUUUGACAUACAAACAGUUCAUCAUCAUAAGAUUUUGUAAAUAGAGUGGGAUCGAGUGAACCAGGUUUGAAGCCUUUCUUCUUGAGGAAUUCCUUGAGAGUGUCAUACCAAGAUCUUGGUGCUUGCUUGAGGCCAUACAAUGCCUUGUUAAGCUGGUAGACUUUUUCAGGAUGCUUGGGAUCUUCAAACCCUGGUGGUUGAGCGACAUAUACUUCUUUCUCAAUCUUACCAUUGAGGAAUGCACUUUUGACAUCCAUUUGAUAUAAGCAUAUAUCGUGAUGGUUAACAUAAGCAAGCAAAAUACGUAUAGCUUCAAGCCUAGCAACACGUGGAAGUGUCUCAUCGAAAUCGAUACCCACAACCCGUGUGUAGCCUUGAGCCACAGGUCGACCUUUAUUUCUGAUGACUUGUCCUGAUUCAUCUUGCUUGUUGUGAAAUAUCCACUUUGUGCCAAUGAUGUUGUGCUUCCUCAGAUCAGGACGCUUGAUGAGUUCCUAGACAUUGUUGAGCUCGAACUGAUGAAGCUCUUCUUGAAGGCUUCAUCUAGCUUGGUGGGUUCGGAGAUAGACACAAAAACAAAUUGCCCACGAAAGUUAGCAAGUUGGUGAGCUCUUGAGCGAGUGAGUGGACCUGGUGUGUUUAUGCUGGCAAGCAUCUUUUCAAUUUGAACUUCAUUCUCCGCACGUGGAUGAGCAUGUCGAAGACUUUGAUUUGGCUGCUGAGCAUUGUCUUGUCAGCAACAUUGUCUUCGACAUUAGUAUUAUCUUCGCGAUGAGUAGGCAAUGUAACAAUGACUUCCUCUACUUCAGGUUCUUGAGGCACAAUUUCUCCAGUGCCCAUUGUCGGGGCGCAGAUGCUCAAGAUCACCUAUGGUACCAAGGGCCCCUCUUGGUUCGACAAGGGGGUCAUGUUGAAUGAAGAGCGGAGAACAUGAGAUGGCGCAACGGUCGGGGCACAUGCAUUUUACCCAGGUUCGGGCCGCUGCGUACAACCCUACUUUUGCUUUUUGGUGGAUUGAUGGUGGGAACAUGAAUAACACAAUGCACCUAGCCCCGGCAAGCUACCUGGGAAGAGUGAUCGCGUGAAUACAAGUGAUCGAAGGUUCGAAAUGCCAACCUUGAGCUAGGUUUCCUUGGGCCUCCUUUUAUAGCACAAGGGGUCAGCACAAUGGCAAAACAUACGUUAUCUGUUGAUUAGAUAGGCAACACUACAAACAUACUUAACUGUGGCACUUAGGACAAAAUGCCAUAAAUGCUAGCCUAGGUGGCGUGCAGGGAUGCAUUCCUGACAGGCUUCUACCACCGCUUUAGCAAACUACUGCUUCAUGUCCUGACACGCCUCUGGAUGGGUGUCAAGUGGGCGUGAUCCAUCUUCUAGCGAACCGCCACAUACUUAGCGAGAGCCCACUUAGCCACUUGAGGGCUCGGCACUGCAUUGGCAAACGACUAGCAUUGCGAUGCGGUGGAGCAGCGGCCGAUCGGCUCGCGCCUGCUGGGGAUGGCUUGCCAGGCCUUCUAGGAGGGUGCUCACUUUGGUCCUCGGCAGGUGCCGGGGAUGUGACUGGCACGACACAGUCUAGGCUUGGGGUGCUGCACUGAGCUUGCUGGAAUCUUAUCUUGGUAGCUGCUGGGCCAGCGUGGCCUUUUGUGGCUGUUGUUGCUGGGCGCUGGGUGGCUGCUUGUCCGUGCACAAAUCAGGGGAAAAGAAUACCCCUGUUUGUUUACUCCGACAGAAGCCCCCGGGCCUGAACCAGACGUUUCGCUAGGCACGUUGGGUUAGGCCCCAAACAAGCACGGACACGCGGCGAAGGGGUUCUACUUUUUCACCCACGUCCACUCUGUGGGUCAUGGGGUCGUGGACGAGGGCCGUCGGAAAAAAGGGAAGUCCAGUGAUAAACGACAGUUUUUUGAAAGAAUUGCAAAGAGCCAACCUCCGUGCAGGACCCCUUUAAAAAGGACAAAGCAGAGGGGGCGCUGAUCAUUCACACCCCCUUCCUCCGCCCUUCACUCUUCCUCCUCAACGCCAGAGAACUGCUCCGCAUCCUAUUCUUUGGUUUUUCGAGUGCCGCUAGCUCANNNNNNNNNNNNNNNNNNNNNNNNNNNNNNNNNNNNNNNNNNNNNNNNNNNNNNNNNNNNNNNNNNNNNNNNNNNNNNNNNNNNNNNNNNNNNNNNNNNNGGACUGCUGUAACCCUUCCACUGAAGCGUUCCACCUUACGCGGCCUCAGUGUUAACAYCUAUCCSSUGYGURCCUUGACAAGAGAUUAAACUUCUGCAGGUACUCCUUAACAGUCCCACUGCCCUGCCUUAAGGCUCGGAAUUCACGCUUCUUAAUGGUCAUCAGUCCAGGCGGAAUGUGAGCCGCGCGAAAUCCUUCCUUGAACAUCUCCCACGUGACGACUUGCCCUGCCCGCAUGAUCUGGAAUCCAUCCCACCAUGCCCUGACGGUGCCUCCGAGACAGUGAGAAGCAUAAAGGACCUUCUCAUGAUCAUCGGUGCACUUGACCAGCGCAAGGAGGUCUUCAAUGGUGCGAAUCCAGUCAUCGGCGUCCAGGGGUUCAGUCGACUCCGUGAAUAUGGGGGGCGUAGUCCGCAUGAACUCAGAAAGAGAAGAGCGACCACCGCCAUAUUCAUUCUGCGGCGGGUUGUCCACCAGGACUUGGGUCAGCUGCUGGAUAGCGGCAUUGCUGGCUUGACGCUCCUGUCGAAGAGCUUGAAGGAACUGAGCCAUCGUCAAGUUCUCAGGAGGAGGUGGUGGCGGAAGGUCUUAGGCUGCUCGUGGUGACCUCCAGCGUGAGCUUCUCCUUCGGUUCCCUGCGGCGUCCCUGAAGAGCCGGCGCCGGGGUUGCCGAAGGUGCUGUUGCGGGUUGCGUUCACCAUCCUGUCAUAGAAACAGACAGGUCAAAAUGCCACCUUGCUCGGGAGUACAAGGAUUUGCUCCUAGUAGGAGGGGGUCCAAUACGUGCAUGUGCCAAGUUUUUAAAACCAAAGUUUUUGACAAACUGGAAAUUGCAUUCAUGACAACUAGGUGACGUAGUCACUUACAGACUGCCCAAGGCACACAGGGGAUAGGUCAAGCACACAUACGCAAUUUAAAAACGGAUACAAGGAUACCCUAUACUCGGGUACUCCGAUUGCCUACGCAAAAAAUCUACGCGGCGGACUGCUCGGUCUCAAAGGCGGACUCAACAGGAUCCUCAUCUUCAUCAACAUCCUCUUCCUUUAUAGGAGUGGAAGAAAGAAUCCGCACGUCUCAGCGUCUCUUGGGCGAGGCGGCAAAGAUCUCAGUGUACUCUUCCGCUGUCAGGCGACGACUCUGAAGAGGGACUGCCUGGAUGGGUAACAGUACCACCCCUAGUGGCAACAGCUGCCCUCCUUCCAGGUGCGCUUGCCUUCUUUACUUUGCGGUUUUGCAUCUUCUCUGUGUGGAGCAGGCCUUUGACUAGGUGCAGCUCUUGGCGAAGCUUGACUGACUUCCUUAACCAGGAAGUGUGUCGAGGGUGUCUGACGWGAGACUGAAGUAGGUCUGAAAGCUCAGUGGCAUCCCAUCCUCCGUGGCGGGGGUGAGUGUCCAACUCCCAUCCACUCCUUCCUUAAUGAAAGGUAGAUGAUGAGUGACAGGCUCGUUAGCCAUCUCAGGGAGGAUGCUGCGGAGUUGCACGAGCGCCUCUCGUGCAGCCGUCUACACUGCCAACAUCAGCUCUCCCAUCUAUGGUCCUUCAAAGAACCAACUAGACGGGGAGUCAUUAGCCUUCACUAUCACGUCCACGUGAUAUUCCUUGGUGUCGGCGUUGACCCAAUGCUUGUGGUAGAGGAAGAUGGGCGUGCGUCGUACGUGGCACUUCUCGAGACAAUCCACCAGAAGUAGUGGAAAGCCGGUCUCCAAAAGCGUCUCAGGUACAGCAGCCAUCUACAAUGCAUAGGAGAGAAGUCGGGAGGUUGUAUGUGUAAGAGUCUUGUGCAAGGCUUGCGUCCUAACGUUCUUGGUUAACGUCCAUGCUAUCUAAGGCUUCUUAUAGUCAACCUGGCUCUGAUACCAGUUCUAUGGGGACCCCGACUAGCAAGUCGAGUUCGCCGUGCCCAGUGACCCCAAGGAUCAAUGUUCACUGAACACAGAUACUAAAUGAUAGAGUCUUACAUCCAAGUACCAAAUUAUUACAUCAAAUGACCAGAAGGUCGGGUUCAAGACAGGGCCGGGCCGGCAAAAUCCGGGGCCCUGUGCAAAACUAAAAAAUGGGCCCUCUCUCGUAGAAAAAAGAAAAGAUCUAGAAUAUAUCCAGAUGUGUGUAUAUCUAAAUUCAACGAGCAACUAUAAUAUAUAUAUAUAUCACAAAAAAAUUGUAAUAUACUCCAUUCGUAUCAAAAAUUUGUCUUAGAUUUGUCUAAAUAUGAAUGUAUCUAGUCAUAUUUUAGUGCUAGAUACAUAUUUUGAUAAAUAUUAUGCAAGAAUUUUGGGACGAAGGUAGAAAUACAUCAUUAAAAAGAUAGGAAUUAGAAAUAGGAACCGUAAAAAGGGACUUGAUAAGCACCUGGAGACGAGUCAUUCACUGAUUAAUCUGCGAUGGACAAAUCUGAAAUUUGGAAGACCAUGAAGGCAAUUAGGAAAUGACCAGAUCGCACGACCGAGGGACGAGGGCGAGAUAUGGCAACAGGGCGAACGAUGAGACAUCUCAUGCCCUCUUUCGUGGAGCCCAUGCGAGAGUUUCCUGUGGGCCGGCGGCGGCGACUGCUUUUCCAUGCGAGAGAACCACGAUCUCGAUCCUGUAGGGACGAAGCGACCAAGUAGGACGAGGCGAUGAGCAGGUUUUGUUUGCAAGACAAAGGCGACGUCGUGACGAGCAGUUAUGGGGAUCGAAAAGAUCCCGAUCACGAUCACAAUUCAGCAUUCUGGGUCGACGGCCUGGUUGCCUCGAGGCCAGCCCACUCCAGUGUCCGCGGCCCACUAAGUAAUGCUUAGUUUUCCCUUUUAAUACUAGGCUUAUAUAUAUAACUUGGGCCCCUUCAAAUUUUGGGCCCUGUGCGGGCUGCACAUCUGGCACCACUGUAGGCCCGGCCCUGGUUCAAGAGCAGGUCCUAAAGCCAAAUAAAGGGAUACAUCGAGUAGCGGAAACUCGUAAGGGCUAAGCGGUGCCCAUGCCAUCAAGCCUACACCGACAGGCAUUCUGACUCGGAAGCGUCCUAGAUUGCAGGUCCGUCUCCGACGGCGUACUCAUCGCCAAACUCCGGUCCUUCCAUGUCUGGUCAAUAACAUAACCAGUGGCAAGCCAAUGAGUACUUUGAAUGUACUCGCAAACAGCCCAUGACAUAAAUGCUAAUGCAGGGCAGUAACAUGCAUCUUUAGUGGAAUGCGAUGAGGUGGUAUGAUCAUGUAUAUGCAUCAAGGUUAAAGAAUUACUUUUGAAGAACAGGUUACAGAUAUCAUCAUCUCUGCUAAGGGUUGAACACACCGGGUUCGACCCUACUAUGCCAAGUCAUCGGACUUGUCAUAAUNNNNNNNNNNNNNNNNNNNNNNNNNNNNNNNNNNNNNNNNNNNNNNNNNNNNNNNNNNNNNNNNNNNNNNNNNNNNNNNNNNNNNNNNNNNNNNNNNNNNAGUACUACUAUGCGCCAAGCAUCAGAGUGAGGCUUGAUGGUUUAUUCGCGGUGGCGGAAGCGGUGAAAUAAUAUAGCGGCACACUCCAGGACCGCAAGACUGUCUAGGACUCCUCUAGACAUCGGACUCGCUAUCAAACUCUUCAUCCAUGAGGUCUCCUUCAUCCAUAUCUGGCCACAUCAACAAGCCAGUGAGUACUUCGAAAAGUACUCGCAAACAGUUUGCACAAAAGAUGAGAUGCAUGCAGUCAGUUAUUAAUAUGCAUGGUUCAGAUCAUAAUUUAUCAAAAUGAAUGUGUUAGAAAUAAAUUAAGAUAGUGGAUAAAUCGUGCGGUAAUCCUCCCGAGAUAUCCUAAUAGAAAGGUAAAUGCACCGAUCAGGUGUCUAGAGCGACGCCUCGAAAGGUUAACAAGGGUUAGUAAACCACCGUCGGGCGUCUGAGUGACACCACAUACAGGGCAUAAAAUAAAUAGCAAGCCACAAACGGGCGUCUUAGUGACACCACAGAAAGGGCAAUAAAAAUAAAUAGCCACCGCAGUCGGGCAUCUUAGCGACACCGCAGAAAGGGCAUAUAAAUAAAUAACAAGUACACAGUCGGGCGUCUUAGCGACACCACAAGAAAGGGCAAUAAAAAUAAAUUAACAAGACCGACAAAUCGGGCGUAAUACUUAACGACGAACACUAACAGAAAUCGGGACAAGUAAUAAAAUAAAAUUAACAAAGGUACCACAAGUUCGGGGUAGUUACUAGNNNNNNNNNNNNNNNNNNNNNNNNNNNNNNNNNNNNNNNNNNNNNNNNNNNNNNNNNNNNNNNNNNNNNNNNNNNNNNNNNNNNNNNNNNNNNNNNNNNNUUCUAGCCUCCCCAAGUUGCUUUCCACCCAAUCAAUCUCUUCUACCCAAGCCAAAUUUGUGAAAGAGUGAUUGAGUGUUGAGGAGACUACCUUUUWGUMGCACUACGUGGAGUUUCUAGCUACAUUGAUGCAUGCAAUUAAGCUACAGUAAACCAUGUGGUUAAGAUAAUGCUUUUGCUAAACCCUAUUUGAUCACAUUGGAAUCAUAUCUCAUUUCAAAUUCCUUUUGAAAUUCAAGCUCCUUUUAAUUUGUGGUUUAAAUAUUUUUUCAAAACUGAAAACUACAAUCAUGUUUGGGUUGCAAAUAAUCCCCUCAUGUUUAUAAAAUUGAAACCAACAUUUUAUAAAGUACUUUGGUGCCUCAAAACAAUUAUAAAAGAGGCCAAAACAUUUAAAUAAAUGUCUUUUAAAUUAUGUAAAUUUCCAAAGUUUCCAAAAGGGCCCCAAACGUUUUGUGGCACUACCAAAUAUUGCAUUUCAAAUAUUGGACCAUAUCCCAUAUUUUUCUCAUAAUUAAUUUAGUGCUAAACCUAAAUCAAAACAUAAGAUUUUAAAUAAAAUUUGAAAUAAAUUAAAAUAUAAAAUAAAAGCCCACCCCCAUUGGGCCCAAGCCCCCCAACCGGCCCACGUAUCCCUCCCCCAUCCCUAACCUCCGGCUAUAGUGGCCAGGGGGAGGGGAUGCCCGUCAUGCCUCCCCUCGACCACGCGCGGGCCAUCCAGUGGCCACCCCCGCCCUGUGAGGAGACAACGAGCCCUCCCCCGCUAACCCUAGCUCGCCCCCCAAUGAGGACAUCAACACCAUUGUUACACCCACAGCCCCAACUGCUAUACAUACUCGACCAGUUACUAGAGCUCACUCACGCCAAUCGAAUUACCACGUACUUUCGUUUCUUGAAAAUCUUUCUAAUGUUGAUGAACAUGUGAUGCUGCCUAAGUUAGAUAUUUUUGUUGUACUUAUGAAUGAAGGAACUAGCAUGGACAAGAAGGAUAUCUGAUGGAGCAGGAUCAAGCAUGGAGAAGAAGGUGCACGCGGGGAAAGAACAAUGGAGCUUCCACUCAUGAUUUUCACAUAUUGAAGCCACCAUAAGGAGAGCAUGAAGGCUUGGAAAAAAUAUUCAAGAUGCCACUUUAUAAAUUUCGGCCAUAGGAUAUUAUAGGUGUUGCGCCACCUUAUUUUUGGGCCAGGCACAUGGUAAUUUCGAAAUACCAUAUUAUAGGCUAUUUUUAGAUUCCGUAUGUGUGGGGAAACUAAGUUAGCGUCGGUUUCUUACCCCUCCUCCAAGGGGUCACGAAAUUCCUCCUCUAUCCCCCCAUAUAUACACCCCUUAGAGCGCUGUUUAGAAUUGGGUUUUGUUUAGAUUACAAGUUUUCCAUAGUUGCAACUUCGCGUUCUUCGUUUGUGUUCCAUGACCAGGCAAAGGCGUCACAAAACCCCACUUUCAUCAAUAAAGCUCGCCUCUUAUAUUUUCAAUAUCCAGAUUGCAAUCUUAGUUUCAUGCUUGGUCUUUGUUUGCGUGCAGGAAAUAGACCCUCGUGGUCAAGUUGAUCGUGCUCCAGCAUGGUCAAUAACCUCUUGGAGUUGGUUUAGCGAUUGCUAAGGCGCGAUGUCCUCACACGUUCAUAGUCGGAUCGUCAAAGUCUACUCCACCAAAACGAUAACCACCAUCUCAUCGAAAGACAUGGACAACUUUGCCUCUAUCAAGUGGUAUCAAAUUUCCAGGUUGCUCGGUGAGAUUUUACCAGUUUUUCGUAGUUAGAUCGCAUCUGUUCUUCAUACCAAUAGUCCACAGAAAAGACCACAAAAAAUUAGGAUUAGAUCAUCAUAUCCAAACCAAUCCGAGUCUUUGAAUAGUCUUUUUAGUAUUUUUCUUCGUUGUAUUUGCGGUUACAUCAUCGUGUUGAGUUACUGGUCUUAGUGUCCAGUCCUUUAGAGUUUCGAGUUCUGUUCACAGGUAGUCACACCGCCACCACGCCAUCUUUCACCGCUGCCAUAUACCACCACCACGCUUCCAUCAUCACUGCUGCCAUAUACCACCACCACGCCACCAUCAUCCUUGCUGCCAUAUAUCACUGAUACGUCUCAAAUGUAUCUAUAAUUUCUGCUUGUUCCAUGAUCUUUUGGGUGACAUUGUUAUAUGUUUUGCUACACUUUUAUAUAUUUUUACACAUAUUUGGACUAACCUACUAACUCAGUGCACCCAGUGCCUGUUUCUGUCUGUUGAUGUCUUUUUUGCACGGGCUUUUACCCAAUUUUCUGGAGCCCCAAAAAUCCUGAGAAAAAUAUAUAAAAAUUAGCGUAACAGAAGCUACCAGAUCACCGAAGAUGGGCCAGAGGGAAGCCAAGGGCUGCCCAGGCGACCACCCGACGCGGCCUGGCCCCUAGCCGCGCCCAUAGACCGCCUGGGUGGGCCCCACCUCUUCUGACACCCUCCUUUGGCCUAUAUUUACUCCUACGAGAGGAAACCCUUCCAACACAUCCAGAAUCGCGAAUUUCUCCAUUGUUGCUCCGCCACAGCGCUCCUGAGAUCGGGAGCGUCAAGAGACCUCUUCCCGGCACCCUGCCGGAGGGAGGAUUGACCUCCGGGAGCUUCUCCACUGCCAUGGACGCUUUCCGGACGUGCCGUGAGUAGUCCUCCUUGGACCAGGAGUCCAUGACUAGUAGCUAGGUGAUGUCUUCUCUCCAAUCUUGUGCUCCCAUGAUUAACCCUUGUGAGCUGCCCUACAUGAUCAAGGCAUCUUUGUAUUUUUUCCUGCUAUAUCUAUGCUCGGUUUGUUGGGAUCCAAUGGAUUAUGAGCUUAUGUUCAAAUUUUUAUGAGUUAUAUAUUUGAUUAUCCUUUUAUAUUAUGUUCUUUAGUGAUUCAUGCAUGUUCUUCGUUGCUUUGUAUUGCUUUGGCCGAGUAGUAGAUUGUAACUCCAAGAGGGAGCGUUAUGCAUGAUUGUGGGUUCAUGCCCCCUGAUGUCUAGCUUGAGUGAUGUAAACAUGAGACUAGGGGAUGUGUUGUUGCCACUAGGAAGAAAACAACGGUGCUUGUGACCACGGUUGGAAGGAUUGCUUACCUUACACAUAGUUCAUUAAUGCAGUUGUCCGUUGCUUUGAGUUUACACUUUGGUUGGGGCUCGCAACUUAAUACCAGCGAGAUGUUCUGGAUAAAUAUCUCAAGGUGGAUGAUUAGUGAGUAGAUGUUGAUGAAUAAAUGGUCUACUUGUCUGGGCGUACUGCCCAUUACUAUUGAGCCUCUAACUUUCAAGUAGCAUAAUUAGCAUUGCGGUGCGUUUAUAAUUCUGUCAAUUGCCCGGCUGUAAUUUGUUUACCCAAGCAUAGUUGUUUAUCGUCUUUUGGGAGAGAGACAUCAUUAGUGAACAUCAUGUGACUCCGGUCCAUAUCACCACCAUUGCUUACACCUCCAUCAUUUACUGCUUUCAUUUAUUUUCCGUUGCAAUCACUAUCACUAUUCCCGCUUGUGUUUUGAUCCUUUGCAAACUAGAAGGCCGACGAGAUUCACAACCUCUCCGUACUCGUUGGGAGCAAAGUUAUUUGUGUGUGUGUGCAGGUUCACGUUCUUUUGCUUGCGCGAGGGCAGAGGACACCUACUUGUUGAUCCUUGGAGUCCUCCUGGUUCGAUUAACCUUACAUUCUCUGUGUAAUGGAAAACUUGCUGCUGACUACAUCUCCACCUUCCUCUUGGGGUAACCAACGGAGGGUCGAGAAGUAUAUUCAUCAACUCGUCAUCAAGCAAGUUUUCUAGCACCGUUGCCGGGGACUCCAGUCUUCAAGAUAGGGGAGUUGUACGCUAUCCUUUACCUUCCGAUUUUUAGUCUUGUUAGUUUGCCUUUUAGUUUAUACCAAAAACCACAAAAAAAUUAGUUGCUUUGUUCUUGCUUGUUGUUGCUGCUAUGGUCCACUGAGACACACCGUUGUGUGACUUCACUAGUCANNNNNNNNNNNNNNNNNNNNNNNNNNNNNNNNNNNNNNNNNNNNNNNNNNNNNNNNNNNNNNNNNNNNNNNNNNNNNNNNNNNNNNNNNNNNNNNNNNNNAUAUACUGAGAAUACUUGCGACUCACUCAUCCUUUCGUUCUCACACAUCUUGAGUCUGAGGUGCCCUGAACACCUAAUCAGAUCUGAAUCGUUGGGCAGAUAUGUAGUGGUUGGUAACUUUCCAAUAAUCAUAACUUUGGUCUUUAUGUAAACCGGUACGGUGCUGUCUUGUCUAGCACACCGGGCCGAAGGACCUAUUGUUAUAAUAACUUGUUCAACAAGAUUCUCCAUUAUUUUGUGAGAAAAUUGUAAGACUUGUGUUAUAAGUUGUUCCUCAUGUAUCCCUUGUGUAGCCAAAGUCCGACCUUUAUUUGACGACCAUGUCGAUGCUACCUCAAAGCACGGAUGCGGUACUUCGAAUUUCAACAUGAACAUUGGAAGCGCAAUGCUAAAUUGUUCUUGAUCAAUUAUCUAAACCGUAUGGUAUGGAUAAACAUCAUGAUUCUCCUUGCUCCUUUAUCAAAAUGGUUAUGUACUUGAUGACCUAUCAUGUAUACCAUACUCUAUUUUCCUCGGGAAUGGUAUACUCUAAUACUUGUGUGUGUGAACACAUUUUCCUUUCUAUUGGUUUGUUUAAACCUUCUUAUAAGCUAAUUUAUCUGAGCAUCGACAAUUCCUUGCUUAGGUAAAAAACCUUGGUGAACAACUCUGUCAGUAAGACCCUGUUACUAUUGUGGAUAACAUUACGGUAGCCAUUGGUGGACGAGAACCUUGCCUAUUGGUUCGCCUCGUUUCAGCGGGCAGGAACAUGGUUCUAUUCGUCCCCUACCCUUGGUACCGAUCUUGUUGCCAACAUAACAGACAUGUUAUCCUCCAACAUGUCUUGCUAUCAAUACCGUAUAGAAUGUCACCGCUUUGCCUACUCUUAACCCACAUGGUGGACCCAUAACCCAAAUUCCACAGGAUAUAAACCUGACUCUCCUGUACAUCUUUGACUUCAGAGUAUCCUUUGAACUUGGCUUCGUAUGAAAUUCCCGAGCCACCGUCCAAUGGGACGAUCUAUUCAGUAUCAUAAGCAAUAUUUAUAUUCGUUGCUCUAAACCCCCUCCCAUCUCUAUUUAGGCAUUAAACGAUUGCCUAGCCGUUUGAAACCUUGGUACCCUCGCAUGUUACUCUCAACGAAUUUCGCGACUUACAACUUGAGUAAUAGUUGAUGUCCUUUUCCUUGAGUUCGUCGGCACAUGCCCAACUUUGUGUAGCUACGUUCUUCCAAAGUUUUCCCUAUUAUCGCAUUCGUAGGAUGAUGAAGACCCCGAAGGAAGGAUGACAAAUUCAUCAGGAUGACCUAAGUAAGAUAAUUAAAGACUUCAACGAAACGCAUAAAAUUCUUUGGAAAGGACAAAAAAGACCGAGAAGACCCGUUAGAAAUUCGUAACCAAACGUUUCCCCCUUACCUCUACCUCUUAAUUCUCGAGACGAGAAUUUCUUUUACUGGUGGAGAGUUGUGACAUCCCCGGGCUAUGCUACACUAACCCCUGUAAUCAAGCUACAGUAAUCACACGCUAAUGGUGCCAUGUCAUCAAGAUUAACUAAGCCAAAUUGCCCCUUGAUAAAAAAAACCAAAACUAAAUUCAAAUUUAAAAUAAAGUAAAAUAAAUUAUUUCUUCCAACUAUAAAAUAAAAAUCAUGAAUAGGUUGUAAAUAAUCCCUUGGUAAAUAUAAAUUGUAACCAACUUUUUGUAAGUAAUUAAAGGCUUUGAAACCAUUAAAACAGAGGCCAAACAAUAAUUUGAAUGCCCUAUUUAAAUCCUAUAAAUUUCCAAACCACUUUAAAUAAAUGUCAAACUUUUUGUGACAGUUUCUAAAAAUGUAAUAUAGAUAAUGGACCGAGUGCCAUUUUUUUACAAAAGAUUGUUGUUACAAGAAUAAUUAGAACUGAAACAGAUAAAAGAAAAAGCAAAAUGAAAAAGAAAAAGAAAUAACUAAAACCCCCCUUCCCCCCCGGGCCACCGGCCCAUGUCGCCCCAUCCAGCGAGCCGAGCCUGGCCUCCCCGCCGUCGGCCCAACCAGUGGUACCUAACCCCCCCCCCCCCCCCCGAGCGCCCCCCGGCAACCCUNNNNNNNNNNNNNNNNNNNNNNNNNNNNNNNNNNNNNNNNNNNNNNNNNNNNNNNNNNNNNNNNNNNNNNNNNNNNNNNNNNNNNNNNNNNNNNNNNNNNGUCAAGGCCCAAACCUUAGUGGGUUAGUAGCACCACGAACAACCCUCGAAGCACCCCAGUCACCAGCCCUCCCCAAUUCCAAGCACAGGUGACAAGAACUCCAAUUUGUAGCUGCAGGACAGUACUGGCAACACUAGUGUCCUUGCNCCCUUGACCAGCUCGAGCUCCCACUAAACCACAACGUCUAGGCACACUCCCAGCGACACUCAGGACAUGAAGGACACGUCCCAAGCGCCCCAGAGCGAGCCAGCAUGCCGUGGCAUGCCAAAACUGCGCUCUGGCGCACUGCAGAGAGCCACCCGCAAGGGGCCGACGCUCCGGCCGGUCCCAGCUUCCCCAGUAGUGUCCAAGCACUCCCCUGACAGCCCCUCAGUGCAAAGCUACCCCAGGGACCCUCUCCCCCUCGCGCAAGAGCUCAGGCGACGCGUGCCCGUGCGCCCCCGACGCGGCCGAGCAUGCACGGUCGCUGCAGCUCGUCCCCACUCACUUUCCCUCUGCGGCCGUUGCAUCAGGAGGCCCUAAACCACGUCCCGAACCCGUGGUUUCGCGGCCAGCACCUCACUGUKCUUGCACGCGUGCCACGGUGAGUCACCGGCGUGCCCGAGUCGGGUCACCGUCGUUGGCCUAUAAAUAGACCCCCCCCGGCCACUCCAGCACCCUCCAAGCAGCUUCARCACAACCAGUAGACACUCCCUAGCCGCCCAAUCGAGGUCGCAGAGCCCCGGUGCUCGAGAUCGACCGAGGCCCCUCCGCCUCGGAGCUCCGGUCGAUCUCCGGCWACACGUCGGCUCCUGCGCUGCCCGACCUCUCAUUACACUCCCCUCGCACCAGGAACAUUUCCCCUAACUCUCCCGAGCAAAUCCAUACCUCUAGCCCCUAGUUCAACUUGAACCCGAAACCCUUCCGCCACGAGCACCUCGUUGCCGGCGACCCAGACCACCUCUGGUGACGUACCGACCACGAGCAGGUAGGCGGAGGCACGAGGAACCGUUCCCGUUCCUAGCUAGGCCUGAGGACAACGGCAGCCUCGCCGGCGGCCAUCUCCACCUCUCUGGCCAGAGGUAGGAGAAGGACCCGACAGGUGGAGCCCACCUGGCGGUGUCCUGGGGCAGCCAGCGCGCGCAGCCGCUGACGCUGACCCCAGGGGCCCGCAGGUCAGGUUUGAACCUGGCCCACGCGCGCCUGGUGGCCAGGCCUGCUGGCUGGGCCGGCUGGAUCUGUUUCCCUGGCCUUUUUCUUUUGUUUAAUCCAGCAAACUAAAUGAUUUUUAUAAAARGAUUUAGCUAGUAGAAAAAUAUAAUUCUUCCACCAGUAUUUUUCUAAAAAUGAGUAGUAUUUGAUUCUGUAAUAGUUGACAUUUAUCAAUAACAGAAACUAUUUUGGUAUAAUAAAACGAUAUUAAAAAGCACUUGUUUGCUUCUGUUUGCUUUUAAAUAAAUAUGCUUAGCUAAUAAAACAGUAGGGAACAUUUUUCAAAAUAAUAACCUGGAUUUAUUCAAGCCUUGCAACAUUUUUAAAAGCACUUUGUGAACUGUUUUAGUAAAAGCUAGUAUUUAUUUAUUCCUUUCUCGACGGUAGAAUUACCGAGUGAUGGAGGAUCCGGAGCGGAAGACCUCGAAGACCCCGGAUACCUAGCUGACCAAGGCACACAGGGGAUAGGCCAUGACCUAAGUAAAUAAAAUGAUGCAUGCUAGAAUAGCAAGUAUUUUCCAUUGCAUGUAAUCACGAUGUCGGUUCAUCAUUGAUGUGAUGGUACUGAAGGCUUCUUCGAAGCCCUUGCAUUAUAGAAGUGAUUUCACAUGGCUCCUCGGAGCACAAACAUGAUGAGCUUGAUCCUACCAUCUACGAGGAUCAUGCUACUGUCAUGUUGGCUAGUAGAGUAGAAUCACUGCAUUGAGCUUGACCCCGUGAGGGUCAUGAUACUAUCAUGUUGACAAGUAAUGUUAAGGCACAUCAAGUUGACAAGUAAUAAUAGAGCAUUUUAUCAUGAGCAUGAUGAUGAGUUAAAUAAAGAGUUUAUGAAAACCCCGUCGGGUGCCACUAAUGCCCGAAGGUGAUGAUGAGUUGGUGAUCACUUUUGGUGAAGUGAUGCACUGGUGAUUUUGGUGUGAGUAUGGUUUCGGAAAUGGAUUAGAUUUAUGAUGUUUCGACCGUCCCAACCUUACCCAGUACGACCACGAUACCCCUUUAUGGGACGGGGCUUUGUUGAUUACUCUGGUCAGUGCUAGCAAAGAGCCACAUUACUAGUGGCGGGAGUGAUCGGUGUCACUCUCGUGAUGGGGUCGUGCCAGGUAGGACGACUAUGCCAUUAUUAUGAGUUCCAGGCACACCGUUGGUCCCUGCAUGGUUGAUACAGUCCAGAGUCGGUGCUCGUAAGACGUACAACAUGUGGGCUGGGUACCAAUCGAGUGGAUCUCUUUGUCUAGUAUCGUCAGGGGAAAGAUGAUGAUCGGAUACUUACCUCGGGUAUAUGUGAUAUACCGCGAGUCGUGGAUGACACGGAAGUAUUCCGUUUCUCGUGGGUCCAGCGUACUACCUCUGCAGAGUGUAAACUAUUCGAAUAGCCGUGUCCAUGGUCAAGGACAGUUGGGUGGUGCUGCUUAAACUACGUCCUGAGUUUCCGCAUAAACCAAGUGUGUGUGUGUGGUGUUAAAAAGGUGUCGUUAUAAUCAUGAUAAUCACAAUAAUAUGAUCAAGUUCGGUCGUACGUUAGACWWGUAGGKUAAACCGGGUAAACCGGUAGUUUAGGUUUACCGUCCCUACUAAUUUAAACUUACCGUUAGUAGUAAUUUAGUAGAACGUAACGUACCGUAGUANNNNNNNNNNNNNNNNNNNNNNNNNNNNNNNNNNNNNNNNNNNNNNNNNNNNNNNNNNNNNNNNNNNNNNNNNNNNNNNNNNNNNNNNNNNNNNNNNNNNUCUCUUGAAGCGCGUGCGGCGGCGCCACUGCCGGCUCGGAGGAGAGAAGCCGAGAUCUCCUCGACGCGGCCCGCUCCCUGGCGUGCUUCCAAAGCAUGUGCCGCAUUGGGAUGUGGCCAAGGUCAAGCACCCAAGCCCACACCAUGAAGGUCUUUGUGUCGGCGUGCUCGAAUCUGUCUAGUCGGUCGAUGAUCACCUUGUCCCCGAGCGCAUCGGUGAUGCCCUCCAUCGUCCAGAGCAUCAUGGGCAGCUUCUUGAUGAUGAGGCGCAUGUGUGUCCUCCCGCUAAGGCUCCAACGGGAAGGUGACGCUGUCCACCUCCAGCGUGCUGCGGCGCACGAGAAGCUCCUUGUGCGCCGGCAGGUUGAAGUGGAUGAAGAAAUCCUCGGGGUCGUGGUUGGUGAUGCGAAGGUGGUGCGCAUGAUCUAGAACUCCCUCUCGACGGCCUUGCCGAUGGAGUAGGGGUUGGUCGCGUGGUUCUUGCUGGCCGCAGUCACCACUAUGGCGUGCUGCUGCAGGAGGAAGAGUUGCUGCUCCAUCGCCGAUGUGGAGGCGAUGACCUUAUGGCUGUGGAGCGGCCGGCGCCCGUGGUCGAUGCAGGGGGCGUCCGCCGCGGCCAUGGCCUCCUGGCUGGGGAACACGAGCUGGUCUGUCACCGGACGACGCGCGCCCAACCUCUCCUUCACGUCCCUCCCCCACGACGAUUUCUUGGGUUUUUUGGGUACUCCCUACCAAAAUGCCCUGACUGCUUGCAGAUGAUGCAGUGCAGCGGGUCUCUACAGUCCUUUCGGCGGUGGCGAGGGCUAAGGCACCGAAAACAGAGACCUCUGAACUAGCUUAAAAAGGCCUCGCGACCAUGGACGGAGGUGCUUCUGCCGUUGGAUCCCCGUGCUGGACAUCGGAUCUUUACUUGGCCGCCGCUUCUUGCGGGAUUGGUAGGUAGUCCAUCCGUCCUCAUCAAUAGCGUCGGGGGACUGAUUUGGUGAUAGAGGAGGGGCAACUACGAUGGAUCGAAGGCAGGGCUGCUCGAAAGGGGGGGGUACCUAGAUCCGCCUGUCCGUGUGGAGAGCCAUCCUCAAGAACCUCGACCCAAGGCACACAGGGGAUAGGCACACCAGAGCGAUCCAUGGAGGGGAGCGCGGGGCUGGGUGCCUCGGAUGGAUCGGCGGACAGGUUGAGGCCUGGCGACGCAGGGCAUUGAAUGCCGACCGGUGGAGAGGCGGGAUCUUGGGGGUCUCAGCAGGGCGGCAUGGGCCGGCGCGGGUGCCCGGGUGGGCGGCGCAUGGGUAGUGGUGGUCGCCGCGGCCGGAGUGGCCAGCGGCACGAGAGGAAGAGGUGAGCUAGCUCAGCCGCCACACCAUAUUGUUGCUUUGACUUUCUCCCUAGUCCGUGGUGARGGGCCUUGGGGGAGCCAGGAACUGUGACUUUGCUGCUGGCCAUGUAGCAACUCUCUUACCUAAAAAGGAAAAAUACAAUGGAACCAUUGCUAGAAAUAAGGAAUACCAUCAGCAAAGUUGUGCUGUAGUAUGUGCUCCAUCUUUUAUCUCUUCUUGGCACACGCAUCGAUAAUGUAUUUCUAGGGACGGGUUUGCAGCAAACCUAUGAGAUGCCGGAUGGUUGCGCUUCCAGUCUCAAGAAAAAAGAAAUGUGUUAUUUAAUUUUGAUGUUGGCCAAGUAGCAACUCUCUUGCCCCUCAAAACAAGACAAUGAAACCAUCGCUGAAAAUAGCCAAUAACAUCAACACAGAGGUGUAACUAGUUUCACCCCUUAGCCCUGGGUAAUCGAUUUCAACUAGUUCUGCACAGUUCAACUAGAAUGUGACUGGUUUUGCGCGGUAUGCUAUUACCGGUCUGGAAUUUUGAUUAGGCUCUCGAACUUAUGGGAAGAAUUGAGUCAGUAGAUUGGAAACCGUUUCUGUUUGUUUCUUUCUUAUUCAUCCUCGGCAUUCUUUUCUGACGAUCAAAACAGGAGUUAUGCCAAUUUUAUUAUGAUAGAAAAGGAAAUAGAGAGUGACCCCGGUUUAUAAGGGAAACUGGGCCGAAAACCCCAAUGCCUGACUGAGCGAAAACCAAUGAACAAAAGGAAAACUCAAAAAACAGAAGGAAAAAAAAACACUAGAGCUUGGGGAUGUGGACUACAAGAAUGCAAAAGCAAAAGGAAGGCUGGAGCAGAUAAUUCAGGACNNNNNNNNNNNNNNNNNNNNNNNNNNNNNNNNNNNNNNNNNNNNNNNNNNNNNNNNNNNNNNNNNNNNNNNNNNNNNNNNNNNNNNNNNNNNNNNNNNNNGAAUAAAGGUGUGACCGAAUGCAUGGAAAAAGCUAAUUUAGAUGAUGAAAUAAUUCACUGGGAAAAUAAGCUAAAGCAUAUAGAUUGGGAAUAUAAAAAUUCUAUGACAAAAGAUUGGCCUAAGAUAAGAGAAAGAGAAUUGUUUAUAAUUAGAGAAAUUGCAAGGUUAAAAAAACUAAAAAAUGAGAAAUAGUUGGUAACUAGUGGUUCAAUUAUGCCAAAUACAUCAUCAAUUGAAAGGGGAGAACAUGCUGGUAGUAAUAAUGAUGCUAUCACUAAUAGAGAUAAGAAUAUUGCUCAGGAAGAAGAAGUUGUUAGUGAAGAAGAGCAAUGGGAUAUAAAUAAUAAGUUAUUACUAGAAAGUUAUGAAGAGGAAGAGGAAUUAGUAAAGAUAUGUGGUUAGAAGAUAGAAAUWAUAAUAGAUUGGGAGCAGAUAGUGUAUUUUAUUAACUCACUAGAUGAUGUGGGACUAMMAAAUUUAAGACAAAUAGCAAUAGGAAGGACUAUGGAAGGUAAGAAAGUAAGUUAAAUAAAAGUAAAGAAAAGGGAAGUAAUAGGCGGAGGUACUUACGGUAAAAGGUAAAGGAAAGGAAGGAAGGAAGGNNNNNNNNNNNNNNNNNNNNNNNNNNNNNNNNNNNNNNNNNNNNNNNNNNNNNNNNNNNNNNNNNNNNNNNNNNNNNNNNNNNNNNNNNNNNNNNNNNNNGAAUAGAAACCCAACUAAAGUAAAAACCGAACAUAAAAAAGUAAAAGAAAUACCUAAUAGGAAACCGGUAGAAAAAGAAAACGAAAUAGAAUAAAGAAAACCGAAAAAAAACUAAGAAAUAGAAAACAAAAGUAAAAUAAAACUAAAAGAAAACCAAAUAYGAAAAGAAAAGGAAAAAUAUAAAAAAUAGUGAAAACCGAGAAUAAACAAACAAAAAAGAAAAAAAGAAAAAAAACAAAGAAAACAAAAGUUAAUAUGAAUAAAGAAAAACCAAAGACAAAAAAAAGAAUGAAACAAAAAAUAAAAUAAAAUAAAAAGACACGAGCGAGCAUACAACAAGACAAGAAUGCCCACCUAAACCCGAACGAACGAAGAGAAAAACUAAUUAAGGGGUAUACUUGCAGAAGCCAGGUAAGGGUCAUUUUGAUGGGUUGAGAGUGUAUCAAGUGAUGCAUCUAAUCGCUGCCACGUGUUGCAUGUUGGGUCACGCAUGAUUUUAUUUGUUUUAUUUCUGUAUGCAUUUUAAGGUUUAGAUGGAUUUCUUGUUUUCGCCUUGUUUUUUUAGGUCUGUAAGUUUUUAAUGCAUGAWUUUUGCUUCUGGUGGUAGCACAUUAUUUGUUUACUUAAAAAGGACUAUGUUUGCUUUACAACGAAAAGCAACAACUUAUGCAUCUACAAAAAAGAAAANNNNNNNNNNNNNNNNNNNNNNNNNNNNNNNNNNNNNNNNNNNNNNNNNNNNNNNNNNNNNNNNNNNNNNNNNNNNNNNNNNNNNNNNNNNNNNNNNNNNCGUAAUUUUUCUAAUUCUAAUUUAAAAACUAACGUAUUUAAGUGUAAUUUAAAAUAAUUUAUUUUUCUUAUUUUAUUAUCUUAUUAGUCUACUUUAUUAAGGCCGUAGUAAUAGUAUAUUUCCACAAGGUAAAUUAUUUCCUGCCUUAGUAAAUUCUGNGUAAAUUCAUGGAAGCUCAGAAGGACAUAUAUUUUCCAUACAUAAGAUUUUCAACCCUAUUUUAUAUUAAUAUUAUUUGAGUAAAACCCUGAAAACCCAUUUCUGUCUGUUAUAGCUUUUUGAGAUGUUUCCAAAGGAAAAGUAUCUCAGUAAAUUCCCAUAAAAUUACCGGAGCCCUCCCAAACCAUAUUAGGUGCUCACCUAAAAUCUCACCUUGAUCCAAGGUGGGUAAGUGCACUUAGAGAGCCCAAAACCCUCUCUGUCCAGAGUGGAGUUGGAACAACUCUACAUUGCAAAGUUUCUCCAAUAGAGCUGAAACUUUGUAGAGGUGUUUAACACCCCAAAUGAGGACUCCACACCAAAAAUGGGAGUUUGUGAGACUACUGUUUGUACCACACUUCCUUUCGUAGGGUAACGAGUACUGGUCGACUUGUAGAACAUUUUCUAAGUUUAGUCAAAGACCGAAACUUACGGUUCUAAUAGGAGGCUCUAUUAAUUUGGGUUGGAACCCCCGAACUUGGUUUUUAACCCCUAAACGAAACAAAACCUACGUUAAGNNNNNNNNNNNNNNNNNNNNNNNNNNNNNNNNNNNNNNNNNNNNNNNNNNNNNNNNNNNNNNNNNNNNNNNNNNNNNNNNNNNNNNNNNNNNNNNNNNNNGAAAAUAAAACAAAUAAAAUCAUGCGUGACCCAACAUGCAACACGUGGCAGCGAUUAGAUGCAUCACUUGAUACACUCUCAACCCAUCAAAAUGACCCUUACCUGGCUUCUGCAAGUAUACCCCUUAAUUAGUUUUCUCUUCGUUCGUUCGGGUUUAGGUGGGCAUUCUUGUCUUGUUGUAUGCUCGCUCGUGCUUUUAUUUAUUUUAUUUUUGUUCAUCUUUUUUUUGUCUUUGGUUUUCUUUAUUCAUAUAACUUUUGUUUUCUUUGUUUUUUUUUCUUUUUUUCUUUUUGUUUCGUUUAUUCUUCGGUUUUCUACUUAUUUUUUAUUAUUUUUCCUUUCUUUUCUAUUGGUUUUCUUUGUUUUAUUUUAUUUUGUUUUUCUAUUUACUAUUUUUUUGGUUUUCUUUUAUUCUAUUCUUUCUUUUUCUACCGGUUUCCUAUUUGGUAUUUCUUUUCUUUUUUAAUUGUUGGUUUUCUUUUAGUUGGGUUUCAUUCUAGUUUUUCUUCGGUAACCUUAGUAUUGUACCUUUUUUGGUUUCUUAUGUGUUGUUCGUAUUCUUUUCCUCGUACUUUCUUGUGUUAGUAUUUUACAUUUACUAUUUAAAAUAUUAUUUUAUGCUAUAGUUAACUAUUCUUAGNNNNNNNNNNNNNNNNNNNNNNNNNNNNNNNNNNNNNNNNNNNNNNNNNNNNNNNNNNNNNNNNNNNNNNNNNNNNNNNNNNNNNNNNNNNNNNNNNNNNCUAACUUUCGUUAGUUCUUGUUGUUAUGCUCGCUCGUGUCUUUUUAUUUUAUUUUAUUUUUGUUUCUAUUCUUUUUUUGUACUUUGGUUUUUCUUUAUUCAUAUAACUUUUGUUUUCUUUGUUUUUUUUUCUUUUUUUCUUUUUUGUUUGUUUAUUCUCGGUUUUCACUAUUUUUUAUAUUUUCCUUUCUUUUCAUUGGUUUUCUUUGUUUAUUUAUUUUGUUUUCAUUCAUUUUUUUGGUUUUCUUUAUUCAUCUUUCUUUUUCACCGGUUUCCAUUGGAUUCUUUCUUUUUUAUGUGGUUUUCUUUAUGGGUUUCAUCAGUUUUCUUCGGAACCUUACGAUUGACCUUUUUUGGUUUUCUAUGUGUUGUUCGUAUCUUUUUCCUCGACUUUCUGUGUAGAUUUUACAUUUACAUUUAAAAUAUAUUUUUAUGCAUGUUAAACAUCUUGAAAAUACACAAUCAUCAUUGUAAAAUAGAUUAUUUUAAUUGUCUAUAUUUUUGUGUACACUGUUAACAUUUUUUAUUACAUUGGUUAACUUYWYUUUAUAGCAGGUUAAUUAAUUUUUUUUAACUAUUNNNNNNNNNNNNNNNNNNNNNNNNNNNNNNNNNNNNNNNNNNNNNNNNNNNNNNNNNNNNNNNNNNNNNNNNNNNNNNNNNNNNNNNNNNNNNNNNNNNNAUGUCUUUUAGAACCAUGGAAUACUUAAAUAGUCUAGUCAAUGGAUGGGAAGAGCCACUUACCUUAACUUGAUGCUUUCAAGGAGUAUGAGUGGUUCAACGUGGACUUUAAGGUGUGCGACCUUAAAAUUAGCUUCCCUGUGCCACAUGUAGUGCACACAAAAUCCAAAUGUUGUUAGGAUUUAGCAUCAUAAUAAUCAUAAAAUAUUGGAAUUUCCAAUAGGUCUGUUUUCAACCCAAUGUCUCGAUGACCAAGGCAAGUAUUCCAAGUUUGUCAUGUACACGACAUAUUGGAAAAACUAUCUUGGAUGCAACAUGUGCUACGUGUUUGUAGUAUGUGUAGUACAAUCGAGAUGAUACAUAGAGAAUGUGCUUGCCAUAUCCAUUGCAUAUGGUAAAGAGAAGGUAUUCCUCUUUGUUGUCAUUAUAAGUUUCACUAUAGAAACUAUUUUGAUGGACAUCUCUAUGGUUUAGUAGGGUACGAGUUAAACCGGGAAGAAAUAAAGCAUCCUCAAGUUACACGAGUACCCACAGGGAUAGUAAGUAUGACUCAAAUUGAUCCAACAAAUACCUCACUAUGUCUAGCAAUUUUAAAAUAUAUCCUUUCUCUUUAACGAUAGUGGAAAGUUUCACUUCCCCGAGUAUAGAGUUUGUGGUGCAUAUGUCCACAAGGCACACAGGGGAUAGGNNNNNNNNNNNNNNNNNNNNNNNNNNNNNNNNNNNNNNNNNNNNNNNNNNNNNNNNNNNNNNNNNNNNNNNNNNNNNNNNNNNNNNNNNNNNNNNNNNNNAUUGCCCAUAGUGUCUUCAUCAAGAAGUCCUCUACAGGAUUUUGCAUCAUUUCUAUGUAUGUUGAUGAUCUCAACAUCAUCGGCAGUGCACCAGACAUUGAUGAAGCAAGCAAUCACCUAAAGAUGGAAUUUGAGAUGAAGGAUUUGGGUAAAMCCAAUUUUUKCUUWGGKAUUCAACUUGAGMACCUUCCCUCARGAAUCAUGGUACACCAAGMUGCCUAUAUCCARAAAMUNUURGAGARAUUCAAUAUGGACAAAGACAAAUCCUAUCCAUCUAAACUCCUAUGGUGGUUCGAUCUCUAGACAUAGAGAAAGAUCCGUUCAGACCAAGGAAUGAUGGACAAGAGGUGUUGGGACCUGAAGUUCCAYAYYUCAGUGCAGUUGGAGCGCUUAUGUAUCUUGCAAAGCACAAGACCUGAUAUUGCAUUUGCAGUGAAUCUACUUGCUAGACACAGCGCAGCUCCCACCAAACGUCAUUGGUCUGGAGUGAAGAAUAUCUUUCGAUAUCUCCAAGGCACACAGGGGAUAGGNNNNNNNNNNNNNNNNNNNNNNNNNNNNNNNNNNNNNNNNNNNNNNNNNNNNNNNNNNNNNNNNNNNNNNNNNNNNNNNNNNNNNNNNNNNNNNNNNNNNGAUCCCGAUCACGAUCACAAUUCAGCAUUCUGGGUCGACGGCCUGGUUGCCUCGAGGCCAGCCCACUCCAGUGUCCGCGGCCACUAAGUAAUGCUUAGUUUUCCCUUUUAAUACUAGGCUUAUAUAUAUAACUUGGGCCCUUCAAAUUUUGGGCCCUGUGCGGGCUGCACAUCUGGCACCACUGUAGGCCCGGCCCUGGUUCAAGAGCAGGUCCUAAAGCCAAAUAAAGGGAUACAUCGAGUAGCGGAAACUCGUAAGGGCUAAGCGGUGCCCAUGCCAUCAAGCCUACACCGACAGGCAUUCUGACUCGGAAGCGUCCUAGAUUGCAGGUCCGUCUCCGACGGCGUACUCAUCGCCAAACUCCGGUCCUUCCAUGUCUGGUCGAAUAACAUAACCUAGUGGCAAGCCAAUGAGUACUUUGAAUAGUACUCGCAAACAAGCCCAAUAGACAUAAAUGACUAAUGCAGGGCAGUAACACGUGCAUCUUUAGUGGAAUGCGAUGAGGUAGGUAUAGNNNNNNNNNNNNNNNNNNNNNNNNNNNNNNNNNNNNNNNNNNNNNNNNNNNNNNNNNNNNNNNNNNNNNNNNNNNNNNNNNNNNNNNNNNNNNNNNNNNNGUAGCAACUUGUUUACUACUUCAUGAUCAGUACCAAGUCCUUGAAGCUCACCUAAGAGGACACAUAGAUGAUCAUAAGUAUCGUGGACCCAUUCAUUUCCGGUUCUAUUGAAAAGAUUGAGGCAGUUUUGGAGAGUCUCAAUGUGAUAGUCUUUCCGUGUGGAUACACCCUUGUUCACUUUCUCAAGUUUAUCCCAGAUUCUGUUUGAAUUUUCCAACCUUUGGUGUCAAAGGAAUUGCGGCUUUAAGAGAUGAUUACUGACACGUCUAUGUUGCAUCAUGAUUUCUUAUUAGUAUUUAUAUGAUUCUUGGUCAUUAUCCCACUUUAUGGUACAAUUCUUAUGUCUUUUCUCUCUGAAUUUGCAAGGCACACAGGGGAUAGGGAAAUUGCCGAAAACUGGAAUUUUGGACCUGAAAACCAAGAAAAAGGCUGAAAAUUCACUCGACUCCGAAUGACCGGAAACUUCACGAGGAAUGUUUGUGGAAUAUAUAUGAAUUUAUGGAGCAAAAUAUACCAAAGGGGGCCACCUGUUGGUGCCAAGCCAAUAGGACGCGCCGUGAUGGCUUGGGGCCAUCUCCGAGGCACUUCAGCCUCCCUCUUCUGCUAUAAGUUGGGUUUNACCUAGAAAAAAUAGGAAGUANNNNNNNNNNNNNNNNNNNNNNNNNNNNNNNNNNNNNNNNNNNNNNNNNNNNNNNNNNNNNNNNNNNNNNNNNNNNNNNNNNNNNNNNNNNNNNNNNNNNGACCCUUUUUAAUUCUUCAUACUGAUUAGGAUAUGUCUCUACCCAUUGUUCCCAUAGAACUUUUACAGAUUCUCCUAAAAAUGUUUCAAGAUAUGUUAACAUAUCUUCUACCUUAGUUCCUAUAUUAUACUGGUUUUGUAUAUAUUUUUGAACUAUUAAACCUUUCCAUAUGCUGAUUAUAUUCGGCCAAUCUAUAGGGUCAUGAGCUGCUAGGUUUAAAAUAGCGCCAUCAUUCUUAUAAUUUUGAAAUUGCACUGGCUUUUCAAAAUCUCUUCUUUUAGCACCCAUAUAUCUAUAUUGUCCAGGGAUAUAUGUAGGUUGAUAAUCAUCCUUUUCUGGAGGCCAUUGUCCAGCUGAUCUGGUAGGUCUCUCUCUCUCUCCUUCUUCUUUUACCGAAGACUCGCCAUAUCCCUUUCUUCUUUAUUACUUACUUUCUACUUCCUAUAGUCUUCCUAUUGYCUAUUGUACUUAAAUUUUGUACGUCCCUACAUAUCCUAUCUAGUGUAGUUAAUAAAAUCUACUAUCUGCCUACCCAAUCUAUUAUUAAUUUCANNNNNNNNNNNNNNNNNNNNNNNNNNNNNNNNNNNNNNNNNNNNNNNNNNNNNNNNNNNNNNNNNNNNNNNNNNNNNNNNNNNNNNNNNNNNNNNNNNNNAUCUACUACUAUUACUCCACACAUCGACCGACUCCUGCCUACAUCUAGAGUAUUAAUUUCAUUAAGAACAGAGUGACGCAUUAAGUAAGGUGACAUGAUCUAGAGGAAUAAACUCAAGCAAUAUGAUUAAAACCCCAUACUUUUAUCCUUGAUGGCAACAAUACAAUGCGUGCCUCGCUACCCCUACUUUGUCACUAGGUGAGGACACCGCAAGAUUGAACCCAAAACUAAGCACUUUUCCCAUUGCAAGAAUUACCAAUCUAGUUGCCCAAACCAAACCAAUAAUUGGAAGACACUUGCAAAGAUAUGAAAUCAUGCAUAUAAGAAUUCAGGAAAGACACAAAUAAUAUUCAUAGAUAAUCUGAACAUAAACUCACAAUUCAUCGGAUCUUGACAAACACACCGCAAAAGAGUAUUACAUCGGAUAGAUCUUCAUGAAGAUCAUGAAGAACAUGGUAUUGAAGAACAAAGAGAGAGAAUAAGCCAUCCAGAUACUAGCUAUGGACCCAUAGAGGUCUGUGGUAAACUACCCACGCAUGAUCAGAGAGGACAAUNNNNNNNNNNNNNNNNNNNNNNNNNNNNNNNNNNNNNNNNNNNNNNNNNNNNNNNNNNNNNNNNNNNNNNNNNNNNNNNNNNNNNNNNNNNNNNNNNNNNCUUUGUGGUUUAUAAUAUUUGUUUUUCCGAUGCCUUUCUUCUCCAUACGUAAGCGGUAUUUGGACAAUGUUAUUGCAGAAAUUGUAAUCUGACUUCUUCAUAGACCUUUGGGCUUGUAUGCCUGUACAUACCUUUCUUAAUUGUUUAAAAACAAAUGUUAUGGCUUGAGAUAUAUUUACCACGUUUCCACCUGUUUCUUUUUUAUAUUCUUCAAAUAUUAUAGAUCCUAGAGGGUCUGGCAACUUAUUAAAAUAUCUUUCUACAACACCUACAUUAAACCCUUGCUUCGCAGUGGUAGCAUUAUAUAAAUAAUGUUGAGAGAAUUCUUUUAUUCCUUUCCAGCUAGUUAAUGUUAGUUUUUCUAUUUCUCUCAACCUUUCGUUUUGUAGUGAGGUAUAUCCUAAUUCCGGGUCUUCUGCGAUGAUCAUAUUUGAAAUAACAUUUGCAAAGUUAUUAGGGUUACUUCCGACCCUUUUUAAUUCUUCAUACUGAUUAGGAUAUGUCUCUACCCAUUGUUCCCAUAGAACUUUUACAGAUUCUCCUAAAAAUGUUUCAAGAUAUGUUAACAUAUCUUCUACCUUAGUUCCUAUAUUAUACUGGUUUUGUAUAUAUUUUUGAACUAUUAAACCUUUCCAUAUGCUGAUUAUAUUCGGCCAAUCUAUAGGGUCAUGAGCUGCUAGGUUUAAAAUAGCGCCAUCAUUCUUAUAAUUUUGAAAUUGCACUGGCUUUUCAAAAUCUCUUCUUUUAGCACCCAUAUAUCUAUAUUGUCCAGGGAUAUAUGUAGGUUGAUAAUCAUCCUUUUCUGGAGGCCAUUGUCCAGCUGAUCUGGUAGGUCUCUCUCUCUCUCCUUCUUCUUUUACCGAAGACUCGCCAUACUCCCUUUCUUCUUUUAUUACUACUUUCUACUUCCAUAGCUUCCAUUGCUAUUGUACUAAAUUUUGUACGUCCCACAUCAUCUAGUGAGUUAAUAAAAUCACUAUCUGCCUACCCAAUCUAUUAUUAAUUUUCAUCUUCUAACCACAUAUNUUUUACUAAUUCCUUCUUCCUCUCUAUAACUUUCUAGUAAUAACUUAUUAUUUAUACUCCUAUGUCUCUUCUUNNNNNNNNNNNNNNNNNNNNNNNNNNNNNNNNNNNNNNNNNNNNNNNNNNNNNNNNNNNNNNNNNNNNNNNNNNNNNNNNNNNNNNNNNNNNNNNNNNNNUAGCCUCCCCACGGCCAAUCAAACAUUUUCCCACAAAUAGUGAGAAGUACUGAAGCACAGGAAAAUGUAUGCUUGCAAUUCUAGCGCGAGACACUCCUCUCUCCUCUCCAACAGCAAUAGAACCAAUGAAAUCUUCCAAGUCCCAUGGACGAGGGUCACGGAUAUCCCCAACAUAAGGUAAUUUGCAUACAUUGUAAAAAUCCUGCAGCGUCAUGCACUGGGGAACAUCGUAUAUCAUGAACUCAACCAUGGGAGGAUUCUUCCUCGGAUAAAAGUUGAAGCUUUGAUCGAAAAUAUUGGUGAGGAGGAGAUAUUGUGGGCACUUAUCUUCAACGAACGCAGUAAGACCUGCGUUCUCCACCAAGUAAUAAAAGUCUUCAUAAAGUCCGGCGGCACGCAAAAUUCAUCACUUGGCCACUCGCACGCUCGAACUUCUGCGACUCGAAGGACUACGUACUUGGGGUGGUUCUUCUCAUCCUCCUUGUGAUUAUGGCUUGAAGAGCCUCUCAAGAACCUCCUCAUAUUUUCCUUUUCCUAGCUCUGAAAAAUUCUAAAAUUUUUGGAGACUUCAAAAGAAAAGUGAACAAGGAUCAACCCAACUUGUAGCAACUACUCCUACUAGUGCCUAGAGACCGUAUCAUGUGCUAAAACUACUUAGGACCAUCUAAAAUCAACUUUUAUAUCUCAAGAACAGGGUAACCAAGGUAGCAAAAAUUCGCGAAGGAUAAAGCACUAGAGCAAAAACUAAUUGGACCAAUCGAGGAGUCACUUACCAAGGAGUAAUUUCCCCAAAACAGUUCGGAGAAUGGUGCUUUGAGCAAAGAGAUAGAAAAUCACAGCCAAAUGAGCAAGAACACGGGUUUGAGAUGCAAAACAAUUUUUUCUGGAGGUGGAAGAAGAGGCUGGGAGCUGGAAUGAGUGGAGGGGGUGCCUGUGGGCCCCACAAGCUUGCACCCCGCCACCAGGGGGUAGGUGGCGGUGGGGGGCUCGUGGCCCACUGGUCAGGCCCCCUAGCCAGCUCUCAGGCCCAGAAAUUUUCAAAAAUUCCAGACAAAAUCAUACUAAAUUUUCAGGACCAUCGAAGAACUUUUAUUUCGAGGUAUUUUUCUCCGGUACGCUAAAACAGAAAACAAGGAAAGCUAAACUAAUUCCAUCAUUUUUCUUCUAAGCAAAAGAAAAUGAAGACCCUCAAACCAGAGGUAUGUGACUCUCUGAUUCAUCUGUUUCAUGGUCAUCGAAAGAAAUUCGUCAAUGGGGUUGAUCAAGUCCUUAUGACAAAACUUUCUUGAAUCGCAAGAGAGAACGGAGAAUUUUCGAAUAGCCACUAAGUCACCUCAAUGGGGAUAUAAAUCUCCCCAACCAGCAAAUCAUACUUCAUCUUGAAGCGAGGAAUAGGGCAUUCAAAGCUCCCAAUGAGAAUCGAUGAAGUCUUUUCAAUAGCAUUGAUGCAAUGUACUGGGUACCGUUUCUUCAGAAAGUGCACUGUGUGCUCAUUACCGUUGACGUGGAAGGUGACAUUGCCUUUGUUGCAAUCUAUAAUAGCCCCUGCAGUGUUUAAAAAGGGUCUUCCGAGGAUGAUAGCCAUGGCAUCGUCCUCGGGAAUAUCAUAUAUAACAAAGUCUGUUAAGAUAGUGGUAUUAGCAACCACAACAGGCACAUCCUCGCAAACACCGAUAGGGAAAGCAGUUGAUUUGUCGGCCAUUUGCAGAGAAAUUUCAGUGGGUGUCAACUUAUCCAACUCAAGUUUAUGAUAAAGAGAAAGCGGCAUAACACUAACACCAGCUCCAAGGUCACAUAAGGCAGUUCUUAUGUAGUUUCCUUUAAUGGAGCAAGGUAUAGUGGGCACUCCGGGAUCACCAAGUUUCUUAGGAGUUCCACCUUUAAAAGUGUAGUUGGCAAGCAUGGUGGAGAUCUCAAGAUCUGGUAUCUUCCGUUUAUUAGUCACGAUAUCUUUCAUGUACUUGGCAUACGGAGACAUCUUGAGCAUAUCAGUUAACCGCAUCUGCAUAAAGACGGGUCUUAUCAUCUCAACGAAGCGCUCAAAAUCCUCAUCAUCCCUUUUCUUGGAUGGCUUAGGAGGAAAGGGCAUAGGUCUCUGAACCCAUGGCUCUCUUUCUUUACCAUGCUUCCUAGCAGUAAAGUCAUUCUUGUCGUAUCUCUUAGGUUGUGGAUUAUCAGGAUUAAUCGUAGGUUCAAUCUCCACAUUCUCAUCAUGGCUAGGUUGAGCAUUAUUAUGAACAUCAUUGUCCAUAUUGUCUCCAGGUUCAUGUUCAUCACCUGAUUGUGUUUCUGCAUCAGACGCAAAAAUAUCAUUAGGUUCUUCAGGUGUGAUAGUAUUUGGUGAACUGGCGUGCAGGUUUCUAUCAUCCUUCUUCUUCUCCUUAGGAUGACUAGGUGUAUUAGCAUUGAUUCCUUGAGAAUCUUGAUCAAUUCUCUUAGGAUGACCUUCAGGAUACAAAGGUUCCUGAGUCAUUUUUCCUCCUCUAGUAAUGACUCUGACAGAGUUGUCAUUUAAUUCAUUGAGCAGGUCAUUCUGAGCUUUAAGUACUUGUUCUACCUGAGUAGUAAUCAUAGAGGCAUGUUUACUCAGAACCUUCAGAGCAUUGAUAUUUCUGUCUACACAAGCACUUAGAUGGCUAAGCAUACGAGCACUUUGUUCCAAAUGUCUGCUAACAUAAUCAUUGAAACUCUGUUGUUUGGCAACAAAGUUGUCAAAUUCAUCAAAGCAUAGGCUAGCAGGUUUAUCAAAAGGAAUAUUACUCUCAUCAAACCUAUGCAGAAAAUUCACUUCUACUACCUGUAUCGGGUUAUCGAGACCAUGGAUCUCUUCGAUAGGUGGUAGAUUUUUGACAUCUUCAGAUCUAAUGCCUUUCUCUUGCAUAGAUUUCUUGGCUUCUUGCAUAUCUUCGGGACUGAGGAAUAGAAUACCUCUUUUCUUAGGAGUUGGUUUAGGAGGUGGUUCGGGAAUAGUCCAAGCAUUAUCGUUGAUCAAGAGGUUAUUCAGUAGGGUCUCAGCUUGUUCUACAGUUCGUUCCCUAAAAACACAACCGACACAACUAUCUAGGUGGUCUCUAGAGGCAUCGGUAAGUCCGUUAUAGAGGAUAUCAAGUAUCUCGUUCUUCUUAAGAGGGUGAUCAGGCAAAGCAUUCUGUAGCUGGACGAGCCUCCCCCAAGCUUGUGGAAGACUCUCUUCUUGGAGUUGAGCAAAGUUGUAUAUUUCCUGCAAGGCAGCUUGCUUCUUAUGGGCAGGGAAAUAUUUCUCAUAGAAGUAAUAGACCAUCUCCUGGGGACUACGCACACAUCCAGGAGCAAGAGAGGUGAACAGGCUUUAGCAUCAUCCUUUAGAGAGAAAGGAAACAGCUUAAGGAUAUAGUAGUGCGGAUCUUCUCCUCAUUAGUGAAAAGGUUGGCUAUUUCGGAUAGUUUGGCAAGAUGGGCUAUGACCGUCUCAGACUCAUAACCGUGAAAAGGAUCAGAUUCAACUAGAGAGAUUAUCUCAGGGUCGACAGAGAAUUCAUAAUCCUUAUCGGUGACAAAGAUAGGCGAAGUGGCAAACUUCGAAUCAUUUCUCAUCCUAACUUCCCGAGAUUUUUCCUUCACUUGAGAAUUAAUUUCUCAGCGUCAUAGGCAUCCUUACACGCAAGAAAAUCCUCAGAUAUCUCUCCCUCCAUAACGUAACCCUCAGGAAUAUCAGGCAAUUCAUAUCUAGGAGAGCUAGAUCUAGCAGGAGCAAAAGCAAGUUCUAUCUCAAUAGCAUCGGCAGUUUUAGAAGCAUCACGAGCAUUGGCAGUAACUCUAGCAAUAUGAGCAUCAAGGAACACUCCUAGUGGAACAGGCAAAGGAGCAUAUCUAGCAGUAUCACGCAUAGCAUCAUCUGGCAAAAUAGCAUCUCUAGCAUCAUCAGGCAAAGAAGUAUCAAUCAUAGCAUCUCUAGCAGUAUCAGGCAUAGUAUCAAGCAUAGUAUCAUCAGGCAUAGUAUCAAGCAUAGCAUCUCUAGCAGUAGUAUCACAAGCAUCAUCAAGCACAGGCGACAUAUCAAGAUAUCUAGCAGGAGGUGAUGUCGCAAACUUACUCAUAACUGAAGGUGAAUCAAGUGCAGAGCUAGAUGACAAUUCCUUACCUCCCCUCAUAGAUGAGGGCAAGACUUUGGUCUUCGGAUCCUUCAGAUUCUUCAUAGUGAUCAGCAAAUAUAAAUCCCAAGUGACUCAGAGAAUAUAGCAAUACCUCCUCGGCAACGGCGCCAGAAAAAUGCUGACGUAAGCUGUGCUUCCCUGGCAGUGGCUCUAGAAAAGUGAUGAUCCUGCAAUCUCUAGUGUUAGCUAGACGAAUGCUUAUAACAACUAACCUUCUCCUGCAACGGCACCAGAAGAAUGUUGAUAGCACUCCCGAGUAAUGAGACUAGAAGAAUGUUGUUGAUGGCCCACCAGCGCAUGGGUUUGCAGCAGUUUUCGAGUGUAGAGUAUUCGACCCAAUUUGUAGAUAAGCCAGUCAGGAGGUGAGAGUAUACUCUCGAGUAUUAGCAGCUGAAUUUGUCAGAUUCAACCACACCUGAAAGAUUAGUAUCUGCAAGCAUAGUAGUAACAGCAAAGUAACGAGUAACGGCAGUGUAACAAGCAAUAGAAGUGGCAAGGAACAACAGUAGUGACAGCAGUAGCAAGUAGCAACAGUAGCAAGCGAUAGUAGUAGCAACAGUAGCAGCAUAGCAAGACAAGUAACAGCAGUAGCAACAGUAGUAGCAGCAGCAGAGCAAGACAAGUAACAGCAGUAGCAAUAGUCGUAGCAGCAGAGCAAGACAAGUAACAGCAGUAGCAACAGUAGUAGCAGCAGGAGGACAAACUCGUAGGCAAUGGGUCGGUGAUUUGUUUGGAAGCAACAGUAGUACAAACUCAUAGGCAAUGGGUCGGUGAUUUGCUUGGAUGGUAUUCAUCAUGCAACAGCUAUAACACGGAGAGAUAUGUGGCUAGCUCCCGUUCAUCAAUGUGAUGUAGGCAUGCAUUCCGUGUGUCGUCAUACGUGCUUAGGGAAAAGAACUUGCAUGACAUCUAUUGUCCAUCCCUCCCGUGGCAGCGGGGUCCAAAAGGAAACUACAGGAUAUUAAGGUUCUCCUUUUAAUAAAGAACCGGACCAACGCAUUAGCACUUGGUGAACACAUGAACUCCUUAAACUAUGGUCAUCACCGGGAGUGGUUCCGGUUAUUGUCACUCCGGGGGUGCCGGAUCAUAACACAUAGUAGGUAACUACAACUUGCAAGAUCGGAUCUAAAACACACAUAAAUUGGUGGCAACAUGAUAAUUUCAGAGCUGAAAUCAUGGUACUCGGGCCUUAGUGACAAGCAUUAAGCAUGGCAAAGUAGUAGCAACAUCAAAUCUCAGAACAUAGUGGAUACUAGGGAUCAAUCACCAUCAAAACUAACUCGAUUACAUGAUAGAUCUCAUCCUACUCAUCACCGCCCAGCGACCCUACGAAUAGAUUACUCAGGAACGACGAAGAGCUUCAUGGAAUUGGAGAGGGAAGAAGGUUGAUGAUGACGAUGGCGAAGAUUUCCCCUCUCCGGAGCCCAAGACAGACUCCAGAUCUGCCCUCCAGAUGAAGAGCAGGUGGUGGCGGCGCCUCCGUAUCGAAAACGCGACGAAAACUUCUCUUUUUAUUUUUUCUGGGACGAAAGACAACUUAUAGAGCUGGAGUUGGGGGCGGCAGGUGCCUGUGGGCCCCACAAGCCUGCCCACCACCACCAGGGGGUGGUGGCGGGGCAGGGGCGUGUGUCCCACUGGCCCACCCCCUGAGGUGAAUCCUGGCGCAGGUAAUUUUGAUAUUUUCCAAAACUGCUCCCCGUAAAUUUUCAGGAUGUUUGGAGAACUUUGAUUUCUGCACAAAAAUAACACCAAGGCAAUUUUGCUGAAAAUAGCGUCUGUCCAGGUUAGUUCCAUUCAAACCAUGCAAAUUAUAGUCCAAAACAAGGGCAAAAGAGUUUGGAAAAGUAGAUACGUUGGAGACGUAUCUCCCGGCAACCCUGGAGUGACAAUAGCCAGAACCACUCCCGGAGAUGAGCACAGUAUGAGGAAUUCAUGUAUUCACCGCAUGUUAAUGCGUUGGUCUGGUUCUUUAUUAAAAGGAGAACCUUAAUAUCCUGUAGUUUCCAUUAGGACCCCGCUGCCACGGGAGGGAUGGACAAUAGAUGUCAUGCAAGUUCUUUUCCCUAAGCACGUAUGACUAUAUACGGAAUACAUGCCUACAUUAGAUUGACGAACGGGAGCUAGUUACAUAUCUCUCCGUGUUAUAGUUGUUACAUGAUGAAUCACACCCGUCAUACUCAUUCAUCACCAAUCCACUGCCUACGAGUCUUCUACUACUGGUCCUUGCUACGUUACUUUGUCUAGGCUUGUCGCUUGCUACAAAGGGAUUGGGCCACUUUGCUACUACCGUUACUCUGCUGCUGCUGCUACUGCUAUUCCUUGCUACUUCGCUGUUACUUGUUGCAAGAUCCUUUUUCGUCACCGUUGUCGUGGAAGAGUAGUUCCCCGUCCACGUGCAACUUACUCGCGCCAUUGAUACAACAGUUAGGAAUAGUCUGCCGUCAACAGAUCGUUUCUGACACCGUUGCUAUCAUACUACUUUGCUACUGAUACUUUACUUGCAGACACUAAUCUUUCUGGUGUGGUUGAAUCUGACAAACUCAGUUGCUAAUACUUGAGAAUAUUCUUUAGCCUCCCCUUGUGAGCGAAUCAAUAAAUUUGGGUUGAAUACUCUACCCUCGAAAACUGUUGCGAUCCCCUACACUUGUGGGUUAUCAUUGAACCUUUGGGAAUUUUAUCAAAACCAAAAGAAGACCCGGUGUUUGAUCUCAAACCUCUUCCGAGUAUUCUCAAGUAUGCUUAUUUCGAUGAAAAGAAAGUAUAUCCUGUUAUUAUCAAUUCUAACCUUUCAGGAUAUGAAGAAGAGCGAUUAUUGGAAGUCCUUCGUAAACACCGAGGUGCUAUUGGGUAUACCCUUGAUGAUCUUAAGGGGAUUAGUGCAUCUAUUUGUCAGCAUACUAUCAAUCUUGAGCCUGAUGCUAAACCGGUUGUUGAUCAUCAACGACGGUUAAACUGGAAGACCGAAAUCCUCAAGCUUCUAGCCGCAGGUAUUAUCUACCCUAUAUAUCAUAGUCAGUGGGUAAGUCCAGUACAUUGUGUUCCCAAGAAAGGAGGUACGACUGUGGUUCCUAAUGAUAAGAAUGAACUAAUACCUCAAAGAAUUAUUAUUGGAUAUAGAAUGUGUAUUGAUUACAAGAAGGUGAACAAGGCAACCAGGAAGGACCACUACCCGUUGCCGUUCAUCGACCCAAUGCUUGAAAGGGUAUCCAAAAACACUCACUUUUGCUAUCUUGAUGGGAACUCUGGCUUCUCUCAAAUUCAUGUUAAUACUGCCGAUCAAGAGAAGACCACGUUUACUCGUCCCUUUGGUACUUAUGCUUAUACACGUAUGCCUUUUGGUUUAUGCAAUGCUCCUGUUACUUUUCAAAGGUGUAUGUCCGCUAUCUUUCAUGGUUUUUGUGAGGAAAUUGUGGAGGUCUUCAUGGACGAUUUCUCCGUCUAUGGAACCUCUUUUGACCAUUGUCUCCGCAACCUUAAUAAAGUUUUGCAAAGAUGUGAGGAGACGAAUUUGGUACUCAACUGGGAGAAGUGUCACUUCAUGGUCAAUGAGGGAAUUGUUCUUGGCCACAAGAUUUCAGAAAAAGGAAUCGAGGUGGACAGGGCAAAGGUUGAAGCAAUGUAGAGAAUGCCUUAUCCAAAAGACAUCAGAGGUAUUCGUAGUUUCCUCGGUCAUGAUGUUAUCUAUAGGAGAUUUAUUAGAGACUUUUCUAAAACUUCGAAACCCCUUACUAAUCUUCUCCAGAAAGAUAUUCCUUUUGUGUUUGAUGAAGAUUGUAAGGAAGCCUUCGAAUUUCUUAAGAAAACCUUGAUAACCGCCCCUAUAGUCCAACCACCUGAUUGGAAUUUGCCAUUUGAAAUCAUGUAUGAUGCUAGUGAUUUUGAUGUUGGAGUUGUGUUAGGACAAAGGGCUGAUAAGAAACUGAAUGUUAUUCAUUAUGCUAGCAAAACCCUUGACACUGCUCAAAAGAAUUACGCUACUACUGAGAAAGAAUUUUUAGCGGUAGUGUUUGCUUGUGAUAAGUUUAGGCCUUACAUUGUUGAUUCUAAAGUCAUCAUUCAUACUGAUCAUGCUGCUAUUAAGUAUCUUAUGGAAAAGAAGGAUGCCAAACCAAGGCUUAUCAGAUGGGUCCUUCUUCUUCAAGAAUUUGAUUUGCAAAUUGUUGAUAGGAAAGGACCAGACAACCAUGCAGAAGACAACCUUUCCAGGAUGGAGGACAUACCACACGAUCCCAUUCCAGUCAACGAUAGUUUUCCUGACGAACAGUUAGUUGUUUUACAGGUGAAAUCUAAUUCGGAUCCAUGGUAUGCAUAUUAUGAUAACUUUAUUGUUGCAAAGUUUUUGCCUCUAGGUUUAACAUUCCAGUAGCGGAAGAAGUUCUUCCACGACUUGAGGUAUUACUUUUGGGAUGACCCGCAUCUUUUUAGAGAAGGUGCGGAUGGAAUUGUGAGGACAUGCAUACCGGAGCAUGAGCAGAAGAAUAUCUUGAGACAAUGCCAUAGCAGUCCUUAUGGAGGACAUAAUGCCGGUGAGAGGACCGCACACAAGGUUCUCCAAUCAGGUUUUUAUUGGCCUACUCUCUUUAAAGAUGCUAGAAAUUACGUUUUAUCCUGUGAUAAGUGCCAGAGAGUUGGUAAUAUUACUAGGAGGAAUGAGAUGCAUAUGAAUUAUUCACUAGUCAUUGAGCCUUUUGAUUGCUGGGGUUUUGAUUUUAUGGGUCCUUUCCCUCCUUCACACAAGUACACUCACAUCUUAGUAGCUGUAGAUUAUGUGACCAAGUGGGUUGAAGCAAUCCCCACCGAAAGUGUUGAUCACAAGACAUCUUUGGAAAUGCUCAAGGAUGUAAUCUUCCCUAGGUUUGGUGUACCUAGGUACCUCAUGACCGACGGAGGAUCACAUUUUACACACGGUGCUUUUAGAAAAUCUCUAGCCAAAUAUGAUGUUAAUCAUAGAAUUGCUUCACCUUACCACCCUCAAACAAGUGGGCAAGUUGAGCUCACAAAUAGAGAGAUCAAGUUGAUCUUGCAAAAGACAGUGAACAGUUCUAGAAAGGACUAUUCCAAUAAGCUAGAAGAUGUCUUGUGGGCAUAUAGAACUUCUUACAAAAAUCCCAUGGGGAUGUCUCCGUAUAAGAUGGUUUAUGGCAAGGCAUGCCAUCUAGCUCUAGAGUUAGAACAGAAAGCUUUCUGGGCUGUUAGAGAGCUUAAUGUUGAUCCAAAGCUUGCUAGUGAAAAGCGUCUCAUGAACCUGACUUCUCUAGAUGAGUGGAGAAGUGAAGCUUAUGAGAGCGCAAAAAUGUUCAAACAAAAGGUAAAGAAGUGUCAUGACAAGAUAAUUUUGAAACGUGAAUUUAAUGUUGGUGACAAAGUUUUGUUGUAUAGAUCUUAUAUCAGGCUUUCUCCAGGUAAAUUACUUUCCAAGUGGGAAGGACCGUACCAUAUCAAAGAAGUCCACCGCUCCGGUGCAAUCAAUAUUAAUAAUUUUGAAGGUACAAAACCACAUGUUGUGAAUGGGCCAAGACUCAAGCAUUACAUGGCUGGAUACCCCAUCAAUGUAGAGGUGGAUGUGAUACAGGUAGCCUCUCACGAAGAACAUAUUGCAACACUGUAUCAGACACCUGCAGAAGCAGAAUAAGAAAAGGUAUGAGAUACGGUAAGGAAACUUUGCGAACAUCAAUAAAAGUUCUGUAUUAUGUGUUUUUGCAAAAUUAGAAAAAAUAUGAGCCGGAGCAGAGUCGGAGAGGAGCUCUAGGUUACCCAGGCGACCUGCUAGCACGGGCUAGCCCCUAGCCGCGCCAGGAGGCCCCCUGGACCACCCGGAGUUCGUCUCCGACCCUACUUUGGGUUGUUACCUUCCUUUUGGUGUAGAAAUUUUUCUUAUAUACUUUCCCGGAUCGUCCCAGCUUUGUAUCUUGCGAUUCCGUGUGUUUUCUCUUUCGACCUUUUUCUGCCAGGCUAAGAAGCUAUUGUUCGAGAUGUCUUCUUGCGACUCGAGCGGGGAAGAGUACACAGGUCGUCGUCUCUGCCGCGUCGAGCAGGAUAUCAACCAAGGGAAUGUCACCGGAUGGGCUACCAAUGAAGAGAUAGCCGCAAGACAAGCGGAGAUGGAGUGCUUCGUGAGAGAGGAAGUCAAGAUGGUCACCACCCAGCAAGAAGGAGAUCCUUCAUCACGAGGAUCCAGCUCCAACAACCCCAUCCUUGUGGGGUUUAUUAACCCUCAACAUGAUCUUUCUCUGAACCUUCCAGAAACUGCCCCUCCACUAGGAGCUCCACCUGUGUCAUCUACUAUAUCUGAAGCUUACAGAAUCACUAACCAAUUCUCUGAAGACCUUCGUGUGCUUAAAGUAUAGGUGGCCAUGUUGGAAGCUGAAAGCAAAACCCUUCGGUGCAUAAUAGCGGACUUGAAGAACAACAAGUAGGAUGAAAAGUGAAAUUUUCAUGGGUAAUGGCAUUUUCUUAGCUUGUCCCAAGCUUGGGGGAGUGCCCGGUAUCUUUAUUUUUUAUCCUUUACUUUUUAUGGUCAAGUUUAGUGUCGUAUCAUGUCUAGGGAAGUUAUCUUAUGAAAUAGGUGUUUGCAUUAAGGUCUAUCACUCCUUUGUGGAGAGCUUGUAUCCGUGAGCGUGCAGUGUCUAUGAUGGAAUAUUAAUGAGAAAGCUAUUGGUUUCUUUGUUGCACUUGGUAUCCUCUUCAUGCAAUCGAUCUUAUAUGGUGAUUCUUAUGCGAGUAUUUAUCUUACACAUCAGGUAUGGCUUUGAAAACUUUAUUUAAUCUUUGCAAACAUAGCAUUGGUCAUAACAACAAGCAAGAGUUUUUCUAGUAGCGACUUAGCCAAAACCUUAUGUUCUUAUGCUUGAAGUGUUAUGCUGACAAGGAAGACAACUUGAUGUUUUAUGCCAAUUCUUUAUGUAAAACUUUAUAUUGUUUUGCAUCCAAGUCAACAUUAUUUGUCUGCUCUUAAAAGCCUUUGCUAGCUAACCCUUGCACUAAGCGGGAAUACUGCUUGUGCAUCCAUACCCUGAAACCUCAACCUUCUCAAGAGUCCACCAUAUCUUCCGUAUACGUGGUAUUUCACCGCUACUCCUAAAGUAUAUUACUCAUGUGCUAUCUUUAAACCUUCAAAUAUUACUCCCUAUUUUGUGCCCCUGCUUUAGCUCACGAGGAAGUAGUAGGAAUUCUUGAUCUUCUCAUACUUGACAAGUUUUAUCCUGGGUUUGCAUGUUUAAUCUGCAAACCCCUAAUACCACAAGGGACUGGCAUGAGCGCGCCCAGCUCGUAAAAGAUAAUAACAACAAACAAAACCUCCUUCAUGCUUUGUUGAUGAGAAAACAGAAAACUUUGGUAGUGAUAAACAAAGGAGACUAAGGGGAUGUGAUCGUCCCCACUUUGGGAGCCGUUCCUCAAAACUUGUCCAGCAUGAGAAGUAUUGGGCUAUCUACUAGCAUUGGUUGACAAAUCAUGCACCUCUCAAAAGCUUGUUCUACAAUCUUGUUGAUUUCAAAAUCUCUAAAAAUCUCUAGCACAUGAGUUUUCCCUACUUCCCUAUGCGAAGGGCCAAUCUUUUACUUUUAUGUUGAGUCAGUAAACCUACUUCUUUCUAUCCUGAAAAGAGCAGACACGUUAUGUUGACAAAGAUGCAUGCAUUUAUAUUGAGAAUUGAGAAUUCCCAUAUCAAACCUUUGUUGACAUUAUCAUUAAAAUAAGUGAGAUGUUUGUUAGGACUAGCUAAAGCAAACAUCUUCUUUUGUGUUAGCAUUUUCACUUCUUGACUAAUAACAUGUUCUUUCAAAAAGAUUCAAUUGAUCUCAUCAAAAUAUAACAGGUAGAGCAAAAGUUAUUAGUUAUUAGUUGUUCUUUGACCAAGGACAUGUUUGCUAUGGUUUGAUGAGUUUUCUUAGCUCUACUUUUGAUUGUGAUUGAUACUACUCUUUCAUAAGGGCCUUAUGAGUUGAGAUUGUUGUUAAGGAUGGUUGAGUUUAGUAGAGAAAUUAUGAUGCUUCUUGUCCGUAUUUCUAUUUAUCGACACUUCACUCUCUAAACUUGUGGACAGGUUUAGCGAGCUCAGUAUUCGCUUGGGGACAAGCGAGGUCUAAUCUUGGGGGAGUUGAUACGUCCAAAAUGCAUCACUAUUUUGUAUCAUAAUUUGUCUCUAUUCAUUGAUAUAUUUCACUUUAUGAUGGUGUACUUAUAGUGUUUUGGCUUAUUUUACACAGCUUGCAACUUUCCAGUGCCGAAACAGCAGACGCGGGAUUCAACGGAGAAAAUAGCACGAAGAGCUGCAAUAUCAGAACAUCUCCAAUUGUGAUGAAUUUUGAGGGAAGAAGUUUCCGAACAGGUCCCGAAGACAAACCAAAGAAGGGCCGGAGGGGGGCACACGUCACCCAGGCGACCUGCUGCCCCCCCCCCUAGGCCGCACCAAGAGACCGCUUGGGUGAUGGGCCCCGCCUCCGGUGCUCUCCUUUGGCUUAUAUGUUCCUCUUGACCUAGAAGUUCCGGGGACAGAAGAGUUUUCGCGAUUCCGCCGCCACUCCGUGGCGGAAACCUACACAGAAGAAAAGACCUUUCCGGCGGGCAGAUUCCGUCGGGGAGAACUCCUCCCGGAAGGGGAGAUCGUCCUCAUCGUCAUCACCAUCGUCACGGGCAUCAUCGAGAUCAUCAUCACCAUCAUCACCAAAAUCAGCACCAUCUCCACCUUCAUCCCAUCUACUUCACCAUUGCAAUCAGAGUUGUACCUUGCACUAUUCAUCCCCUCUACUCUACCGGUGUUGAUUACUCUUUUGUGGUGAAUGCUAUUGAGUUUUGUUGGAGGAUUAUUGUUAUGACCAGAUUGUUAAUCAUAUUUUCAUCACCUCUGAUCAUGAUCUCUUUUAUGUCUUGUGAGUAGUUCCGUUAGUUCUUGAGGUCAUGGGAAAAGUCUAGAUGGUAGUAGUCAUAUGAUGUUGAACUAAUAUGUGUUGAUUAAUAUUUAAGUUAUGGUGUUAUUCUUCUAGUGGUGUUAUGCGAACGUCGACUACAUAACACUUCAUCUUUUUAAGGACCUAGGGGAAUGCAUCGUGUAUAAAGAAUGCUUAUGGUGGGUUGCCGGAGUGACAGAAACCUGAACCCCAGUUCGCAUACUUUUGCAUGAGUAUUGGAUCCUAAAGCUUAUUGCUAUGGUUAGGCUUAGCCUUAAUUUCUCUCUUGUAUUUGUGGAUGCUUGCAAGAGAAAUUAAUCAUAAGAGUGUACUUGUCUUAGCCUAGAAGGUGCACUAGUUAAGAUCCACCCACAUAACACUUAUCAAUACAAAACAUAGUACUAGACAGAGUAUGGCGAAAGCACUUGACUAGCUCUCCCGUGUGUCCUCAGGAACGCCUUAGUCUUUAUAAGUUUAGUCCCUCGACUUAUCCUUUGUGUUUAAAAGGAUUGAGCCACUUUCUGCACCUCAACACGAUUUACUUUACUUGCAUUUAUUUCCUUGUUGCUUGUACUAGAAAACCCAUAAAAAGUUACCUUUCAGUACUUAUAGUUAUUCCUUGCUCAAGAUCACUUGUCAAUACCUUCUGCUCCUCGUUGGGUUCGACACUCUUACUUAUCGGAAAGGCUAUGAUAGAUCCCCUACACUUGUGGGUCAUCAAGAGGCUGGACACUUCGCCCGACAAUGCCCAAAGGCCAGGAAUGGUGCAACUAAAGCUAACCCUUCCAGAUUUGACCCAGCACCAAAGCGCAACAACUUCAACCCCAACAACAAUCACGGGAAGGGUCAUGUAAAUCUUGUCGCCAAAGAAGAUGCUAUGAACGUGCCUGAAAUAGUGCUCGGUAAGUUUCCUAUCAACAAAAUUCCUGCCAUGGUUUUGUUUGAUUCUGGAGCUUCCCAUUCGUUCAUUUCGGAAAAAUUGUUUCAAAACACAACUUUUCAACCCUCCCCUUGGAAAAUUCGAUGACUAUCAAGACCCGGAAAAUUCAAUGACUAUCAAGAUUACACAAAAAUAUUGCUAGGACGUUGCUAUUGAGAUCGAAGACUCGACGUUUUGGGCAAAUCUCAUUGUGAUCAAAAGCAACAAUGUGGAUAUUAUUCUGGGAAUGGACUAGCUAAAUACCAACAAGGGAUUUAUUGACUACUUCAACCGAAUAGUCACACUCACCCACUAUAAGGGUAAAAGAGUGAAAGUUGCAGCUUAAAGAAGGGGAAAUCGGACAAAGCACAACUAAAUCAGAUGGAAGCUACUGAGUUGAAGGACAUCCCAGUGGUAUGUGAAUUUCCGGAUGUAUGUCUUGACGAACUACGAGGCUUGCCACCAGACCAGGAAAUAGAAUUUGUCAUUGAACUUGCACCUUGCACCGCCCCAAUAUACAAAAGUCGUACUGCAUGGCACCUACCGAGUUAGUCAAACUCAAGAAGCAAAUAAAAGAACUGUUGGACAAAGGAUACAUCAGACCAAGCUCUUCACGUUCGGGAUCACCAAUAUUAUUUGCCAAAAAGAGAGAUGGGACGCUAAGACUUUGCAUCGAUUAUCGAGCCCUCAAAAUGGCCACCAUCAAGAACAAAUAUCCACUACCCAGGAUAAAUGAUUUGUUUGAUCAAUUAGCACAAGAAAGGGUAUUUUUGAAGAUCAAUUUGCGGUCAGGGUAUUAUCAGCUUAAGAUACGUUCAGAAGACAUUCCAAAGACAACAUUUAUGUCACGAUAUGGAUUGUAAGAGUUUACGGUAAUGCCUUUCGGACUAACAAACGCACCAGCUUACUUCGUGCAUUUAAAUAAUAAGGUAUUCAUGAAGUACAUGGAUAAGUUUGUCGUAGUCUUCAUCGACGACAUACUUGUCUACUCCAAGAACCCCGAAGAACAUGCGGAACACCUAAGAAUUGUGUUGGAAGAACUGCGUAAACAUCAAUUGUAUGCCAAGUUCAGCAAAUAUGAGUUUUGGCUGAAGCAAGUUGGAUUUUUGGGACAUGUAAUGACCAAAGAAGGCAUAGAUGUGGAUCAUGAGAAGGUCAAGGCUGUAAGUGAAUGGCCGCAACCAGCCAACGUGAUAGACAUCCGAAGUUUCCUUGGAAUGGCGGGAUACUACCAGAGAUUUAUUGGAAAAAAAAUCCGUGAUUGCCAAGCCCAUGACCCAGCUACUCAAAAAGGAAAAGAAGUUUGAAUGGACUGAAGCAUGUGAGAAUAGUUUCCAAGAGCUGAAGAAGAGACUGAUCACGGCUCCCGUGUUGAUUGUGCCAGACUUAAACAAAAAAUUUGAAGUAUAUUGUGACGCCUCAAGGAAAGGCCUCAGAUGCGUACUUAUGCAGCAAGGGAAGGUCGUGGCUUAUGCAUCACGACAACUACGCCGACACUAAGAAAAAUACCUCACUCAUGAUUUGGAGUUGGAUGUCAUGAUACACGCUCUCAAGGAAUGGAGGGGGUUUUUGCUUGGAAAUCGCUGUGAAAUAUACACUGAUCAUAAGAGUCUCAAAUAUAUUUUCAAGCAGCCUGAUCUCAACCUACGACAACGGCGUUGGUUGGAGUUAAUUAAAGAUUAUGAUGUGGGCAUUCAUUACCAUCCUGGUAAGGCUAACAUGGUAGCCGAUGCACUUAGCCGGAAACCCACCUCAGACAAGGGCCCUGUACAGAAGCUAAGACCUGAGAUUGCGAAAGAGUUCGCUCUGCUAAACCUGCUUCUCGUUCCAGAAGGCACAGUGGCACAACUAGAAGUACAACCCACUGUGGAAGAGAAUAUCAAGAAGGCUCAGAAGGAACACCCCAGCAUAGAGGCAUAAAGAAAAAGGUGAACCUUGGGAAAGCCCCUGAAUUUAUUAUUGACGAACAGGGAAUUUUAUGGUAGGGAGACCGACUGUGUGUACCAGACUAAGAGGUCCUCAAAGAUCAAAUUUUGGAAGAAGCUCACAAUGUGCCAUACUCUAUCCACCCCUGAGGUACAAAAAUGUUCAAAGAUCUCCAGACAAAAUAUUGGUGGCACAAAAUGAAAAGAGAUAUUACCUCUUUCAUUGCCCGUUGUGAUUCAUGCCAACGAAUCAAGGCGAAACACCAGAAGCCAGCAGGACUGUUGCAACCUAUGAAUGUACCCGAGUGGAAGUGGGAUGAGGUAGGCAUGGACUUCAUUGUCGGACUACCCCAGUCACGACACGGACACGAUGCUAUAUGGGUUAUCACAGAUCGACUCACAAAGAUGGCUCACUUCAUUCUAGUAAAGACUACGUACUCCACUCAGAAGCUAGCAAGGUUAUACCUCGCCCGUAAUGUGUUCUUGCAUGGGAUACCUAAAACUAUUGUAUCCGAUGGAGGCACCCAGUUUACAUCAAGACUUUGGGAGUAUUUGCAACAAGCUUUGGGAACUCAGUUAGUGUUAAGCACAACAUAUCACCCUCAAACUGGAGGACAGACCGAACAUGUAAAUCAGAUUCUCGAAGACAUGCUCAGGGCUUGUGUGCCCACAUAUGGAAACAGUUGGGAAGACAGUUUGCCUUACACCGAAUUCUCGUACAACAACAGUUAUCAAGCAAUCUUACAAAUGUCACCUUUUGAAGCCUUAUAUGGAAGAAGAUCUCGUACGCCUCUAAAUUGGUCAGAAUCCAGAGAUAGUUGUAUCUUCGGCCUGCAACUACUUCAAGACGCAGAGGACAAGGUAAGACUCAAAAGGGGCUGACUCAAGACAGCCCAAAGCCGUCAGAAAAUGUAUUACGAUCAGAAACACCAUGACAUCGGCUUCAACCCAAAUGAUUAUGUAUAACUAAAGGUAUCACCCAUGAGAGGACUACAAAGGUUCAAGGUCGAGGGCAAGCUUGCGCCCCGUUUCAUUGGACCAUUUCGCAUAAUUGCUCGAAGAGGCCAAGUUGCCUACCAACUGGAUCUACCCGUAGAACUGUCAUACAUGCACGACGUGUUCCACAUUUCUCAACUAAGGAAGUGUGUAAGGAACCGUGAUCAACAGGUAGCCAAUGACAGUAUAGAAGUGCAACCAUACCUAUCCUAUCAUGAACAACCCAUGAAAAUAUUAGAGGAAGCAGAAAGGAGGACACAACAGAAGGUCACCAAACUAUUCACGGUACAGUGGAGCAACCAUUGAGAGGAUGAGGGCACUUGGGAAAGAGAGGACUUCCUGCAGAAAGAGCAACCGCAACUUCCUGAGGACUGGCUAAAAUCUCGGGGAUGAGAUUUUUCAUAAGGGGGUAGGUGUUGUAACAACCAAAUUUUUAAUUGGAUUUCUUGAUUUUAAAAAAUUAGAUUUUAAAUUUUGGCUUUCAUAAAAAGCUUUGAAGCUCUUUGACAACCUCUUUGAGAAAACUUUUAGAGCUUUCUUUUCUCAACCUGCCUGGUUUAAAAAGUAUUCUUUUAGUCUGUUCUCAAAAUGAACUGGUUUGGGGGAAUAUUCUAUUCUUUUGCAAAACCUUGGAAAUUAUUCCUAUAGGUUCAAUUAUUUCUUUAAAAGAUUUUCUUUUUCCUCCAUCCUGUUUUAGACCAUUUUGCACUUCUACAUCAUCUAGGUCUUCAUUCUUAUGUAUUUACCAAAACUUUAGAAAGGUUGGACCACCCUUCAUAAUUUAUUUUUAAUAAAAGAAAUUUAUGUAAUCAGUUUUGACCCUAGCAAAUUUACAAAGGAACUCAGUGAUUCCUUUGAAAUUUUGGACCCCAAACUCUUACCCUUAGAAGACCUUACUACCCUCAACCUAUUUCACCAAAAACCUUGGGUUCACAAGUUUGAAAUUUUCAAAUUUGAUUUGAAUCAAGUUUCACCAAAGGAUUCUGUUUUUAUUAAAAACCUGCCUUAAACAUUUUCAAAAAUUCCGAAAAUUUGCAGACAGCCUCUGCACUCAAUGAGAGGCCAUCUCAUAAAUUUUCAGCUCCAAAGACCUUUUCCACGUGCUAGUUUCAUUUGAUCAAACAUCUGGUGGGCACUGUAGCCAUCUAUCUCUGAAAUUGAUUCAGUCAAUUCUUCACACUACAGUGCUUCAUUGAUUCAGUCCAUGUUGCCGCUUCAUCAAUCUCAGCAGUGCCAACAAAGACCGUUCGUCCCUGUUCUCGUGCCUAUCCUCCUGCCGCAUGUUCCCUUGGAUGUUUGCUGGCAUCGGUGGUGAGCUGACCUAGGCUAGCCAGCUCUGAACGCAUCACCAGCACCGGCUGUCGCGGCCACCAGAGCCACCUCUAUUGCAGCCUCUCGCUGUUCGGCACCGCCCAAUGCCCCUCUGAUCUCCGCGUGUCCUUGCUCUCCAGUACGCGCCGCAUUUGCCGUCGCCACGUCCCGGGGAGCGUAGAGCACGACCUCUCCUGCCGCCGUGCACAAGGAAGACCGCAUUGUCGAGCCGCGUCUUGUGCCGAUGGUCGACCGAGCUUAGGCCAAAAAUGGAACCUCUGCAUCAAGUAGAUACUAACCCAACCCCUAACCCUUCUGAUUAAGCCCCGAGAUCGCCGGAAUUUGUCGCCGGAGAUAAGCUCCGCGGCACCCCCUCUAGGGACUCUAUAAGUAGAGCUCCUCCCCUGUUACCGAACCCCUCAUCCACUCAACCACCUUCCCUCCUCUCUCCGAAGCCUUUCCCAAGCCAGAGAAGGGCCUCGGAGAGGUCUUCUUCUCCGACUCCGGCCACUUCGAUCCUCCCCUGGUCUCGACGGCAUUCGAGCAAGGUAGGCGCAGAGCUGAGCCCUAGAACCUUCGAGUAGCUCCUUGGUGAGCUCCUCCUCAUAAGCCCAUCGUCAAUUUGGUCGCAGGUGAGCUCCUCUGUGAGUUCCGGAAUUGCCCGAAGCUGUCGUCCACCGGAGCAAGGUCACCGUCUACGUGAAGCCUCUCCUUCGCCCAAAUCUUCCUCUCAUCAACGUGCGGGUCCUUGGUGAGUGCGUCGACAUCCUCAGCCAUCCCUCUCCUUUCUUCUAUCUCCGCUGGCGACCAUCGCAAGCCUGUUGCGCCAGUGAAGAUUCAAACCUUACACGGGGGACCCCCUCGUCAGUGUCAGCUCUCUCUCUGAAUCGUUUUCAGCGAAAGCGCCUUUGCUAGAAGCCGCCUUCACUGCGGGUUGGCGUAUUUCUAAUUCGAGCGCUCUAAGUUUCUCACACUAGCCCCUAUUCUAAUUAUGUUUAAUUACAAAAUAGCCCCUAGUUUUAUUUUGCUUAUAACUUUUUAUCUACAAAACUUUUUCAUUGAUUCUUUUUGCAAAAUCUUUCUACGAGGGUCUAGUUUAUUUUCGGAUUUAUUUAAAAAUUAAUUGGAUCUAGUAGCUAGGCCUCAACUCGUACGAUGUUACAUGUUAUAUAAUGUAGAUUCCGAGGAAGGAAACACCGACGUUAACUUCACCAAGAUUGGUCCCGACUACGUGGAACCAGGCAAGCAUGUUUGAACUUUUGAUGUGUCAUUUGCUCACUAACAAGAAUUUAAUAUUCAUCCAUUUGCAUUAUUGAAGCAUGUUGCAUAUCUUAUAAAUAAUGUUAAAAACCUGACUAUGGCAAAUGAUGGUUAUGAGAGGUCGUGGAUAACCUAGUCACGCGGAACAUUAUAGGUUAUGGCAUGGUCAUGACAAGUGCAUAAUGGUAUUGGUAAGAAAUAGAUAACUCCAGUAUCGACCUAGAUCGAGUCUUGUCCGUGUCUUACUUUCUUUAUCGUGCUACCGCAGUUUCCUGAAUAAGGGUUCGGUAUAGUCGGUCGUAGGCCUAUUAUUAGUCACACACCAAGUAGAGGGGCCGUGAUGAAGGUAUACAUGGCCCUGGACUAAAUCUAGUCAUCCGGUCAGGGGCAUGGGUGUUUCCGGUCUGGGACCGAGAGGGGGGGCACUCCCUUGUAGCGCGCGGUAUAAAUUUGAUCCCAUGCUAGUCGAGGUCGGAGCCUUCCCGUCUUAUGGUUUUGCCCUAACAGCGCAGUCCGGGUGAAGUCAGGCUUCGCGGGGGUAAAGUGGGUGUGUGCUGGUUCUGAGUGUAUGCUUCUAAAAUACCGUGCAAGGGAUUAGUCGUAUUGACUAUCGGAACCCGUGAGCUAUGGGUAAAGGGUACACCCUCUGCAGAGCUAAAAAUAUUCGAGUAGUCGUGUCCAUGGUUAAGGGCGGUCAUUUGACAAGUCAAGUGUCGGUCUUAGAGUCGUCCUUGGAGUACGAGUGGUGGAACAAUAAUAGUUAUGGAUAUCUAACAAUAAUGUGGAAUAUUUUAAGAUUAUCUCCUUGGUUCAAGAAUUAUCUUGAAGGUUGGUUGUACCACCCGGAUACUUCUUAUUUAUUUAUAUGCCCUUUCUGUGGUGUCGCUAUGACACCCGACUGUGCCUUGUUAUUUAUUUAUAUGCCAUUUCUGUAGUGUCGCUAAGAUGCCCGAUUGCGGCUGUUAUUUAUUUUUAUGCCCUUUCUGUGGUGUCGCUAAGACGCCCGACUGUGACUUGUUAUUUAUUUAUAUGCCCUUUCUGCGGUGUCGCUAAGAUGCCCGACUGCGGUGGCUAUUUAUUUUUAUGCCCUUUCUGUGGUGUCACUAAGACGCCCGUUUGUGGCUUGCUAUUUAUUUUAUGCCCUGUAUGUGGUGUCACUCAGACGCCCGACGGUGGUUUACUAACCCUUGUUAACCUUUCGAGGCGUCGCUCUAGACACCUGAUCGGUGCAUUUUACCUUUCUAUUAGGAUAUCUCGGGAGGAUUACCGCACGAUUUAUCCACUAUCUUAAUUUAUUUCUAACACAUUCAUUUUGAUAAAUUAUGAUCUGAACCAUGCAUAUUAAUAACUGACUGCAUGCAUCUCAUCUUUUGUGCAAACUGUUUGCGAGUACUUUUCGAAGUACUCACUGGCUUGUUGAUGUGGCCAGAUAUGGAUGAAGGAGACCUCAUGGAUGAAGAGUUUGAUAGCGAGUCCGAUGUCUAGAGGAGUCCUAGACAGUCUUGCGGUCCUGGAGUGUGCCGCUAUAUUAUUUCACCGCUUCCGCCACCGCGAAUAAACCAUCAAGCCUCACUCUGAUGCUUGGCGCAUAGUAGUACUUGUCAUAUCACAUUACUCUGAUGUGACGUGCCGCUUUUAUUGCGAGCAGUAGAGUAUCCUAUUACCACUGUAACAUAUCCAUUUGUGUGAGACUUGGACAUGUUGUAAUAAAUUGUAGAGCAACCUCUGCUCUACCUGUUUAAUAUUAAGUACUACUGGUUUUCUCUAUCAAGAUGAGUCUAUCAGUGGGAAAUAAUUUUCUACACUGGAGACGCACAUGGCUGAUUUCCAAUUAUUUUAUGUGGAAACCAGUCGUGACAAUAUGUGGAUGACAUAUUGUUGAUGGUAAAUGAUAUAGAACUUUUGGAAAACAUAAAGGCAUAUUUGAAUAAGUGUUUUUCAAUGAAGGACCUUGGAGAAGGUGCUUACAUAUUAGGCAUCAAGAUCUAUAGAGAUAGAUCGAGACGCCUCAUUGGUCUUUCACAAAGCACAUACCUUGACAAGAUAUUGAAGAAGUUCAAUAUGGGUAAGUCCAAGAAGGGGUUCUUGCCUGUAUUGCAAGGUGUGAGAUUGAGCACAGCUCAACGCCCGACCACGGCAGAAGAUAGAAAAAAUAUGAGUAUCGCCCCCUAUGCUUCAGCCAUAGGAUAUAUUAUGUAUGCCAUGUUGUGUACCAGACCUGAUGUGAACCUUGCCAUAAGUUUGGUAGGGAGGUACCAAACUGAUCCCGGAGUGGAUCACUGGACAGCGGUUAAGAAUAUCCUUAAGUACCUGAAAAGGACUAAAGAUAUUUUCUCGUUUAUGAGGUGCCGAAGAGCUCGUCGUAAAGGGUAACAUCGAUGCUAGCUUCGAUACGGACCCGGAUGACUCCAAGUCACAAACCGGAUACGUGUAUAUUUUGAAUGGUGGGGCACUCAGCCGGUGAAGUUGCAAGCAAAGCGUCAUUGCGGCUUCUACAUGUGAAGCGGAGUACAUAACUGCUUCGGAAGCAGCACAGGAAGGAGUCUGGAUGAAGGAGUUCAUCACUGACCUAGGAGUGAUUCCCAGUGCGUCGGGCCCGAUGACUCUCUUCUGUGAAAACACUAGAGCUAUUGCCAUUGCCAAGGACCCCAGGUUUCACAAGAAGACCAAGCACAUCAAGAGUCGCUUCAGCUCCAUUCGUGGAUACAUUCAGGAUGGAUACAUAGAUAUUUGUAAAGUACAUACAGAUCUAAAUGUCGCACAUGUGUUGACUAAACCUCUUCCACGAGCGAAACAUGAUCAGCACCAGAACUUUAUGGGUGUUCAAAUCAUCACAAUGUAACUAGAUUAUUGACUCUAGUGCAAGUGGGAGACUGUUGGAAAUAUGCCCUAGAGGCAAUAAUAAAAUGGUUAUUAUUAUAUUUCCUUGUUCAUGAUAAUUGUCUAUUAUUCAUGCUAUAAUUGUAUUAACCGGAAACCGUAAUACAUGUGUGAAUACAUAGACCACAACAUGUCCCUAGUGAGCCUCUAGUUGACUAGCUCGUUGAUCAAUAGAUGGUCAUGGUUUCCUGGCCAUGGACAUUGGAUGUCUUUCAUAAUGGGAUCGCAUCAUUAGGAUAAUGAUGUGAUGGACAAGACCCAAUCCUAAGCAUAGCACAAGAUCGUGUAGUUCGUCUGCUAGAGCUUUUCUAAUGUCCAGUAUCAUUUCAUUAGACCAUGAGAUUGUGCAACUCACGGAUACCGUAGGAAUGCUUUGGGUGUGUCAAAUGUCACAACAUAACUAGGUGAUUAUAAAGGUGCACUACAGGUAUCUCCGAAAGUGUCUCUUGGGUUGGUACGAAUCGAGACUGGGAUUUUUUGUCACUCCGUGUGACGUAGAGGUAUCUCUGGGCCCACUCAGUAAUACAUCAUCAUAAUGAGAUCAAUGUGACUAAGGAGUUAGCCACGGGAUCAUGUGUUACGGAACGAGUAAAGAGACUUGCCGGUAACGAGAUUGAACAAGGUAUAGGGAUAUUGACGAUCGAAUCUUGGGCAAGUAUCAUACCGAGAGACAAAGGGAAUUGCAUACGGGAUUGAGUGAAUCCUUGAAAUCAUGGUUCAUCCGAUGAUAUCAUCAUGGAAUAUGUGGGAGCCAAUAUGGGUAUCCAUAUCCCGCUACUGGUUAUUGGCCGAAGAGGUGUCUCGGUCAUGUCUGCAUGGUUCCCGAACCCGUAGGCUCUAUACACUUAAGGUUCGGUGACGCUAGAGUUAUAAUGGGAAUUGUAUAUGUGGUUACUGAAAGUUGUUCGGAGUCCCGGAUGAUAUCUCGGACAUCAUGAGGAGUUCCGCAAUAGUCCGGAGGUGUAGAUUUAUAUAUGGGAAGUCCAGUUUCGGUCAUCGGAAAGGUUUCGGGGUUUAUCGGUACUGUACCGGGACCACCAAAAGGGUACCGGGUGUCCACCGGGAGGGUACACCUGUCCUGAAGGGCCACAUGGUCUGAAAGUGGGAGGGAACCAGCUCCCUGGUGGGCUGGUGCGAGCCACCAGAGGCCCAAGGAGCAUAGGGCAAAAACCCUAGGGCGUGGGGCUGCCUCCCUCCAACUUGGGAGGCAAGCCACCCCUAGGACUGUCGCCGCCCCCUCCUAGGUUUUCCUAGGGUGGCCGGCCCCCUCUCCCCUUCCUCCUAUAAAUAGAGGAGGGUUGAGAGGGUUGCGCACACCCCUGAACCUCUCCCCUUGGCGCAGCCCUACCUCUCCACUUCUCCUCCUCCGCGGCGCUUGGCGAAGCCCUGCCGGAGAACCACAAGCUCCACCACUACCACGCCAUCAUGCUGCCAGAGCUCUCCCUCAACUUCUCCUUCCCCCUUGCGGGAUCAAGAAGGAGGAGACGUCCCACGUGUGUUGAACGUGGAGGCAUCGUUCGUUCGGUGCUUGGAUCGGAUCGCCGUGAGUACGACUCCAUCGACCGCAUUCAUAGUAACGCUUCCGCUUAGCGAUCUUCAACCGUAUGAAGAUGAUCUCCCUCUCUCGUUGCUAGCAUCUCCUAGAUUGAUCUUGGUGACACGUAGUUAUUUUUUUGAAUUAUUACUACGUUACCCAACAGUAGUAACAUCCAAAUCGGUAAUGUCAGAUUUAGUGGCAAGUAAACAACCACUCUUUAGUUUUAUUUCAAAUGCAACACUAGAUGAUGGUUUAUUAGGAUUAUGGUGUUUCUCAAUUUCCUUUGCUACAAUCUGAUUUUCACUCUUAUGUAGGUCCUAUUUUGCUUUACUAUCUCUAACAAUGUCAUCUUUCAUAAUAUGUUGAGUAGACAUAGGAAGCAAAGUUAUAUUUUGAUCCUUAUAAACAAGAGUAUACUAAUUUGUCCUACCAUGGUGUACACUUUUUUUAAUCAAAUUGUCAUGGUCUACCAAGUAAAAGGGAGCAUGAUUGCAUGGGUACCACAUCACAAUCAACAAAAUCAGAAUAUGUAGCAAUGCUAAAAUGCACAUGAACAGUACGUGUAACCUUAACCUUGCCACUGUUGUUGAACCACUAGAUGUAAUAAGGAUGAGGAUGUGGUCUGGUGGUGAGAGACAGCUUCUCCACGAACUCCAUGCUAGCUAAGUUGUUACAACUCUCUCCAUCGAUGAUUACGCGAACAGAACGUUCAUUCACAACUCCCUUUGUAUUGAACAAGAUGUGCCUCUAAUUUUCCUCAGCCUAUGUUACCUGCAUACUUAAAACAUGUUGAGCAACUAAGCUUUCAUAAAUGUCAGCGUAGUCAGUACCAUGUAGUGUGUCUCUUGUUCAGUAUCAUCUACACCCUGUUCUUCACUUGCAAUAAGAGCCAGAGUCUCCUUGUCAUAAUCACUAGCGGAGUCAUAUCCACCAUCCUCAGUAACAAUCAUCACACGCUUGGAUGGGCACUCUCUCGCAUAAUGACCUCCACCCUUGCAACAACGAGAGAUAACCUCAUGUGUUUUCCCUGUGGAUGCCAUGGAUGAAGAAGAGAUAUGUGCUAGCCCGAAAGGUGUGCUCUUGGCGGGGGGUGGGGCAGGGGCCUGUUUCCUGGUAUCUCCGUUGGAGUUGGUGGUUGAAGUAGGCGAUGCUGAUGCGGGAGGACGUGCGGAAGUAGAUGAGGUCUGUGGCGUCCAUGAGGAAGUGCGACCUGCGGAAAAGUUAGUUCUCGCCAAUGCCUGACGAUCCUGCACUUCACGUUCAGCUUUGCAAGCAAGAUGGAAUAAACGAGUGAUAGUGUUAUAAUCCUUAUAUUCUAGAAUAGUCUGAAUAUCUCAAUUCAAUCCACCCAUAAAACAUGCAAGCAUAGCUUCAUUGUCCUCAACAAUACCACAUCUAAUCAUGCCAGUUUGUAAUUCCUCAUAAUAUUGUUCUAUAGAAUUUUUUCCUUGUCGUAAACGCUGCAAUUUUUGAAGUAAUUCACAUUGAUAAUAUGGUGGAACCCAACAAGUACGCAUAGCAGUUUUCAAAGCAGCCCAAGUAGUUGGAAUAUUAGCAUGAUGUAUUCUACAAUAUUCAGACCACCAAACACAAGCAAAACUAGUGAAUGAACAAACAGCAGCAGCAAGACAUUAUCCUCAGGAAAUUGUAAGCAUGUAAAACGUUUCUCUGUUUCAACUCCCAAGUAAGAUAUAUAUAUAUAUCAGGAAAUCCAUCAAGAAAAUCUCAAAUUCUUACCAGUUCUUACCCAGCAGCAGGUGGUGAUCGGCAACUAGUGUAGUCAAAACUCUCAAAGCUUGGAUAGAGCGAUUGCGAGGUGGUGUCAAACACAUGAUGUAGAUGUAUGUGGAGGUGGGAAGGCUUAUAAUAUAGUAGCAAAAAAGGUCAGCAAUAAUCAGUUCAGAGAUGCAAAGUUGAAAAGACGCUCAACGACGGUACCGUGUUGGUCCUAGGCUAGAUCGUACUAGAGACGCGAGCCUAGAACACCAACAAAAUCAUGACGCUACACGUAAUCAAGGGAAGAGCUACUCUGGUUUUAUUUUCUAUUUUUUUGCUUUUUUUGUAUUUUUUUCUCCAGAAAAUCACUAUAAUGGCUAGUGUCUCAAAACUCUUCCAAAGGACUAAAAAUAGGAUAGACACGGAAAAAAUUGACUAGUUUUUUUAGAGCAAUUCGGGGCUGCAACGACCAAAAAUUGCGACAAAAAUCGCUAUGGUGGUGAGUGUCUAGAAACUCUCUAAAAAGCGUAACAACACGAUGGGGGAAAAUCACCUUUCAAUUUUUUUCUGAAACCUACAAGGAUCUUUGCACUUAUCCCAAGAAUCUAUGCUAUUCCUAGGCAAAGAUUAAAGCCACACUUUAGCUCCUCCUCUCAAGGAGAAAGGAAAAAAGCUUAAGUUUAACAAUAUCACCAUCUACUUCUUUAUAUUUUUGCAUAUCACAAAGCUCAACAAAAUUGUUCAAGUGCAAAGGAGCAGCAUCUCCAGCACCGGAGAAUUGAUCUUUCAUAACAAGGUUCAGUAAAGCAGGUUUAAUCUCAUAGGACGUAGCCCCACUCGCGGGAGCAGCAAUAGGAGUGCAGAUAAAGUCAUUGUUGUUGUGACUAGUGAAGUCACACAACUUGGUGUUCUCAGUGGAACCCAUAGCAGCAACAACAAGCAAGAACAAAGCAACUAAUUUUUUUGUGGUUUUUGGUAUAAACUAAAAGGCAAACUAACAAGACUAAAAAUCGAAGGUAAAGGAUAGCGUACAACUCCCCUAUCUUGAAGACUGGAGUCCCCGGCAACGGUGCUAGAAAACUUGCUUGAUGACGAGUUGAUGAAUAUACUUCUCGACCCUCGUUGGUUACCCCAAGAGGAAGGUGGAGAUGUAGUCAGCAGCAAGUUUUCCAUUACACAGAGAAUGUAAGGUUAAUCGAACCAGGAGGACUCCAAGGAUCAACAAGUAGGUGUCCUCUGCCCUCGCGCAAGCAAAAGACGUGAACCUGCACACACACACAAAUAACUUUGCUCCCAACGAGUACGGAGAGGUUGUGAAUCUCGUCGGCCUUCUAGUUUGCAAAGGAUCAAAACACAAGCGGGAAUAGUGAUAGUGAUUGCAACGGAAAAAUAAAUGAAAGCAGUAAAUGAUGGAGGUGUAAGCAAUGGUGGUGAUAUGGACCGGAGUCACAUGAUGUUCACUAAUGAUGUCUCUCUCCCAAAAGACGAUAAACAACUAUGCUUGGGUAAACAAAUUACAGCCGGGCAAUUGACAGAAUUAUAAACGCACCGCAAUGCUAAUUAUGCUACUUGAAAGUUAGAGGCUCAAUAGUAAUGGGCAGUACGCCCAGACAAGUAGACCAUUUAUUCAUCAACAUCUACUCACUAAUCAUCCACCUUGAGAUAUUUAUCCAGAACAUCUCGCUGGUAUUAAGUUGCGAGCCCCAACCAAAGUGUAAACUCAAAGCAACGGACAACUGCAUUAAUGAACUAUGUGUAAGGUAAGCAAUCCUUCCAACCGUGGUCACAAGCACCGUUGUUUUCUUCCUAGUGGCAACAACACAUCCCCUAGUCUCAUGUUUACAUCACUCAAGCUAGACAUCAGGGGGCAUGAACCCACAAUCAUGCAUAACGCUCCCUCUUGGAGUUACAAUCUACUACUCGGCCAAAGCAAUACAAAGCAACGAAGAACAUGCAUGAAUCACUAAAGAACAUAAUAUAAAAGGAUAAUCAAAUAUAUAACUCAUAAAAAUUUGAACAUAAGCUCAUAAUCCAUUGGAUCCCAACAAACCGAGCAUAGAUAUAGCAGGAAAAAAUACAAAGAUGCCUUGAUCAUGUAGGGCAGCUCACAAGGGUUAAUCAUGGGAGCACAAGAUUGGAGAGAAGACAUCACCUAGCUACUAGUCAUGGACUCCUGGUCCAAGGAGGACUACUCACGGCACGUCCGGAAAGCGUCCAUGGCAGUGGAGAAGCUCCCGGAGGUCAAUCCUCCCUCCGGCAGGGUGCCGGGAAGAGGUCUCUUGACGCUCCCGAUCUCAGGAGCGCUGUGGCGGAGCAACAAUGGAGAAAUUCGCGAUUCUGGAUGUGUUGGAAGGGUUUCCUCUCGUAGGAGUAAAUAUAGGCCAAAGGAGGGUGUCAGAAGAGGUGGGGCCCACCCAGGCGGUCUAUGGGCGCGGCUAGGGGCCAGGCCGCGUCGGGUGGUCGCCUGGGCAGCCCUUGGCUUCCCUCUGGCCCAUCUUCGGUGAUCUGGUAGCUUCUGUUACGCUAAUUUUUAUAUAUUUUUCUCAGGAUUUUUGGGGCUCCAGAAAAUUGGGUAAAAGCCCGUGCAAAAAAGACAUCAACAGACAGAAACAGGCACUGGGUGCACUGAGUUAGUAGGUUAGUCCAAAUAUGUGUAAAAAUAUAUAAAAGUGUAGCAAAACAUAUAACAAUGUCACCCAAAAGAUCAUGGAACAAGCAGAAAUUAUAGAUACAUUUGAGACGUAUCAGUGAUAUAUGGCAGCAAGGAUGAUGGUGGCGUGGUGGUGGUAUAUGGCAGCAGUGAUGAUGGAAGCGUGGUGGUGGUAUAUGGCAGCGGUGAAAGAUGGCGUGGUGGCGGUGUGACUACCUGUGAACAGAACUCGAAACUCUAAAGGACUGGACACUAAGACCAGUAACUCAACACGAUGAUGUAACCGCAAAUACAACGAAGAAAAAUACUAAAAAGACUAUUCAAAGACUCGGAUUGGUUUGGAUAUGAUGAUCUAAUCCUAAUUUUUUGUGGCUUUUCUGUGGACUAUUGGUAUGAAGAACAGAUGCGAUCUAACUACGAAAAACUGGUAAAAUCUCACCGAGCAACCUGGAAAUUUGAUACCACUUGAUAGAGGCAAAGUUGUCCAUGUCUUUCGAUGAGAUGGUGGUUAUCGUUUUGGUGGAGUAGACUUUGACGAUCCGACUAUGAACGUGUGAGGACAUCGCGCCUUAGCAAUCGCUAAACCAACUCCAAGAGGUUAUUGACCAUGCUGGAGCACGAUCAACUUGACCACGAGGGUCUAUUUCCUGCACGCAAACAAAGACCAAGCAUGAAACUAAGAUUGCAAUCUGGAUAUUGAAAAUAUAAGAGGCGAGCUUUAUUGAUGAAAGUGGGGUUUUGUGACGCCUUUGCCUGGUCAUGGAACACAAACGAAGAACGCGAAGUUGCAACUAUGGAAAACUUGUAAUCUAAACAAAACCCAAUUCUAAACAGCGCUCUAAGGGGUGUAUAUAUGGGGGGAUAGAGGAGGAAUUUCGUGACCCCUUGGAGGAGGGGUAAGAAACCGACGCUAACUUAGUUUCCCCACACAUACGGAAUCUAAAAAUAGCCUAUAAUAUGGUAUUUCGAAAUUACAUGUGCCUGGCCCAAAAAUAAGGUGGCGCAACACCUAUAAUAUCCUAUGGCCGAAAUUUAUAAAGUGGCAUCUUGAAUAUUUUUUCCAAGCCUUCAUGCUCUCCUUAUGGUGGCUUCAAUAUGUGAAAAUCAUGAGUGGAAGCUCCAUUGUUCUUUCCCCGCGUGCACCUUCUUCUCCAUGCUUGAUCCUGCUCCAUCAGAUAUCCUUCUUGUCCAUGCUAGUUCCUUCAUUCAUAAGUACAACAAAAAUAUCUAACUUAGGCAGCAUCACAUGUUCAUCAACAUUAGAAAGAUUUUCAAGAAACGAAAGUACGUGGUAAUUCGAUUGGCGUGAGUGAGCUCUAGUAACUGGUCGAGUAUGUAUAGCAGUUGGGGCUGUGGGUGUAACAAUGGUGUUGAUGUCCUCAUUGGGGGGCGAGCUAGGGUUAGCGGGGGAGGGCUCGUUGUCUCCUCACAGGGCGGGGGUGGCCACUGGAUGGCCCGCGCGUGGUCGAGGGGAGGCAUGACGGGCAUCCCCUCCCCCUGGCCACUAUAGCCGGAGGUUAGGGAUGGGGGAGGGAUACGUGGGCCGGUUGGGGGGCUUGGGCCCAAUGGGGGUGGGCUUUUAUUUUAUAUCAUUUCAAAUUUUAUUUAAAAUCUUAUGUUUUGAUUUAGGUUUAGCACUAAAUUAAUUAUGAGAAAAAUAUGGGAUAUGGUCCAAUAUUUGAAAUGCAAUAUUUGGUAGUGCCACAAAACGUUUGGGGCCCUUUUGGAAACUUUGGAAAUUUACAUAAUUUAAAAGACAUUUAUUUAAAUGUUUUGGCCUCUUUUAUAAUUGUUUUGAGGCACCAAAGUACUUUAUAAAAUGUUGGUUUCAAUUUUAUAAACAUGAGGGGAUUAUUUGCAACCCAAACAUGAUUGUAGUUUUCAGUUUUGAAAAAAUAUUUAAACCACAAAUUAAAAGGAGCUUGAAUUUCAAAAGGAAUUUGAAAUGAGAUAUGAUUCCAAUGUGAUCAAAUAGGGUUUAGCAAAAGCAUUAUCUUAACCACAUGGUUUACUGUAGCUUAAUUGCAUGCAUCAAUGUAGCUGAAAUCCACGAGUGCUACAAAAAGGUAGUCUCCUCAACACUCAAUCACUCUUUCACAAAUUUGGCUUGGGUAGAAGAGAUUGAUUGGGUGGAAAGCAACUUGGGGAGGCUAGAAAACAAGAUUCAUAUGGUAGGAAUGGAAUAUCUUGAUCUAAACACAUGAGUAGGUGGCUCUUUCAGAAAAUUGGAUGGGGUAAGUGUUGGUUCGUUCUGAGUGCUUCCUCUUCAAAUGAGAGGCUGGUGGAUGGGUAUAUAUAGGCAUCUCCAAAAUUCCAAAUGUUACAACAUUAUUGCCCAACUCGGUGAAACCAAAGUAAGAAACUCGGUUGCACCGACUAGUGCAAAAUGUGGCAACUUUAGGCUUUUCGGUGACACCAAUAUAGAAAUCUCGGAGGUUCCGAUGUUGGCUGGCCUCGUCAGUUACCAGACUCGGUGGCACCAAUUUGCAAAACUCAGAAAUUCCGAUUUUAGCGAAUGGCUAUCCAGGGAGUUGGUCACUAUGUUCCGGUUAGACCGAAACCAAACUUGGUGGUACCAAGAUGUUAGGGUUUGGCAUAGAUUCUGUCUCGGGUAAAACUCGGUAGGUCCGAUUUGGAAAUAUUGCUGGCACCGAAUUUGACUUUGGGGUUUGGACAGAAUAUUUGUGGGAGAAUUUCAUGAGUAUUUUUGGUGGCUAAUCUAUAAGCUCUUGAGCAACUAGAUCAUCAUAGACACCUCAUCCCCUUUUAAUAGUAUUGGCUUUCCUAUGGAUGAAAAAGUGAUUUCUCACAAAAUGUAAAAUUUAGAGUCUUGAAGCUUGUUGCCAAUAGAUGUUCCUUGCAUCUAGGGGUUCUCCUCACAAUCCUUAGCGAGUCCAUCAUUGAUCUUUUCGUGAAAUAUACUAGAUAGAAUCAUUAGUCCAAUGACAUAUAUGUUGUUAUUAAUUACCAAAACCACCUAGGGACAAGUUGUGCUUUCACUUGCUUGGGUCCCUAGCCCGUCACUAAUACCUAUUUUGGACCCACCACUGCUAGGCAUUCCUGUAGUAGUCGGGUUGAUACCUCGUAACGCACUCCUGAUGAUAACUCUAUAGUGUAGCUAAUCGGUCAUGGAUUACAGAGGGUGAUUCCUCCUUCACCACUCCCGAUAAUGACUCUGUCAUGCAACACCUCAAGUGUGAGCCCUUGGAGGGUGAUUCCUCCAAGGUCACCUUGACGGUUACAUGGAGUGGGAUCCAAUGAGGGUUAUUCAUCAGAUUCCCGUUGAUGUUAUGGACACACGGUUACUUUGACUUUACCCCAGAACCAUGUUGAAGUCGGGUCUGCCCAAGGGGUACCCGCCAGAAAUGAGAAGUCGGGUUGACCGUGAGAGUAUCCAUGAGUGAAUUGGAGUCGGGUUGACCUGGAGGGUUCCCGCGAGAUAAUUAUGCGACAUGGUCGGGCAAUCUUAGCCCUUGUUGUAAGUCCAGGAGACGGGACCAUAGAUCGUGGAUCAUUGAUCGUCUUUGCGCGCUCCCAAGACACUAACGGUUUGGAUAUGUGAUCCGAGUAGGCCUCUCGCAUUUUUGCACUGACCACCAUGCAGGAAUAAGUAUGGGCACUCUGCGUCGUACAUUUCUUCUGAAAGCUUUUUAGCCCCACAGUUGAGCGGCACGCGCUCGGGUGGUCCGCAUAAGCACAUGCUUUGUACAAAGAGGUAGCCACGACUAAUUCUGCUCGUCCUUGCAACUGAAAGAUUGCAAAGGACGAUUGGCCCAUGACCCAUUCGCAUUUAGGAUGUAGACCGACGUGUUGGUCUUUGUGUUGAGCCUAGGUAGGACUACGAUGUGUCGAUCAGCCGAGGUCGGGCAUGAUCUGGAAAGUGUGUCCAGCCAGAGUUAAUCUGGGGUGUAGGAUAAGUUGGUGCACCCCUGCAUUGAAGUAUUUAUAUUCGAAGAGUCGUGUCCAUGGUAACAGACGCUCGGAGAGUAUCCCAAUCUACUACAACUAGAACUGGAUACUUGUGACACUAAACAGAAAUGAUGGCUUCAAGAUCGCUUUCUCGCAGGGAGUCGAGGAAGGAUCUAUGGGCACUGCUACUACAUACUUAUCACAUAUGUUAUACUAAUAUGUACUCUUCUAAUGCUGCAAGACGCUAGUCUGUGAUAGGCUAGGCCUUCCCUUCUAUUCUGGCAUUUCCGAAGUAUAGUCCAUAGAUAGAGCCCCUUCCCCUUGAAAGUGAUGCAUAUUUAGCAUAGAUGUGAUGUAAGUCUUGCGAGUACUUUGGAUGAGUACUCAUAGUUGCUUUGCUCCUUUUUUCUCCUUGAUAUGAUUGCUGUGAUCAGAUGACGGAGUCGAGGAGCUAGCUGAUCCCGUCGAUGACUACUACUACCCCGAUAGAGCCUACAACUACGUGGAGGCCGCCGACGACCAGGAGUAGACAGGAGGCUCCCAGGCAGGAGGCCUGCACCUUUUUGAUCUAGGUGUCAUUGUUUUGCUCAGCCUUCUUAAGGCAAACUUAUUUAAUUAUGUCUGUAAUCAGAUAUUGCUGCUUCCGUAGACUUAUGUAAUCGAGCCUUCGCGUUGUUUGUAAUAUAAAACUUUAUGUUUGAAUUUGUGUCUAGAGUUGUGUUGUGAUAUCUUCUCGGGAGUCUCCGAUCUUGCCCAUGCGCAUUUGCGUGUAUGAUUAGUGCACAAUUAAGAUGGGGGUGUCACACGACAUUUAGAUAUGUACAACAACGACGUCGGACCAAGAUGGUGAGCAUGAAAGAAAGGGGAAAUACACGCAGAGUGGAAGAAAGGGGGGGUCAUGAGGGGGAUUUCUAUGGGUCAAUGGUGCCGAAGUCCUACAUAACUAGUGUUUGGACACCCGCAAAGCCCUCUCGAGUUUGAAUCCAGUUUGAUGGAAAAAGGAUGAGUGGACUAGCCCGCAGAUGGAUACAUUAUCACGUUGAAUGGCAAAACACAUCCGGACAGCUCGGUCCAUACGGAUGGGGGCGGUUUAAGGGCCAACGUUGAAGAUGCCCUUAUUCUUUUUUUAGGGAGGAGGUGCCCUUAUUUGUGGGUGUAGAUAUACAUCGCUUCACACAAGUUGGAGCAACAACUCACUCACAUAAUGAAAGAAGUCCGUCUUUUCUCUUAUUUUUUUCCUUUCUUUGUUUUUGUUUUUUGUUUUAUUCUUGUUUUGAAAAAUAUUGUAAAUAUAAUUAUAUAUUUAAAAACAUAAAUAAUAAAGGUUAAUUUAUAAAAAGUUUAAUAUAUUAUAAAAACAAUGUUUACAUGUAUAUGGAAAUUAUAUUAUGAAAAUGUUCACAUGUUUCAAAAAAUGUAGUUGAAAUUCUAAAAAUGUCAAUCAUAUAUUCAAACAAAAUGUUAAACAUAUUUCAAAUAAAUGUUUCAAAGGUUUAUAAAAAAUAUUGGUAGCAUACAAAAAUAUAUUGGUGACAUUUUAAAAAUGUUUCACGUCUAAAACAUGUAAGUGGCAUUAUAAAAAAUGUUAAUCAUGUGUUUGCGAAAUGUUACACGUAUAUCAAAUAGAUGUUUUUGACGUAUAUGAAAAAUGUAUAAUGCUUAUGAAAGGAGUAAACAUCAAACAAAUGUUUGAAAGAAAUGUUUAAACAUUGUAUUUGAAAUGCAAAAUUUGUAUUGCGAACCAACCUGUGGUUGGAUGAUUAGAGUGACACUGGUAUCUUUAGCCCACGAUGUUUCAAGUCUUGGUACUCACAUUACUCCUGGAUUUAUUUCAGGAUUUCCGACAAUGCACAUUUAGUGGGAGGAGACGUUCCGUCGACGACGAGGCAUCUAUGAUGACUUCGUAAAUCUUAAGGUGAUAUCUGGCUCAGUAUCUCGAAUGUGCUCAUAAGAACAUAGUUAAUACUUAAUAGUAUAGCCAACUGCUGGCUAUAUGAUGUUGCCAUGUCACGUAUAAUCACCAUUUAUAGCCACACAUAUAAUUAUGUUAGUUAUAAGGUUGGCUAUAAGACUACUACUUUGUCCUUCUCCUUGUCUAUUUUUUUGUAUUUAUUGAAUUUGCCUAGGAGUACGCAUAUAGCUAAGCUCUCGCAUGAGGCCACUUUCAACGCAUUGGUGCUAAGAUGAGGUGCUAAGCACAUUAAAUAGUUUAGCGACUAUAGUCUGCAAUCAUAGUUGCUUAGCUUAUUGUAGCUAAACCUACUUAUUUAAUGCUUUUGCAACUAAAGUUAUACAUGCAUCGGUGCAUUUCUUUCAUUUAAUUCCCCCCCCGUUUUACCUAGGUUUACGCGUUUAGCAUUGUUUCUUUCCGAUGUCAUCACACUAAUCUCUCUCCUAUUAAUUAGUUUGCCACAUCAGAUUUUUUGUCUAUAUGACAGCCUUAGCACAUGUACAAGGUGGAGUUUUGAGAGUAGUCUAAGAGCCCACUCUUCUUAUAUUUUUCAUCUCUCUCUUCUUCACAUAGACAAAACAUCAUGUAAGCAGACUAUAAACCCACUGUUGUACUUGUUAUAAGGGUAGAAUUUAUAUGUAUACGUUUAUAGGGAUGAAUGUAUACACGUAAAUAUGAACGUUUGCGACUGUACUAUGUAAAAAAAAUUAUACCUGCAUAAAGAAGUUAACCAUGUAUAAAAAAUGUUAACAGUGUACACAAAAAUAUAGACAUAAAAUAAUCAUUUUUACAAUGAUGAUUGUGUAUUUUCAAGAUGUUUAACAUGCAUAAAAAUAUAUUUUAAAUGUAAAUGUAAAAUCUACACAGAAAGUCGAGGAAAAAGAUACGAACAACACAUAGAAAACCAAAAAAGGUCAAUCGUAAGGUUCCGAAGAAAAACUGAUGAAACCCAUAAAGAAAACCACAUAAAAAAGAAAGAAUCCAAUGGAAACCGGUGAAAAAGAAAGAUGAAUAAAGAAAACCAAAAAAAUGAAUGAAAACAAAAUAAAAUAAAAAGCACGAGCGAGCAUACAACAAGACAAGAAUGCCCACCUAAACCCGAACGAACGAAGAGAAAAACUAAUUAAGGGGUAUACUUGCAGAAGCCAGGUAAGGGUCAUUUUGAUGGGUUGAGAGUGUAUCAAGUGAUGCAUCUAAUCGCUGCCACGUGUUGCAUGUUGGGUCACGCAUGAUUUUAUUUGUUUUAUUUUCUGUAUGCAUUUUAAGGUUUUAGAUGGAUUUCUUGUUUUCGCCUGUUUUUUUUAGGUUCUGAAGUUUUUAAAUGCAUGAUUUUUGCUUCUGGUGGUAGCACAUAUUUGUUUCUUAAAAAGGAACAUGUUUGCUUUCACGAAAAGCACAACUAUGCAUCUCAAAAAAGAAAAAGACAUGAUUUUUAUUACAUGGGAAACAUAAAUUUUUUCUUUAUGAAGACACAAAUAUGCUUUCGCAAGAAGCACAACUAUGCUUCUGGGAAAUGGUAAAAAUACGUAUUUUCUCAUAAGAAGCAUAAAUUUUCAUCUCGUGUAAGUACAACUAUACCUCUCGGAAAUGGUAAAAACACGUAUUUUCUCAUAACUAUGUGUUUUUCUUUCUGUUUUUAUAUUAAAAAAAUCAUAAAACCUAUUAACAUGAGAUCUAGUUUUGAAAGUCUCGACACAAAAACUAUAAGAAUGAAAAUGGUUCAAGAUUUAGACAGAUGAUAAAAAAUUAAUACAUUUUAAAUAAACGAACUCACAGGUUGCUACAAGUGAUGCACAUGCAACCCUUAUCUAAUGAUUUCAACGAACUAAUGAUUUGGACGAACAAAACAGAAAUCCCUGUUCGGUGCAUUCUGCGGACAUUUGCACAAAGGAGAUCGAGGAGUCAUUUCAUUUGGGUCGACCUAUUUAAGCGUUCAACCUCCUCGAUUGUGGCAACCUUCUAGAGGUUCACAUCUGUCUUUUUUUCUGGUUUUGAAAAACUUCUAGAAGUUUCCUGCACAGUUUUUUCUUUUUCUUUUUUUGUUUCCUUUUUUUCUUAAUCCUUUUUCUCACAUUUUGCCGUUUUUUCUGUUUUUUUCUUCUUUUGAUUCUAUUUCGUUUCUUUCUUUUCUUUUCUGUCCUUUCAUUUUAACUUUAAUUUUCUUUCUUCCAUUUCUUUUCAAUUUUUAUAUAAAUCAUUGUGUUUUAUUGUUUUGCUGUCCAGGAUUUUCAAAAGAUGUUCAGAAUUUCAUAAAACGUUGCCAUUAUAAAGAAUUGUUCACAAAUUUUAAGAAUAGUUAAUGUUUCAAUAAUUGUUCACAAAAUUUCCAUUUCUCAUGUGUUCAAAUUUUUUUCACCUUUCAAAAAUAGUUCACAAUUUCCAAAAAUUUUGAUCGUUUUUCAAAUUUUGAUCGGUAUGUUUUCCAUUAAAACGUGCACAACUUUUAAAAAACUAUUUGAAAUUUCUAAAAAUGUUCCCGCUUUCAAAACUAGUUCAUAAUUUUUGAAAAUGUUCAUGUUUCCCGUUUUGCAGGACAAAAUUUGGUUGUGAUUAUAAAUUUGUUUAUGUUUUAAAAAAAUUGUUCGGAUGGUUAUUCAAAAAUUAUUUGGAACAUCAGAAAAUUUCAAGUUUCAGAAAACGUCCCAACUUCAAAAAUUGUUCACAAAUUUCAAAAUUGUUCUUGUUUUAUAAUUUUCUUCGGUUGGUUCAAAAAAUGUUCGCCUUUUCAAAUAGUGUACAUUAGUUUAAAAAAUGUUCCUGUUUUAAAAUUUUGUUCAUAAAUUAAGAAAAUGUCACACUUUCUUAAUUUUCAGAGUUUCAAAAAAUGUUCACAGAUGCAAAUUUCCGUUUUUUCAAAAAAGAUUCACUAAUCAAAAAAAAAUUGCCGUUUUAGAAUUUGGUCGCACAUUAAAAAAAUGCCUGCAUAUUUUUGAAACUUUUUCAUGUUUGAAAAAAAUUGUUCAAAAUAUAAUAAAUGUUCCUGUUUUCAAAAUUGUUCACAAAUUCAUACAAUCUACCCGUUUUUAAAUUUUGUUUACAAAUCCAAUAACUGGCCAUAAUUUUUCCAAAACUUAUUCGGUUUUUAAUAAUUUGUUCAGAAUUUUAAAAAAGGUAUUAGAAUUUUCACGAAAUAUUUGAGAAAAAAAGUAAAAUACUCGAAAUUGCCGAAAUACUUAGUUAUAAAUACUUCACGCUGCAUAUUCAUCACAUGCACAUGCACUAAGCAGCUCGACUGGCAAGGUACCUAUGUCCACUAGAGGCACAUCGCGUGUUCGAAUCCGUAUUUUUUGUUGUUGUUUAGGUCUCGAACCAAACCCCAAGCAAACUGUAAAAAAAAAACUAUCAAAACAAGUUGAUCCAAUAACAAUGUCAGGUGAGUCAGUCAUCCGUCAUGCUAUAAGCAAGAUAUAGCUGUGACACUUAUUUAUCGAUGAAAGCAAAUGAAAAAUAGAUUCAAAGCUAUGCCAUGCCCAGUUCCGACCGUCACCUCAAAGAAAGAAAAUGAAGCAGUACGAGCAGAUGGGACCCUAAUGAUCCUCGUCUUGUGUUCUCUCCUGCUUCACCCCCAGCCAACAAAUUCGUUGUUCUGGCCUUUUGCGAAAGUUGAGCAAGAUUUGACCUCACAUUCAAAAGAUCGACGGUCUGGAGCAGGUCGAGAGGGGCCAACACAUCAAGUGCCCAUAGGGGAAAACCCCUCUUCCUCUCCCCCGUUUGCUCCAAGACAUACAAGCAUCGAUGCUCGUCAUCGAAGCUAGACUCCCUCACUGCACCCCAGCUGCUCGAUGCAAUGCUAAGGAGAGAAGUGUUACACCGACAAAUGGGGCCAUGUGCGACAUAACCAUACAAGGUAAUCGUGUGAAAAUUUUGUGCCACAUCAGCAGGCCCCAUCUAUCAUAAUCUUACUUAAUAGAGUCAUAUCAGUUGAUAAGUGGUUUUUGCAAAACGAUUACACAACACGUGUUGUCUAAACUAUAUUAAGUUACAAAUUCAGGUUUUAAUGUUGAUAUACGUGAUUACGUAUACGAGUUAUUAAAGUAAAUACAAAGUUAUUUAUUUAUUUUAUAUUAUUUUAAUACGAAGUGUUUUUAAAUUAUUUCGCUUAUAUUGCAGGAUCUUUGAGGGGCUGUCGAGGCCAACAAGACGACUGAGGUGUACGCAGUGGUGUAAUAUCCUACUCAGUACUCACCAUAUUUAUCAUUAUGUUGUUUCAGAUGUAGCUAAGUUUGUUCACUUGAUGUUUUAGUUGCAAAUUUAUGGAAUAAAUUCCUAUCGUCUUCCCAGGCAGUUCCACCCGAAGGGAACACUUCUCUACGGCCAUAAGGUUCUCAUUCAAAUGCCAUAAAAGGCUACACAGAGAACUACCGGCAGAGUUUUCUCCUAUAGGAUCCCUAGCAUAAGAACUCGUUCCAUAAAUUCAAAAAUAAAAUACCAAGUGAAAACACGAAACUACAUCAUUUCCACAACAUAAUUUACAUAUGGUUUUCCCUUUCGGGAACCCCCGAAGGGUUUACACAAGGAUAAAGAAAUUACCUUCUAACUACCUUCGCGAGCUUACAAAUGCUCUAAAUAUUGUAGCUCUUUAUUACACGAUGAGGAAGUACUACUACUACUACUACUACUACUUGAGCAAAGAGCUUGCUAGCUGAGUUGCAACUCUGUGCUCUAUCUGUGGCUGGCUCUUCUCCGUCUGGUGUCUCUCUUCGCAGCAAGGCUCCUCCUUUUAUAGGCAAGAGAGCACCUCUUGGAUGGCUUUCGGGAGAAGGCUCCUCUAUUAUUUCCUCCUUCUUUCUCCUUGUCCAUCAUGCACCUAGUUUUUAGGCCUUCUAGGCUUUAUAGGCUUUGUAGCCAUUAUAGCCCUUCUUUCUAGGGUAUUGAGUGCAUGUUGGAGAGGUUUGCACACCGUGUCUUGGCUGCCAAUGGAGGUGGCAUUGUCUUCUUUUUUGAUUUUCUUCUUCGUCAUGAUUUUGUCUUGGACAUUUGAAGUUGAGUUUUACUCAGGUGGCUGCCCAUGCCCGGCGAUAUCCAUACGAUCCUCAUCUAAGAGAUGGAAAUCAUACUUCGUAUCACAUUCUUUCUUUAUAUCUUCAAAUAUUAUUUUCAUUUCAACCCUUAUUUCUUCUAAUAUCUCUUCCUUUAAUUCUUUCUUCAUUAUUUUUGACAAUUCUUCAAAUCUUUUGUCCAUUUCUUGAUCUAUAUAUUCACUAUCCAAUGGGUCUAGGCCCUUCAGAAGGCAUUCUUUAUAUGUAUAAUUUUUUGGAGAACCUUCUUCCUUUAUAUUCUUUCCUGAUGAUUCUCCCUUGGUUAUUUUAAAUAUUGGCAUAUUAGAUGCAUUGUUAUCUGCAUUCUUUCUCUUCUGGAUAUAAUCUUUAGCCUUGGGGUCAAUAUAAUAGUUUUCCCCUAUCAUUUUUCUUGCCCAAAACAAGGCCUCAUCAAUACCUUCAUAUUUUUUGAAUGUUAAGUCUUGUCCCAUUCGUUUUGCAUCUAGUUUCUCUAUCAUGAUAUCUUCCCAUGUCAAAUAUAUUCCGGGUUUAUUUCCGCCAAAUAAAACAUAUAAUAUUUCUCCUUUUUGCAUUUCAGCCCUUUCUAGUUUUGCCGCCUUCAUAUUCAUUUGGUUAAAAUAUUCUGCCAAGCUAUUUAGAAUUGAUAGCACAUAUCUUUUUCAUCUCUCUUAUUGGUAUAUUGGAACCAGAAAUUGUCCAGUAUGCACCUCUGAAUUUCAUCAAGCUUGAUAUGGGCCUUUGGCUUGAAAUUGAAGGUAUUUGGCUGAAAUAUCUUCAGCCUGUUCUCCUCUCCAAAGAAGAAGCAUUCGUCCCUGGUGGGGAAUAAUCCUUUCUUCAUUUCUGCAAAUUUGAUGCACGAGAAAAUAUGUCAGGUAAAGUAUUAUCUUUUCCCUUAAUAUGCUCAAAAAUAACUUUAUAACCAUUCCCAGCUAUGGUGUCUUCAAAUAAGACCCAUCUUCUGGUUGAACUUUUCUUACUAUUAUUUUUAUUAUAAUAUCGACAUAUGGCUUCACAAUCAGUUCGCACUGUAAAUUCUUUGAAUCCUAGAUAUAACCUAAAAGCAUUUAUUGCAUUUACAACUGCAAGGAUUUCUCUAUCAAUAUUAUUUACCGUUUUUAACUUAUAACUUCCUGAAGCAUAUCUACAUAUUUUUUCAUCUGCUUUCGGCGAAUAUUUAUUAGGUUUUUGUUUUAAUAUAGCACCCCAUCCUACUUUAGAUGCAUCUGUUUCAAUAAUAAAAUAAUUAUCUUCUAGAGGCAAUUCUAGGGGCUUUAAAUUCUUGACUUUUUCUUUGAUGGCCUUUACUAAUUUUAUAUCUUUAGAAUUAAAAUAUCUCUGACCAUUCUUUCUUAAUUUAGCAUAUAAAGGUCCGGCUAGCUUUGCUAGGUUAUCUAUGUAAUUUCUUGCAUAGUUUACAAUUCCUAAGAAUUGUUGUAGAACUUUUUUAUCACUCAUAUUAUCAGGAAACUCUAAAAUUUUCUUUGCAAUGUGUUCUUGCAAAUAUAUUUUUCCUUCUCCUAUUUCAUGACCAAGGAAAUUUAUUCUUUCUUUACAAAUUUCCAUCUUCUUUUUUGAUAAUAUGAGCCCAUUUUGUUCUACCUUGCGAAAGAACACUUCGAGAUGGGCUAUAUGCUCUUUAUAUGUUUUUGAGAAUACUAACAAAUCAUCUACGUAUACUAAUAUAAAGGCUUGGUUCUCAUUAAAUAUAUUUUGCAUUUUCCUUUGAAAUAGUGCAGGUGCAUUCUUUAGACCCAAUGGCAUUACUAGCCAUUCAUAAUGGCCUUGCGGACAAGUAAAGGCAGUCCAUGGAAUGGAUUCUUCGGCCAUUUUCACUUGCCAAAACCCUGCUUUUAAGUCAAAUUUAGAGAAAAAUUUGCUUCCUUGUAUUCUAUUGAUCCAUUCCUGUUUAUUAGGUAUGUUGUAUGCAUCAUCUACCGUAUUAUCAUUAAGCCUUUUAAAGUUAAUUACCAUUCUGGAUUUACCUCUCACCUCUUCAGCAUGAUUUCUCACUAUAAAAGCAGCAGACCUAUGAGGACUUCUACUUUCUCUAAUUGCUUUUAAUUUUAAUAAUUCUUCAAUAUGCAUUUUGAACUCUUCAAUAUCUUUAGGAGUAGCUUCUAUUGGCCCUGACUUAAUGAUAUAGUCUGGAUUUAUAAUAUUUAUUUUGCAAACUAUAGAGUUCCUUUCCCAAUGUUUCAUCGGUAUUUCCCCUAUAAUUUGUAUGUUUUCUAAUCUUUGCACUAUCUUAUCUAUAUCUUUUUUGGAUUUUAUGUCUCUAUACCAAUUUGGUGAAAAUGAUUGUAAUGCUAUGCAUUCUGUACUUGUAUUUUCUAUAUGAUAUUCUUCUAUGGUCUCACUAAGUUCUUCAUCUUUACAGAAUUCAAGGGCUACCUCUGGACUUGUACUAUAUUCUCCAUCCAAAUUAGAUAUCUCUACAUUUUGCAAAGCUUUUCUUUGCUUUCUUACUUCAGAUAUGUAUGGGAGAUUAUCUUGAUAAGGGAUAAAUGUAACCCCUUCUUCAUGUAUAAUUGUAGUUUGUAAAGACUGUUGUAAAAACCUUAACCCUAUUAUCAUGUCAUCAUUUAUUACUGAUAAAUCUCUUAUUGUAAUUUCAUCUAUUAUAUAUUUCGUGCCAUUUAUGUAUGCUUCAAUAUUAUAUGCUAACUGGUUGUGGAUUUUCUUUAUUCCUGACAUAUCGGUAGAUACUUCAGCUUUAUUAUUAUCUAUAGUUUCAACUAUUUCUGGACAUCUCAUGAAAUAUUUAUCAUGUAUGAUGUUCUUUGUGCAACUCGUAUCUAGUAGCGCUAACACUUUAUAAAAAAUGUUUGGCUUUAGAACUAUUCUAACUGGGAUUCUUAUCCCUAACACUUCUUUGAAUGGUAAUCGAACAAUAUAUUUGUUUCCAAAACUAGUUAUUGCAUCUUUUAAUUGUAUUAAUUUAUCUCCUUUUUUAUCCCUUAUUGUUAUCAUUUGUUCUUUCAUCUAUGUGAUUUUUGCAACCUUAUUAUCUUGCUCUUUAUUAUCUUCUAAUUCAUCCUUUAGCUUUUCUAAUUCUGCUUCUAGCUUAUUUAUUCUAUUUUCUAAGUUUCUAACCCUGCUGGAUAAUAUUCUUUCUUCUGGCUCCCAUUCUAUUUCCUGUCUCCAUUUUUGAUUACUGACUUUUAGACAGGAGGUACAUGCUUGCUUUAAGCAUAAACUACAUGUGAAUCUAUUAUCUUGGCUAGGAUAAUAUAUACAGAAAGCACAUUUUAUGUUAUAAUCCCCUUUCCUUUAAUCCAGUCAUGUUCACAAUCUACUUGAUUCAUCAUUUCGAUCUUUAAACCGGCUAAUUCAUCAAUUAGGUCUAUUUCAUCAUCGCUUGAUUCAUAUUCUGGAGUCUCAUUUUCUACUUCAUCUGUCUCUAUGAUUGAAUAUAUUGACUCGCCGUCUUUUAUUUCAUCAUCACAUACCAAAAUAUUCUCAUUAACACUAUCUACUAUUAAUACUCUCUCUUGCUCCUCAUAUUUGCUAGAGUACCUUUUCUGGUCUUUAUUAGGGCAAGUUCUACUUAAGUGAUCGGGAGAGUUACAUAUGAAACACCUGCAUGUUUUAUCAUAUGAUUUCUUAGGAUUAUAUCUUCUUACAUUUCUUUUAUGCAAGAAUGGGGCUCUAUUAUCGGACCUUCUCAAGAAAUAUCUUUUCUUUGUUCUAAAAUUUCUAUUAUCUCUCCUUUGUGGUUUAUAAUAUUUGUUUUUCCGAUGCCUUUCUUCUCCAUACGUAAGCGGUAUUUGGACAAUGUUAUUGCAGAAAUUGUAAUCUGACUUCUUCAUAGACCUUUGGGCUUGUAUGCCUGUACAUACCUUUCUUAAUUGUUUAAAAACAAAUGUUAUGGCUUGAGAUAUAUUUACCACGUUUCCACCUGUUUCUUUUUUAUAUUCUUCAAAUAUUAUAGAUCCUAGAGGGUCUGGCAACUUAUUAAAAUAUCUUUCUACAACACCUACAUUAAACCCUUGCUUCGCAGUGGUAGCAUUAUAUAAAUAAUGUUGAGAGAAUUCUUUUAUUCCUUUCCAGCUAGUUAAUGUUAGUUUUUCUAUUUCUCUCAACCUUUCGUUUUGUAGUGAGGUAUAUCCUAAUUCCGGGUCUUCUGCGAUGAUCAUAUUUGAAAUAACAUUUGCAAAGUUAUUAGGGUUACUUCCGACCCUUUUUAAUUCUUCAUACUGAUUAGGAUAUGUCUCUACCCAUUGUUCCCAUAGAACUUUUACAGAUUCUCCUAAAAAUGUUUCAAGAUAUGUUAACAUAUCUUCUACCUUAGUUCCUAUAUUAUACUGGUUUUGUAUAUAUUUUUGAACUAUUAAACCUUUCCAUAUGCUGAUUAUAUUCGGCCAAUCUAUAGGGUCAUGAGCUGCUAGGUUUAAAAUAGCGCCAUCAUUCUUAUAAUUUUGAAAUUGCACUGGCUUUUCAAAAUCUCUUCUUUUAGCACCCAUAUAUCUAUAUUGUCCAGGGAUAUAUGUAGGUUGAUAAUCAUCCUUUUCUGGAGGCCAUUGUCCAGCUGAUCUGGUAGGUCUCUCUCUCUCUCCUUCUCUUUUUACCGAAGACUCGCCAUAUCCCUUUCUUCUUUUAUUACUACUUUCUACUUCCAUAGCUUCCAUUGCAUUGUCUAAAUUUUGUAGUCCCACAUCAUCUAGUGAGUUAUAAAAAUCACUAUCUGCUCCCAAUCAUUAUAAUUUUCAUCUUCUAACCACAUAUCUUUUACUAAUUCCUCUUCCUCUUCAUAACUUUCUAGUAAUAACUUAUUAUUUAUAUCCCAUUGCUCUUCUUCACUAACAACUUCUUCUUCCUGAGCAAUAUUCUUAUCUCUAUUAGUGAUAGCAUCAUUAUUACUACCAGCAUGUUCUCCCCUUUCAAUUGAUGAUGUAUUUGGCAUAAUUGAACCACUAGUUACCAACUAUUUCUCAUUUUUUAGUUUUUUUAACCUUGCAAUUUCUCUAAUUAUAAACAAUUCUCUUUCUCUUAUCUUAGGCCAAUCUUUUGUCAUAGAAUUUUUAUAUUCCCAAUCUAUAUGCUUUAGCUUAUUUUCCCAGUGAAUUAUUUCAUCAUCUAAAUUAGCUUUUUCCAUGCAUUCGGUCACACCUUUAUUCUUAUCGUCAAUAGAUUCUGUAUCUGACAUAAAGGAUUCUGCGUCUUCUAUUGAUGCCGAUUUAUAGUUCAUAAAUCUAAUGCUACUACUUCCUUCACAAUUUUGAUAACUUAUAUAGUUUUCAGGUUGCUUUAAUUCUUUUUUCUCUAUUAAUUCACCAAUCUUCCACUCUUCUCCCGCUCUUUCUUCAGAACCAAUUUUAAGUGGAUUCAUAAAUUUAAUACCCUUUGAUUGCAUACUAUCAAUUACAUCGCUCACAUUAACUCUAUAUCUAGAGUUACUUCUGUUAGUAAGCCUUCCUAAAAAUUCUAUGCUUACUAACAAAUUUGUUCCUUUAAAAUCUUCAUAUCCCUUAGUUUGGAAACCAAAACUCAUUUUUUCAAUAAAUUCUUUUACAGGCAUCAUUAGGUCUGGAGCUAUAUAGGUUAUUAACCUAUUUUUAUUCAUGUCUCCUUCUAAAAAUCCUAAUGCUGCUUUAUCUACUGAUUCCCACCUUCGGUCUAAUAGAGUUAUAAGCACCUUUGCUCCUAAUUUCUUUCUUGUCAUACCUUUAACUCCUAUAAUAUACAUACCUUGAUGAAUAUAUUUGUAACCACAAUAUUUUAGUUCAUUUUCAAUAUUUUUGCUUACUAUUCUUAAAUCAACUGGGUGUGUUAACACACUUAGUUCUACUUCUCUUGAUAUUCGGUAUAACCCGCUCUUACUCUCAAACAUACCCAUGUGAUAUACCUGUUGCGGUUUUAUUUUUCUUAGGGUAUCCUUUUGAUAUCUUUCGAGGUCUCUCUGAAUAUCUAUAACUUCUUCAAUACUAUCAAUAUCAUCGGCUUUACAUGAUAAUCUAUGCUUCAUUGCGAGUGGUCUUGAGUCUUGCCUUACUAACUGGAGGGUUUUAUCUCUUCUAAGGAAGCCUUUAGAUAUGUCCAUUUUUCUGAAUUAAUAUUUCUUGAUGAUGUUACGAUUCCAGAUGACGAUAGCACAAUUUCUUUGUUGUUUUGGACACUUUUUAGCUUGUCUAAAACUUGAAUUAAUAGCUGAAGAAUUGUAUUAUUUUGUCUUAUUAUAAUUUUAGAGUCUUCUUUUGGUGAGUCGUGAUCAGAAAAUCCUACAGGAGGUGACAAGUAUUUGGCUACUUCGUUUAAUGCUUGGCUAUAUUCAGUCAUAUAAUUAUGAGACAAUCAAAGUUUUAACUUCUUGCAGCAACUUCUUUAUAUCGAGUAUAUCUUGUCUUGCUUCUGUGCGAGGGAGUGAGUCUUUGCCUUUACUUAGGUAACGACCAAUUGACAACACUUCUUCUUUAAUAUAAUCGUUAUUCUUGCAAAGUACGUUCUGCCUGGCCUUUGCUUCUUCUAGCUUAUGUAAGGCGAGAUCGAUUUUAUUGUUCAGACCAGAAUAUUUAUCCGCAAGCUUUUGGUAUUCUUUGGAUAAACUCUCAAAUUUUUGGUCUAAAUUAUCUUGUCUUUUCCCCCAAGAUAUGUAAAAGUUAUAUAUCAAAUCGACAAUUGUAUUUAGCUGGCUAUGAGUUGUAUGCCAGGUAUGCUCUUCAGAAGGAUUUAUUCUGCACCUUAUAUUAAUAUUCUCUUUAGUAUUUAUUACCUUACCUGCGCUAACUUCUAAAUUUAAAUACUUUAACCUAUCAAUGUUUAAAACGCUGGACUUGAUACCAAAUAUACGGAAUAUUUAAAAUAUUAAAAUUAAUCUAAACUAUAUUAAGUUACAAAUUCAGGUUUUAAUGUUGAUAUACGUGAUUAUGUAUACGAGUUAUUAAAGUAAAUACAAAGUUAUUUAUUUAUUUUAUAUUAUUUUAAUACGAAGUGUUUUUAAAUUAUUUCGCUUAUAUUGCAGGAUCUUUGAGGGGCUGUCGAGGCCAACAAGACGACUGAGGUGUACGCAGUGGUGUAAUAUCCUACUCAGUACUCACCAUAUUUAUCAUUAUGUUGUUUCAGAUGUAGCUAAGUUUGUUCACUUGAUGUUUUAGUUGCAAAUUUAUGGAAUAAAUUCCUAUCGUCUUCCCAGGCAGUUCCACCCGAAGGGAACACUUCUCUACGGCCAUAAGGUUCUCAUUCAAAUGCCAUAAAAGGCUACACAGAGAACUACCGGCAGAGUUUUCUCCUAUAGGAUCCCUAGCAUAAGAACUCGUUCCAUAAAUUCAAAAAUAAAAUACCAAGUGAAAACACGAAACUACAUCAUUUCCACAACAUAAUUUACAUAUGGUUUUCCCUUUCGGGAACCCCCGAAGGGUUUACACAAGGAUAAAGAAAUUACCUUCUAACUACCUUCGCGAGCUUACAAAUGCUCUAAAUAUUGUAGCUCUUUAUUACACGAUGAGGAAGUACUACUACUACUACUACUACUACUUGAGCAAAGAGCUUGCUAGCUGAGUUGCAACUCUGUGCUCUAUCUGUGGCUGGCUCUUCUCCGUCUGGUGUCUCUCUUCGCAGCAAGGCUCCUCCUUUUAUAGGCAAGAGAGCACCUCUUGGAUGGCUUUCGGGAGAAGGCUCCUCUAUUAUUUCCUCCUUCUUUCUCCUUGUCCAUCAUGCACCUAGUUUUUAGGCCUUCUAGGCUUUAUAGGCUUUGUAGCCAUUAUAGCCCUUCUUUCUAGGGUAUUGAGUGCAUGUUGGAGAGGUUUGCACACCGUGUCUUGGCUGCCAAUGGAGGUGGCAUUGUCUUCUUUUUUGAUUUUCUUCUUCGUCAUGAUUUUGUCUUGGACUUUAAUCUUCAGGAAUAUUACAAUCUUUGAAUAUGCAUGUGCCCGUACACUGCCUGCUGAUAUGUGUAUGCGGGCAUACUUGGCUCGAAACAUGCACAUGUGUGUGCAUUGGCUAUUGAUAUGCGUACGCAUACAUGCUGCAAUUUUUAUUUUUUUAUUUUUUGCUGCAAUUUACACCUCGGCGCCCGUAUUGCAGCAAGUGUAGCAGACUUUAGCCCUUGAGUGGUUCUGACGGCUAAACGCAUAAUUAAGCAUCUGAUGCAUGGCUGAUAACGAUAGCAAUUACCCGGAAAAAAACAAUCGUAAUAAAUAACAUGAAAAAAAAAGAACGCUUAAGCACGUGGGUACGCAUAUGUGAGAAUCCUUGCGAGUGGCAACUUGGACGGCCACCAAGAAAAUUAACAUGUUGGAAUAAGUCAAAUUCGUUCAGACAUCUCUUGUGUGAACUUUGCCGCCCUCUGGUCACGGUCAAGGCCAUGUUGCCAAAAAUUCACAAGUCGCAAAGCUCGGCUCUAUACCUAAUCAUUCGAGACUUUUGUUGGACUUGGACACACCUAAUGAGUGGGACAUUGAUGGACAAGUUUGCUGCUAAUUGUUUAGAAUGAACUGUCUCUUUCAUUGAUGAUCUGUGAAGAUUAAAUACACACAGAACCGUUGCCACGAACGGAUGCGUUCGCUCGUGGGGGUCGUGGGAAAAACCGCCGCGUCGGUUGGCUAGGAACCGCACGAAGCGUUUCUGUACAAGGGAGGAUUAUUCCCUAAUUAACAUAAUUAGUUUAAAUCCUAACACUCCCCCUAAUCCUCGCUUGUCCUUGAGACCGAUCAUCUUUGAAAUAUUCUCCUCCAAAACCCUGUGGGAAAAAUUAAGAAGAAAACAUACAAUAUGCGAUGAAAAACUCCUUCUAAAACCCAGUGGGAAAAAUAAAGAGAAAAUGAUAUAUAUCGUCCAUGCUUGCAUUGAUAUUGCCUCACUAAAAACCUUUCAUGAGAAACCAUGUGAAAAACUCAGAAAGGAAAAUAGUGCAAUACAAAAGAUCUCAUGAUCUUAACAGGUUAUAUCCUAGGAGAUUUCUCCCCCUGAAUUUUGCAAGUCUCGAAGUCGUCUCAUACCAAUUCCAUUUACAUACUUAUGGAAUAAAGAACUUGGUAAAGACUUAGUAAAUAGAUCAGCGAGAUUAUCGCAUGACUUCGUUUGCAAAAUACUUAUCUCCCCCUUCUCUUGCAGAUCAUGGGGAUAAAAUAAUUUAGGAGAAAUAUGCUUUGUAAUAUUGCUCUUAAUAUAACCCGUUUGCAUUUGUGCAAUGCAAGCACCAUUAUCUUCGUAGAUAACAGUGGGUGAUUUUACCGAACCAAUCCCACUUGAACUUUGGACAAAGUUCAUCAUUCUACGAAGCCAUACACAUUCACGUGAUGCUUCGAACAAAGCAAUUAUCUUAGAAUGAUUAGUGGACGUUGCCACUAAGGUUUGCUUUGUUGACUUCCAAGAGAAGGUCGUACCUCCAUGUAAGAAGACAAAACCAGUCUACGAUAUGGCAUCAUGGGGAUCUGACAAGUAUCCAGCAUCGCAAUACCCCACCAUGGUUCUCUCUUGAUUUUUCUGAUAGAAUAAACCAAGAUCUUUGGUGCCUUGAAGAUAUCUGAAAAUAUUCUUCACACCAAUCCAAUGCCUUUUUGUUGGUGAUGCGAUGUAUCUAGCCAGUAAAUUAACUUCAAAUGAUAUAUCAGGUCUAGUGCAGUUUGCUAGAUACAUUAGUGCACCAAUGGCACUGAGAUAGGGAAACUCUGGUCCCAAUAUCUCUUCAUCAUCACCCUUAGGUCUAAAUGGGUCCUUGUCUCUGUCAAGCGACCCGACGACCAUAGGUGUUUUUGAUGGGUAUGCUUUAUCCAUAUUGAACUUUUCCAGUAUCUUUUGGAUGUAAGCAGACUGAUGAAUAAGUAUUCCUGAAGAAAAAUGUUCAAGUUGCAAACCAAGACAAAAUUUGGUUUUACCCAAAUCUUUCAUCUCAAAAUCCGUCUUGAGAUGAUUACUUGCCUCAUGUAUUUCACGUGUAGUUCCAAUGAUGUUCAAGUCAUCAACAUACACAGGAAUUAUACAAAAUCCAUCAGUGGAUUUCUUGAUGAACACACAUGGGCAAUCAUUGUUGUUUGAGUAACCCUUCUCGAAAAGGAACUCACUUAGUCGGUUAUACCACAUUCUACCUGACUGUUUCAAGUCGUAUAACGACUUCAGUAGCUUUACGCAAUACAUGUUGCGGUUAGCUUUUGGAUCCGGAAUCUUCAAUCCCUCAGUAACUUUCAUAUAGAUAUCCGUCUUAAGUGACCCAUAUAAAUAUGCAGUCACAACAUCCAUCAAUUGGAUAUACAAAUUCAUUUGCACUGCCAGUGAUAUCAAGUAUCGGUACGUGAUUCCACUCAUCACAGGAGAAUAUGUUUCAUCAUAAUCGAUGCCGGGUCUCUGUGUAAACCCUUGUGCUACAAGCCUCGCUUUAUAUCUCACCACUUCAUUGUUUUCGUUCCUUUUACGAACAAAAACCCAUUUUGCCCCCACGGGGAAAACAUUAGGAGGAGUAGGUAUUACUGCAGUAAAUACCCCUCUCUUAGCAAGCGAGCGCAAUUCGUUCUCUAUUGCAACCUUCCAAUUGGACCAGUCUGAGCGUUUCAUACACUCUGCCAUGGACUUAGGUUCACGAUCCAAUGCCAGGUCAUCUGCAAUCUUUGAGGCGAAAAAUAUGUCGACAAUUGUAGUCUUUCUGUUGAAUGAUUCUCUUGAUUCAACAUAGUUGAUGGAAAUCUCAUCAAUACCUUCUGACUCAUUGUGAUUUUCCACAACAAUCGAGUCAAGGUGUACCGAUGUCCCAGUACCAAUAUUUUGUGUGCACAGUUGUGCUGGGUUCUGGAUGCGUAACAUCCUUUAGGUGUCUUUCGACACUAGAUUGAAUAUCAACACGCGGUUGACCUGCAUUUACUAUUUGAGGGAUCCUCACUUCCCACGGACGCUUCUGAGAAGCCUUGUCCUUUUUGUCCAGUUUUCUCCCCCUCUUGGGCGGUUGAGUGGUCUUAUGAGAUAUCUCAACUCUCUCUGGAACAUUCAUAGCGGGAACAUGGGAUUUAGUUACACCUUUAUAGUCAGUAAAUGCAUCUGGCAGAUUAUUUGCAAUAUUUUGCAAAUUAAUAAUCUUCUGAACUUCCAGUUCAGAUUCAUUCGUACGUGGAUCUAAGGACUGAACGCCUUUGACAUUCCAAUCUAUUUUCCGGCAUUCUCUGUGGUUCUUUUCUCCCCCUAAUGCCGGAAAAUUGUCCUCAUCGAAGAUGCAAUCAGCGUAUCGGGCUGUAAAUAAAUCCCCUGUUAGAGGCUCCAGGUACUUUAUGAUCGACGGAGAAUUGUACCCCACAUAGAUCCCCAUUUUUCUACGUGGACCCAUCGAUGUACGCUGAGGUGGUGAUAUCGGUACGUACAUAGCGCAACCGAAUCUUCGAAGAUGGGAAAUACUUGGUUGAUUUCCACGUACUAACUGCAACGGGGAGGCCGUAUGAUAUGCAGUUGGUCGAAUUUGUAUGAACUCUGCGGCAUGCAAUACCGCAUGUCCCCAACAAGAAGUUGGAAGAUUACAAUUCUGUAGGAGUGGUCUUGCUAUCAACUUGACCCUCUUGAUAAGUGAUUCGCAAGACCAUUUUGUGUGUGUACAUAUGGUACAGAAUGCUCCACAGUUAUGCCCAAGGCUAGGCAGUAAUCAUUGAAUGCUCGUGAACUAAAUUCAGCAGCAUUAUCCAUUCUGAUGGAUUUUAUCCCGUGUUCAGGAUGAUUUGCCCUCAGUUUAAUGAUUUGAGCAAUCAGCUUUGCAAAAGCAUGGUUCCUUGUUGAUAAUAGACACACAUUAGACCAUCUUGUUGAUGCAUCAAUGAGCAUCAUAAAAUAUCUAAAUGGUCCCGAUAACGGUUGAAUUGGACCACAUAUAUCUCCUUGAAUGCGUUCAAGAAAAUUAAGUGGUUCAUUCUUGAUCUUCAUAUAUGAAGGUCUUGUGAUUAAUUUCCCAGUUGCACAUGCGGUGCAUACGAAAUCCGAGGAUUUAGGGAAAUUAGCAACCGUUAUGUUGUGUCCAAUUGAACCGUCAAUAAUUUUUCUCAUCAUCCCCACACCAGGAUGACCCAGGCGAUCAUGCCAUAUCUUGAACUUGUCAAGAUUCUGAAAAAUUAUUUUGUAUGCCAAAUAUUGCUCUGGCUUGAUGUAUGUGUAAUACAGUCCAGAAGAUAGAGCAGGCAGUCUCUCAAGGGUUUCCUUGUCGGAUCCCUUCUGCUGAGUUAUGAGUAGGCUUUCAACUGUAUUGUCUUCAUGAGUUUCAAUGUGGUAGCCAUUCAUACGGAUAUCCUUAAAACUCAACAGGGUACGAGUUGAAUCCGGAUACAAUAAAGCCUCCUGGAUUUCAAGUUUUGUACCAUUCGGGAGGGUAAAUGUGGCUUGACCAGAACCAACAAUUACCGUGUCAUGACCACCAAUUGUCAUAACACUUCCCUUACUCUUUUUGAGACUUUGGAAGUAUUUAACCUCCCGUAGAAUUGUGUUAGAGGCACCACUGUCCACUAAACAAAUUUCCUCCUUCAUUGGAUUGUUUCUCGAAGUUUUCUUCUUCUUUCCUCCCUUCUUUCUUCUUUUCCGACGACUCUCGCCGGAGUUGUUUUGCCUUUUUUCUGCUCUCGGUAGAGUUACGGGCUGAUAACGUGUUUAGAAUGAACUGUCUCUUUCAUUGAUGAUCUGUGAAGAUUAAAUACACACGGAACCGUCGCCACGAACGGAUGCGUCCGCUCGUGGGGGUCGUGGGAAAAACCGCCGCGUCGGUUGGCUAGGAACCGCACGAAGCGUUUCUGUACCAGGGAGGAUUAUUCCCUAAUUAACAUAAUUAGUUUAAAUCCUAACACUAAUUAGCUGGUUUGCAGGCUGGACGCUGUAACUCGUCGCCAAGUCUCCUUAACAGACUUGAUCAUUGCGACCUGAAGAUGGCAGUCGGGGACCAACGCCAUCCGCUAGCAACCGCGUGCAGCGUCGCCUCGUGCGUUCACCUCGCAUGGCACCGCACAUAGUAAAAUAGUAUCCCGUUAUCGCAGCAGCUUCGUCUUCUUUCUAGUCCGCACGCACGAGGCCACCAACCCCACCUUCGUGCUCACCCGGCCAAUUCCAGCGGUCAACACCACCAUUCGAAUCACGGUCCACUCCAAUUCCCAGUUCCUCACCCACCGUGGUUGCGCUACCUAUUUAAAUCCUUCCCUCUCCUCCAUUUCCAUCCAAGAAGAGCAUCCCUCACUUCUCCUGCUCCAACGAGCUCUUCUCUCUUACGGCUGCUCCACACAUUCAUCAGCCAAUAGCCACAUCAAAAAUCCAGCUAACACAGUAAACAUCACCAGUCUCUAGUCUCUAGUCUGUACUCCAGCUCCCCUCUCUCACAACUGCUCCAAGGAGACUUCAAGACAAAGUGUCGAUCGAACCAAUGGCAACCAAUGGCAACGACGGUUUGUGCUUGGCGAAGCCGCGGAGUGCUGACCCGCUCAACUGGGGGAAGGCGGCGGAGGAGCUGUCAGGGAGCCAUCUGGAUGCCGUCAAGCAGAUGGUGGAGGAGUACCGCAAGCCGGUGGUGGUCAUGGAGGGCGCAAGCUUGACCAUAGCCCAGGUCGCAGCUGUGGCCGCGGCUGGCGAGACAAGGGUGGAGCUCGACGAGUCCGCUCGCGGCCGCGUCAAGGAGAGCAGCGACUGGGUUAUGACCAGCAUGGCAAACGGCACCGACAGCUACGGUGUCACCACCGGUUUCGGCGCCACCUCCCAUCGGAGGACCAAGGAGGGCGGCGCUCUGCAGAGGGAGCUCAUCCGGUUCCUUAACGCCGGUGCGUUCGGCACUGGCAGCGACGGCCAUGUGCUGCCCGCGGCCACCACGCGUGCGGCGAUGCUUGUCCGCGUUAACACCCUUCUUCAAGGCUACUCUGGCAUCCGCUUUGAGAUCCUCGAGACCAUCGCCACGCUGCUCAAUGCCAACGUGACACCGUGUCUGCCGCUCCGGGGCACCAUCACGGCUUCCGGUGAUCUCGUCCCGCUCUCCUACAUCGCGGGACUUGUCACCGGCCGCCCAAAUGCCGUGGCUGUUGCUCCCGAUGGCACAAAAGUUAAUGCUGCCGAGGCAUUUAAGAUUGCCGGUAUCCAACACGGCUUCUUUGAGUUACAGCCCAAGGAAGGCCUUGCUAUGGUUAAUGGCACGGCGGUGGGCUCCGGGCUCGCGUCCAUUGUUCUCUUUGAAGCCAACAUCCUUGGUGUCCUUGCUGAAGUUUUGUCAGCCGUGUUCUGCGAGGUGAUGAAUGGCAAGCCAGAGUACACCGACCACCUGACACACAAGUUGAAGCACCAUCCUGGACAGAUCGAGGCUGCGGCCAUCAUGGAGCACAUCCUGGAGGGCAGCUCCUACAUGAUGCUCGCGAAGAAACUUGGUGAGCUCGACCCAUUGAUGAAGCCAAAGCAAGACAGAUAUGCUCUUCGCACAUCGCCGCAAUGGCUUGGGCCACAAAUUGAGGUCAUCCGUGCAGCGACGAAGUCGAUCGAGCGCGAGAUCAACUCUGUCAAUGACAACCCACUCAUUGACGUGUCUCGUGGGAAGGCAAUCCAUGGUGGCAACUUUCAGGGCACGCCCAUCGGUGUGUCCAUGGACAACACGAGGCUUGCCAUUGCUGCAAUUGGCAAGCUCAUGUUUGCCCAAUUCUCGGAGCUAGUGAACGACUUCUACAACAAUGGCUUGCCCUCCAACCUCUCUGGUGGUCGCAACCCAAGCCUGGACUAUGGCUUCAAGGGUGCCGAGAUCGCCAUGGCAUCAUACUGCUCGGAGCUUCAAUUCUUGGGCAACCCUGUGACCAACCACGUCCAGAGUGCGGAGCAACACAACCAAGACGUUAACUCCCUUGGAUUAAUCUCGGCCCGGAAGACCGCUGAGGCCAUCGACAUUCUGAAGCUCAUGUCCUCUACGUUUUUGGUUGCGCUCUGCCAAGCCAUCGACCUGCGCCACCUCGAGGAGAAUGUCAAGAACGCAGUCAAAAGUUGUGUCACAAGAGUGGCUAGGAAGACCCUAAUCACAAAUGACAUGGGUGGCCUCCACAACGCUCGUUUUUGUGAGAAGGACCUGCUCCAGACAAUCGACCGCGAGGCAGUGUUUGCGUAUGCAGACGACCCUUGCAGCGCCAACUACCCUCUCAUGAAGAAGAUGCGUGCGGUGCUGGUGGAGCACGCCCUGGCCAAUGGUGAGGCUGAGCGCAACGUGGAAACCUCGGUGUUUGGCAAGGUUGCCAAAUUCGAGCAGGAGCUCUGUGCUACACUACCUCAGGAGGUUGAGGCUGCUAGAGGUGCAGUGGAGAAUGGCACCGCCGCAGAACCAAACCGUAUCGUAGACUGCCGGUCAUACCCUCUGUACCGGUUUGUGCGCGAGGAGCUGGGCACGGUGUACUUGACCGGAGAGAAGACUCGGUCACCCGGCGAGGAGGUGGACAAAGUGUUCGUUGCCAUGAACCAGGGUAAGCACAUCGAUGCGCUGCUGGAGUGCCUCAAGGAGUGGAACGGCGAGCCCCUCCCUAUCAGCUAAUCAAUGAGAUGAAGAGAAGAUGCCGUGCUUCACUAAUUCUGAAAACUGAUAAUACUGUUCUUUUAUUUUAUUUUAUUUUUCCUCUUCUAAAGAGCUGAUGCAUUAACGUUCUUCCGGAGCUAGAGCUUCUGCUUAUGUAAGUGAAAGGGUAUAAAUUUUCAUGACAAAUGUUCAAGUUGUUGAAAUGAAUCCAAAGAAGCCAGAGCUGUAUCAACAAGUACAUUGAUGUACCACAUUGCAUUGCAAGUCAUCGAACAAUUAGAUUAUCAUACAUGUUCAGGCACAAGCAAUAUUGCCAGAAGUAGUAGAAAGAACCAGAACGAAACAACAAUAGACACAAGAAACUUACCAGAUCAAUGUUUUCUUAUCCUUAUAAGGCAACUGAUCAAUCCAUUGGUACCAGCAGUAUGUGCCAACAGAGUAAACAAUCUAGUACACGCCUAGCUGCUUCAAUCAUUGCAUAACCUAGCAAAAAAUCUGUUAAAUUUCUGGAAGACAAAAAUCUGUUAAAUUUCUGCAUGGGAGAUCUAUGGGUAGAUUAUGUCAUAUUGGUUGCCCGUGAACAGCAAGGUCAUACUAACAUGGAGAACUCCAAAACUAAAGUAGAUAUGUUGAGGAGGUCCUUCAUUCAGCUGCUCAACACGAGGGCCAUCAUCUGAACUUCGGCCGCCACCAUCUGAACAGGGUAGCGUGCUGAAAGCACCACUGUGACAUCUCCAGAUAGCUGCUAGUAAUCUGAGGAAAAUUAAAACUGACCAAAAAAUAUGUCAGAAACAUGAAUUAGGAUGAACUGUGGGAAAGAUAAGUUGACGACUGAAGGAUAAGUCGAAAAGUGUUUUCUCACUAUUUUCUAGAUGUGUUUUCUGUUCUAUAAUAAGUGCUGAAGAACUUGAGAAGUUUCUGAUUACAGUAACUGACAAAAGUGGCACAUCAAGCCAGUGAGGUGGAAGCAUUCGGCCACAACACUUCACCGGAAUUGCAAAAAAACAAACAUAUCAAAAACCUUUUAGUUGAUGCUACGGGGAUCAAUCUGCCUUGUGUCUUCCAGUUCAUUACUUUCUUUAUCAACUUCUUAAAUGCCUGAAGGAAUCCGUGGUGAUAAAUCAUAUUCGGUAAUCAUUCCAUACAUCUCCGUAAGGAUUCCUUUUCAGAGGUCUCGGCAGUAGUACUAGGCUUCACCUGACCUGGCAUGUUGGCUCGCCAGCGGUGAAGCUCCACGAAGGUAGCCAGCGAGAGCGCGUCAAGCUGCGGAAGCUGCCAACCAACUUGGCUGGCAGGUAGGAGAAACCUCCAUGAGCAUGUCAUCUGAGCAAUGGAUUUGUGCCCCCUUUCGGCUGAACAAUGUUUGCCAUGUGUAGUUGUGGUACGAGUCCCCCACGUGCUGUUCCAACUUAUAAGAGGCCAAGACACGGUGUGCGACGACCUGAGACAGAAACGGACUCUAAGCCUACGCCAAGUUGGACAGCUCCUCGAGGUGACGGUGGUCGUCGCCAAGCAGCCUGAGCUGCUGAUCGAGCCCUCUGACGACGGUUUUGAUGCCCGGAUCAAGGAAGCGGUCACCAGCAACAAACUCGCAGGCGACGCCAUCGACCUCGACCAUGCUGCACCCGGGCACUUUGGUCAACUUCUUCUCCUCCAUCACCGACCUGAUCCUUACCACGUCCUCCCACUUGCUGGAGCAGGCGUACAUGUUGGACAGCUGCACCUGCACACCGCUGUGGUCGAGCCCAAGCUCCGCCAGCCACUCCACAACCUGCUUUCCGAGCUCCACACCGUCACCACCGUGCACCCGGCAUGCGUUCAGCAGCGCACCUAACACAUACGAGUCGGGCCGCAUCGGCAUUGCCCGCGCUACAGCCGCGGCCUCCGCUAGCAUCCCAGCACGGCCGAGCACGUCGACCAGGCUCCCAUAGUGCUCCACGCCGGGCUCAAUGCCGUGGACGGCAGACAUACUCUGGAAGAUCUCCCUAGCGACGCUGACAAGCCUGCCACCAGCACGGGCACAAGCGCUGAGGACACAGAUGAAGGUGACCUCGUUGGGGCGCACACCCUGGUCCCGCAUCUGGCCGAACAGCUCGAUGGCCUCCUGGCAGUGGCCGUGGUCCGAGAGCCCCGAGAUCAUCGCCGUGUAAGCAAACACGUCGCGCUCGGGCUCCGGCAUGGCCGCGAACACCUGUCCUGCAGAGUCCAGGCUCCCGCACUUGGCAUACAUGUCCACCAACGCGGUAGCCACCACCCCGUCCAUCCUACUGGCGGCAGCGGCGACAAGUGCGUGCACCCAUCUGCCCUGCUCCAGCGCCCCGAGCGCACCACAUGCGGCCAGUGCACCGACGAUGGCCGCCCUGUUGGGUCGGACGCGGGCCCUGAGCAUCCUGUCGAACACCUCGAGUGCGUCCGCGAAAGCGCCCGCGCCGACGUGGGCGCUGAGCAUGGCGCUCCAGGCGAUCGGCGUCUUCUGUGGCAUUCCGUCGAACAGGGCGCGGGCGUCGUCCAUGUGCCCAGCCUUGGCGUAGGCUGUGAGAAGCGAGGUCCAGGAGCAGAUAUCGUCCGUGCGGGCGAGGACGGCGCCGUCGAAGACGCGGCGCGCGGCAUCGAGGAAGCCGCGGGAGGCGUAGGCGUGGAUGAAGCCGUUGGAGACGUAGGCGUGCGCGUCCCAGCCGAGCGCCACGGCGAGCGCGUGCAACGCGCACACGAGCUGCGUGUGGGCCGAGGAGGGCGACGACGGCGACGGAAUGGGGAUGGCUGUGGCGGUAGCGGCGGUGAGGAGGAAAGAGAAGGUGUAGUUGUUGGGGAGGAAUGCGGGGAGGAUGCGGCGGAGGCGGGGGAAGAGGGCGAGGGUGCGAAGAGGGGCGUCCGGGAGGAGGCCGCGGAGGAGGAUAUUUGGGAGGUAGCGGUCGCCGAGGAGGGAGGAAGUGAGGAGGUGGCCGUGGAGCUGCCGGAGCUGCGCCGCCGUGAGCGACGGGUGGGACAGCAGCCGCAGCGCCAUGGCGGCGACCGAAGGGUACGUGGGCCUGGGCCCCUAAUAGGAGGAUGUAUUGCAGCAGAUUGACGACCGGCCCACGAACCCAGCCCAACCGAAGCGUAGAGUGGAAGGUAAACCAAGGACAACAGCAGCGACUUCUUCUCCAUAGUGGGUGGGGAGGGGAGCGUCCGGCGAGCGAGAGGUAGACGAAGGAGAAGCAAUGGCUCGCGCGGGGCAAGGAGGUGGGAUGGGGAGCGCGGUGAACGUGGGGAUCGCGGUGCAGGCCGACUGGGAGAACCGCGAGUUCAUCUCCAACAUCUCCCUCAACGUCCGCCGCCUCUUCGACUUCCUCCUCCGAUUCGGUGCGCCCCUAGAUCCCCAUUUUCCUCCCUGCAUUUCCUUCCUCUUUCCCCGGCCGUCUGCUCUCUUGCUUGCUUUAGUACGAUUGGAUUGGAUUGGAUUGGAUCUUAUCCCCUACUGCGUCCGUCCGCCUCUAGUAUGAUUUAUUCCAUGCAUCGGUGAAUUAGAACUCUUGCUACCUACCUGCUCGCGCCCAGGACAAGAUCUCCCUCAUGGAUGAUAUGCCUGCUGCAUCCGCUUCCAUGACGGCGUAUUUGCCAUAGCCGACUCCCAUUACCGACUUCCUCACGCAUGUUGCCGAUGAGGUUGGUUCAGUCAGCCGUGAAUUGCUCGUUACUGCAACGGCGCUUUGCCCCUCUUACUAAUAAUAAUAAUCAUCAGAAAUGCUAGUUACUGUGACUUCACUUUUUUUUUGUUGAAAGAUCCAGCAAUUGCUGGCCUUGCAUGAUCAUUAGCCGAAAGCAACGGGAGUACAAAAGUGGUAUGGAUCCUAGGAUCAAAGAGAAAAAAUGAAGUCGAAAAAAAACUGCUAGAGGGGUCGACCACAACCCGGUCCGCCCCUCCCUAUGCAUGCCCUUAUCUCUCACGAUGGAUCCCCGAACGGGCUCUCAAUGCACUUAGCUCCUGCUAGCCAACAUAGCUCAAUGGAGUCCUUGAUCCGUUGCAUGAUCGUGGCGGUCAACGGGGUUUUAUUCCGGAACAUGCACUUGUUCCUCUCUUGCCAAAUCUCCUAGCAAGUGAGGAGCAACAAUGUCUUUGCCCCUUUCCUCCUGUUGGCAUGAGUGUGCUCGUAGAUGUGGUGAACGAUCGAUAGCUCCGGUGCUUGGUGCCACUCCUUGGAUGAGAACGAUGAGCAGCCCCUCCACAGGCUGAUCGCUGUCCACACCUCGUGUGAUCGUGGGCAUUCCCAGAAGAGGUGAUGGGCAGACUUGAGGCUCUGUAGGCAUAGCUGGCAGAAGUAUUCAUUCGGCCACCCUCUUCGCUGCAGCCGAUCGUUGCACUAUAGCCUAUUCUGAAAGAGCAGCAAUGCAAACAUCUUUAUCUUGCAUGGCACCCAGACCUUCGAGAUAUCUUGGUCGAAGGUGGAAGCCCAUCGUCCCAUGAACUGCAUCAGGUAGGCGGACUUGGUGGAGGGAGCUCUCCCAGUUCCACCUGAUCAUGUCAGGCGCGCCGUCCUCUAAAACUAUCUCUGCUUCUCUAAUGGCCAUAUGCAUCUGAAGAAAUUGAUGCAGCAAGCCCUCGGCGCUGCCAUGGGCGAUGUCUCUGAUCCAUGUAUUCUCCGUCAGAGCCUGUUACACCGUCUGGUUCUUCCUCCUAGAAUGCUUGAAGACGGAGGGGAAACGCUGGGCUAGUGUGGCCUUGCCACACCAAGAAGAGUGCCAGAAGGGCGCCGUCGCCCCAUCGCCCACUGUGACGGUGGUCGCUGCGGCGAAGAGAGCUCAUUCUCCAACUCCGCAAUGGACUUCCGAGCCCACCCAUGGCCGGUCAGGGUGCUGCCAGGUGAUCCACAACCAUUGUAAGCGCAGGGCCGUGCUGAAACACUGCAGGCCAUGGACGCCAAGACCACAUGCAGUUGGCAAGCACAUGGACUGCCAGUUGACCUUGCAACUACCACCCGAGGUUUCUUCGUCGUGCCGCCAGAGGAAACGUCGCCUACACUUGUCUACUUCCUUGAACAGUUUCUUUGGGGCCUGUAGCACUUUCAGAGCAAAGGUGGGCAUGGCACUAAGGACACAUCACACCAUCACCCUGCGACCCGAGAACGGCAUGAGCAUGCCUUCCAUCCUGCUAAGCGAGCCUUGAUCGUAUCUAUGAUGAACUAAGGGUGUACCAACUGGAGGCGACCAGGGGUGACGGGGAAACCCAAAUAUUUUGCCAGGAAAGAAGCAACCGCCCCAGCAAAGCUGGCCAGUACCUCCUAGAUGUCAACCUCCUCACAAUUGAUCGAGGCAACCGAAGAUUUUGCCGGGUUUAUGCAUAGUCCCGUCACGCUGCCGAAGUCUAGUAGGAUUGUUAUCAGGUUGUCUACCUCCUGUCUAGUGGGGUUGACGAAUAUCAUGGCGUCAUCGGCGUAAAUACUGACUUGGAGCUUGAGCUCCCGUCCUGGGAUUGGACCCAAAAUCUGUUGUUCUACUGCCGCCUUGAUGAGAUGAUGCAACGGGUCUAUCGCUAGGAUGAAAACGAAAGGAGACAGAGGGUCACCUUGGCGUAGGCCCCGUCAAUGGGCAAUGGGCGCGCUGGCCACACCGUUGAGCAUGAAUCUGGAUGAGGAGGUAGACAACAGUAGGGUGAUCCAAUCUCGCCAUCACGCACUAAAGCCGGGCCGUUGUAGGAGCUCCAGGAGAUAUUCCCAGGAGACGGUAUCGAAGGCCUUCAGUAUGUCUAGUUUCUUAAGGAGCGUCGGGUUUUUUCGUGGGUGGAGGCCUCGGACAGCAUUUUGAACGAACAAGUAGCUGUCGUGAAUGCACUUGUUCUUGAGGAAGGCCGUUUGAGCCGGGGAGAUGAUGGUGUGUAUGACUGCCGCUAGUCUAAUGGAGAGGACCUUGGAGAUAAGCUUCGCUAAUGAGUGUAUUAGGCUGAUAGGUCUGAAGUCGUUGAUCGUUGUGGCUCCAUCCUUCUUGGGUAGCAAAACCACCAUGAUAGUGUUAAGUGAAGCAAUGCCCCCUCCCACCAGGUGGUAGAAUUGGUGGAACACCUCCAUGAUGUUGUGUUUGAUGAUUGGCCAGCAACAUCUAAAGAAGGUCCCGUUGGAACCGUCGGGGCCGGGUGACUUCUCUUGCGGCAAUGAAGCAAUCGCGUUCCACACCUCCUCUUCGACGAAAGGGUUGUCCAGCCCACCGUGUUGCAGCUACGGCAGGUUAAUGGCUGCCCAAUCGAUCGUGGUUUUCCUGGCGGAGUGUUGACCUACGGAUGCACUAAAAUGAUCAUGGAUCAACGUGGCCUUGUCCUUGUGUGUCGUGGCUAUCGUGGCUGGACCUUGAAUGGAGUGAUGAAAUUCUUCUACCUCCGGGAGUUUGCUUUCGCUUGGAAGAAGGCCGUUUGUGCGUCGCUGGCCCGGAGCCAGGUGACCCUAGAGGCCUGACGUUUCCUAGCACGCUCGAUCGCCGCAAGUCCCAGGAUGCGUAGUUUGAGCAGCUUACGCAGUUGGAACUCCUCGAAGGCAAGUGGACGGCUCUCCUGAGCUACGUCGAAGCGUAGCACUAGCUCGGUUGCCUAAUGAAGUUGCAGUUUAAUCUCACUAAAGAAGCCCUUGGCCCAAAUUUUUAGGUCCGUUGCUACCCUUUGAAAUUUGAUGUUGAUUCUACGAAAUGCACACUGGGCCGCCAUCGGUCGUUGCCAUGCCCUCUGCACCGUGAUGUGGAAGCGCAGGAAGCGCGGCCAGAAGGAUUCAAACCUGAAUCUGGCUGGGCGACGAGGGGCUGCCGCCUCGGCCAGCAGCAGGGGACAGUGAUCGGAACAGGAGGUCGACGUCGACGUCGACGUCGCGUGGAGGAUGAGGGAGUGAAACAUCGCGUCCCAGGAACUGUUGCAGAAGAGUUUAUCUAUGCUACCUAAGGUUGGGUUCUCUCGCUCAUUGCUCCAAGUGAAGCGACGAUUCUUGCACUCGAUCCCUCAGAGGCCUGCUGCAUCUAUUGCCGGCUUAAACUUGCGCAUAAUUCCACGGAUGAUGUUGGAGUUCUUCUUUUCCCUGGCCUCGUAAAUUAGGUUGAAAUCACCGUUUAUAAGCCAUGGCUGCCAAGCCGGCGGUGCCACCCUAGCUAAUUCAGCCAAGAACUCCUCCUUGUUGUCAUCCGUUGGACCGUAGACUGUAGUGAACCAAAAGCUAGUUGUGGAUGAGACUACUGUCACGUUGGCUGUUAAGGAGUAAACUCCCACAACGUGUGUGUGUGCAGAUUGACGCGGUUCCUGUCCCAGAAGAUCGCCGCCCCUCCCCUCGUUCCUACAACAGGAAGACCAUAUAGUCUGCUAGUCGGCUGCCGCCUACUUCGCACGCCAGGGUACGAUCCCAGGAUUCAAUCUUAGUUUCCUGGAGGCAUAGGAUCGACAACAUGUGAAGUUCUGCCGUUUCUCUAACCACAACGCGCCUUGCUAGUGUGUUCAAGCCUCUAAUAUUCCAGCUCAAGAUCGGUGUUGGUGUACUACUCCUGGCUGAACCAAUGCAUACUCCGAAGACUACUAAUUUGGUUGAAAAUGGACAGGUACACCUCCAUCUUCCCGAGGGGUUGCCGGCGGCCACCAAUAGGCCCCAAACAGCUACGCCUUUGAAACUGCUACAUAUAUAAUACAUGCUAAAUCCUAACUCGAACCAGCCGAGAGUUGGUCGCCUUCGGAGCCUACUACACGACAGGAGAACUAACAUGGGGAAGGUGCAGCCCCGGGGGCCUCCAUCGGGGCCAUUCAUGCCAGCGGCGAUCUUGAGUGCUGACACAUCCAGGCGGGUGAGCAUGGCGAUGGCAGCUAAGUCUUCAUCGGAGAGGGGCUCGUCGAAAUGACGGGUGAGCGCCUUCGCUGCCUUGGUCGUCAUCUUCUCCUUUGGCCCGAGGAUGCCAGAGCGUGUGCACAAGGCGCAAGGUGGCCCUCUGGCUCACCAGCACCGUCGAUGGAUUGCUCACCUGCCAAGCGCUUUGUCUGGUCGGGGUCAUCAUCUUCCUUGACCUGAGGGGAGUCUGAGCGCGUGCCUUGCCUUGUCCUAGCAGCGACAUAGGAACCCCGGUGAAGAGCUGCCUCGGGGCCCUGCUGCAGCUGCCCUCCUCAAGUUGCAAAUGAUAGACCUGGUUCGUGACCGCACCCAGCUGCAGGGAGGGGGUCACUGCAGCCUCCGGAGUGUGGCGAUUCAGUGAUAGGGCCGGCCCCAUGUCCAGCGGGUCGUCGCUCCCCGUGCUCUCCCCGGUGGCAAAGUCCUGGGGCUUGUCCAACUUGGUAGCCAUCACAGUGUCGAUCGCCGAAGGUCAUGACGCGGUGGAGGUGGCAGGGCCUUGUUCGCGCCCUCGAAGAACUCCGCCAUUGGGUCCGUCCCAUCGGAUACCGCCCUGGCAGCGGAGAGGGGCCUUGGAGGACCUAGGAGUGGGUUUCCUUGCGUGGUCUUGCGCAUUGCUGGCGCCCGCUCCGGUCCCUUGGUGCGCGUGUCUUCCAGCCCCACCCGAGUCUUGCCGUUGUCAGCUGAGGAGCAGCGCCCGCGUGGUGCCCCCUGGCGGUGACAUGAGGCAUGGGUGCGGCUCCGCUGCCAGUUGGAGGAGGAGCUCGUAGUCGCCGCCUCCUUGUCGCGCCCACGCCCUGAGCAACGUGUCCUUCCAAGAGCUGUUGUCACCCUCGUGGCCACGCCUGAGCCUCGUAGAGGGCAUGCCACGACAGCUCGUAGAGGCCACACGCGUCGGGGCGCGCGCGCUGAUCCGAGCUCUGCCCCAGCAUCGGUCUGCCAUCCUCAUUCCCAUGCAGCCAGCCUCCCGCGGGUGGGCGCCGCGGGAACGGGCGGUCGUCGUCAUCGGCGAAGGGCAACCCACUCUGCCAGUGGCGGAUCCAGGAUCUGUAAACACACUGACUUACUUCUCCAUCUAGCAUCAUCGUGUCACCUUUUAUUUUUUAGUAGAGCGUGAAUUGUGAACGUUUAGACUCAAAGUCCUAUAAAGAAUAACAGGUGCUUAUGUAAUUGGGCCUUUACUACCGAUUUCUUAAUUUACAGCCACUUUAUAACUGGCCCAUCUCUAAGUAUAACAAAACGUUUUCUUCUCUUUCUCAUCAUCCUCCUCGAGUCAGAUCUCACAUGCUAUGGCCGAAACAGAUCUUGCGUUUAGUUCCCAUGGCGUUGCACCGGUCAAGUAGUAGGACGUACCCUGGGUAUGAAAUUUUUAGCCGGGGCGGCUGCCCCUACACGACCCCACGCUGCCGCCGCCCCUGCACUCUGCCUAGAGUGGGAGGAGCGCGGGGACAGGGGCGUCCAGUCCUCGAUGCAGUCCAGGUGCAGAAGGACAUCCCAUCUCUUGAAGCGCUGCGGCGGCGCCACUGCCGGCUCGGAGGAGAGAAGCCGAAGAUCUCCUCGACGCGGCCCGCUCCCCUGGCGUGCUUCCAAAGCAUGUGCCGCAUUGGGAUGUGGCCAAGGUCAAGCACCCAAGCCCACACCAUGAAGGUCUUUGUGUCGGCGUGCUCGAAUCUGUCUAGUCGGUCGAUGAUCACCUUGUCCCCGAGCGCAUCGGUGAUGCCCUCCAUCGUCCAGAGCAUCAUGGGCAGCUUCUUGAUGAUGAGGCGCAUGUGUGUCCUCCCGCUAAGGCUCCAACGGGAAGGUGACGCUGUCCACCUCCAGCGUGCUGCGGCGCACGAGAAGCUCCUUGUGCGCCGGCAGGUUGAAGUGGAUGAAGAAAUCCUCGGGGUCGUGGUUGGUGAUGCGAAGGUGGUGCGCAUGAUCUAGAACUCCCUCUCGACGGCCUUGCCGAUGGAGUAGGGGUUGGUCGCGUGGUUCUUGCUGGCCGCAGUCACCACUAUGGCGUGCUGCUGCAGGAGGAAGAGUUGCUGCUCCAUCGCCGAUGUGGAGGCGAUGACCUUAUGGCUGUGGAGCGGCCGGCGCCCGUGGUCGAUGCAGGGGGCGUCCGCCGCGGCCAUGGCCUCCUGGCUGGGGAACACGAGCUGGUCUGUCACCGGACGACGCGCGCCCAACCUCUCCUUCACGUCCCUCCCCCACGACGAUUUCUUGGGUUUUUUGGGUACUCCCUACCAAAAUGCCCUGACUGCUUGCAGAUGAUGCAGUGCAGCGGGUCUCUACAGUCCUUUCGGCGGUGGCGAGGGCUAAGGCACCGAAAACAGAGACCUCUGAACUAGCUUAAAAAGGCCUCGCGACCAUGGACGGAGGUGCUUCUGCCGUUGGAUCCCCGUGCUGGACAUCGGAUCUUUACUUGGCCGCCGCUUCUUGCGGGAUUGGUAGGUAGUCCAUCCGUCCUCAUCAAUAGCGUCGGGGGACUGAUUUGGUGAUAGAGGAGGGGCAACUACGAUGGAUCGAAGGCAGGGCUGCUCGAAAGGGGGGGGGUACCUAGAUCCGCCUGUCCGUGUGGAGAGCCAUCCUCAAGAACCUCGACCCAAGGCAGGAUCCGCGGCGUCGCCACACCAGAGCGAUCCAUGGAGGGGAGCGCGGGGCUGGGUGCCUCGGAUGGAUCGGCGGACAGGUUGAGGCCUGGCGACGCAGGGCAUUGAAUGCCGACCGGUGGAGAGGCGGGAUCUUGGGGGUCUCAGCAGGGCGGCAUGGGCCGGCGCGGGUGCCCGGGUGGGCGGCGCAUGGGUAGUGGUGGUCGCCGCGGCCGGAGUGGCCAGCGGCACGAGAGGAAGAGGUGAGCUAGCUCAGCCGCCACACCAUAUUGUUGCUUUUGACUUUUCUCCCUGGUGGUGGAGAGGGGCCUUGGGGGAGCCAGGAACUGUGACUUUGCUGCUGGCCAUGUAGCAACUCUCUUACCUAAAAAGGAAAAAUACAAUGGAACCAUUGCUAGAAAUAAGGAAUACCAUCAGCAAAGUUGUGCUGUAGUAUGUGCUCCAUCUUUUAUCUCUUCUUGGCACACGCAUCGAUAAUGUAUUUCUAGGGACGGGUUUGCAGCAAACCUAUGAGAUGCCGGAUGGUUGCGCUUCCAGUCUCAAGAAAAAAGAAUGUGUUAUUUAAUUUUGAUGUUGGCCAAGUAGCAACUCUCUUGCCCCUCAAAACAAGACAAUGAAACCAUCGCUGAAAAUAGCCAAUAACAUCAACACAGAGGUGUAACUAGUUUCACCCCUUAGCCCUGGGUAAUCGAUUUCAACUAGUUCUGCACAGUUCAACUAGAAUGUGACUGGUUUUGCGCGGUAUGCUAUUACCGGUCUGGAAUUUUGAUUAGGCUCUCGAACUUAUGGGAAGAAUUGAGUCAGUAGAUUGGAAACCGUUUCUGUUUGUUUCUUUCUUAUUCAUCCUCGGCAUUCUUUUCUGACGAUCAAAACAGGAGUUAUGCCAAUUUUAUUAUGAUAGAAAAGGGAAAUAGAGAGUGACCCGGUUUAUAAGGGAAACUGGGCCGAAAACCCCAAUGCCUGACUGAGCGAAAACCAAUGAACAAAAGGAAAACUCAAAAAACAGAAGGAAAAAAAAACACUAGAGCUUGGGGAUGUGGACUACAAGAAUGCAAAAGCAAAAGGAAGGCUGGAGCAGAUAAUUCAGGACCUUGCUAAUCUGAUGCGCUCAUUUUGCAGAGGCCACGACGAAGAGCAAGCUGGCGUCGCUGAACGAGAAACUAGACGGCCUGGAGCGGAAGCUGGAGGUGCUGGAAGUCCAAGUGAGCAGCGCCACCACCAACCCCUCCGUUUUCAACAACUAGCUAAGCCUAAUUAGCUAGAAGAAGUGUUAGCACGCGGAAUUGCAGCUGCAGAGCUUACUCACGUUUCGAGGAGCAUUCUGGCUUUGUGUUGUGUGUUUCCUGUGUAUGUGCAGUCAAUCAGUCUAUGUGUGUAUGUAUGUAUGAACAUGCCAUGUACUCCAAUUAAUCGAUUGAGAUGUUAAUUACUUAUCUUUAUGUAUGUUUAUUGCGCACAAUUACUAAAAAAAGAAAGUCGCCUCAUUACCGAGGCUUGCUGGUGAACGUGUAACAUUCUAAUUUUCCAAAAUUGGAUGUUAACAUGUCAUUCAUAUACAUCACAUAAUUUAUGAUCAACGUGUGUUUGUAAGGUGGCUUCGGAUGAGUUUAGGGUGACUAGGAAAGUAAAAGCAAAGGUAAAGAUAUCUGAUGAUGGAACGAUAAUGCCCAGAAUGCCUACAUCUAAAUAUGAGUGCGGACAACAUAGAUAAGUACAAUGUGGUAAAGAACACUGUAAAGCAAGCUGUGAGUGGAUCAAGGGAUCGGACUGUGAAAACCUCUACCAGCGUUUAAAUAGGAAGUAAGGCGAAGGGGACAUCUAUAAGAUUACCAAGAUUGGAGAGAGGGAGAUGAUGGAAGUAAGGCGAAAGGGGCAUCUACCGUGGCGAAUGCAUAAAAUAGAGAUGAUGACCAAGAUCGGAAAGAGGGAGAUGAUGGAUGUCAACCUAGUUAAAUGCAUAAAAAAAGAGCAGACCAGCUUCUGAUGAAGGACGAGGACCCUCAGUACCGUGGCGAAUGCGGUUGGAAGUCCCAGAUAGGAGGUUGCAUAAGGGGGUUACUCAGGUUCGGACCCUUGUAGUGAUGUAAGAACAUCUCCAACAGACAUGCGCUAGCGCCGGGCGUUAAAAAUUUUAUUCAGCACCGAAAUAGUGUUUUCAGCGUGCUGGAGAAUGUUUGCUCCAACAGGCGCUGCAAAAUAUGGCGCUCAAUCCGACGGCCCCACAUGCAGCGGCCAGCGCGCGUAAUCCGACGCCUCAAUAACGAAGCCCAAAAGCCAGCGUGCUCAAAAUUUGCAGCAUGGGCGCUCACGUUUUUUAUGCGCGCUCUAUUUCAGAGCUUUUGUUGGAGCUCUUUUUUCUGUCUUCGGCGUUUAAAAAGGAUAUCUUUUAGGGGGCGGAAGAGUUUUUGGGUGUGUGUUGGAGAUGCUAUAAUAUCCUACAUCCUACUUCAAAUUUGCAUCAUGUUGCAUCACCUCGUGCGAUGGGGUUAUAGAUGUGUAUGGCUAUCGACAAUAUAAUUUAUGUUGUGGAUGCGUAUGGCUACACCUACCCGCGCCUUAUAUGGGUGGCAAGGGCUAGGAUUUACACAGGAUCUAACCGAACUCAUGUUGCCGCCAUCUUGGCAUGCACGCCAAGAUGGUCCUUUUAUCUCUAUCGGGGCCUCCGGGAACCUCCCUGGUCCUUCACUGGGUCAUCUGGAUCCUGAGGCAGGCCUGUUGUCGGGCUUCCACCGAGAGGAAUUUCUCUUGCACAAUCAACAAUAAAAUGAGCAUUUCUCUUGCGCUUGAAGCGAGAAUUGUCUCAAAAAGAAUUUGAGCUUGAGGAAGGUUGGGAGCAACUCUUGGAGUCUUCUUCAAGAAAUGAUUCUUCUUCUUGAAAUGCUUGAAAUGCUUGAAAUGUUUCAUUAUCAAGGUGAGGUAUUUUCCAAAGCUGUCGGGAUCAUCAAAUUCUUCAUCAACAUUUUCCUCGUCUUUUUCCGUGGAAGAAUUCGAAGAAUCUUUGUGAGCAUGACUUUUGUGAUAGUUGGAACCAUACAAAUACCUUUUUCAUCUUCUUGUAACUCAUGAGGAGGGUUGAGACUUUUGUAGUGGGACGUUCCUUGUUCAUCAGAACUAGAGUGUUAAUAGAAUUGUCCAUAGAAUGUAGCAACUUGUUUACUACUUCAUGAUCAGUACCAAGUCCUUGAAGCUCACCUAAGAGGACACAUAGAUGAUCAUAAGUAUCGUGGACCCAUUCAUUUCCGGUUCUAUUGAAAAGAUUGAGGCAGUUUUGGAGAGUCUCAAUGUGAUAGUCUUUCCGUGUGGAUACACCCUUGUUCACUUUCUCAAGUUUAUCCCAGAUUCUGUUUGAAUUUUCCAACCUUUGGUGUCAAAGGAAUUGCGGCUUUAAGAGAUGAUUACUGACACGUCUAUGUUGCAUCAUGAUUUCUUAUUAGUAUUUAUAUGAUUCUUGGUCAUUAUCCCACUUUAUGGUACAAUUCUUAUGUCUUUUCUCUCUGAAUUUGCAAGGUACACCACAAAGAGGGAAAUUGCCGAAAACUGGAAUUUUGGACCUGAAAACCAAGAAAAAGGCUGAAAAUUCACUCGACUCCGAAUGACCGGAAACUUCACGAGGAAUGUUUGUGGAAUAUAUAUGAAUUUAUGGAGCAAAAAUAUACCAAAGGGGGGCCACCUGUUGGUGCCAAGCCAAUAGGACGCGCCGUGAUGGCUUGGGGCCAUCUCCGAGGCACUUCAGCCUCCCUCUUCUGCUAUAAGUUGGGUUUUGACCUAGAAAAAAAUAGGAAGAUACGUUCGUGAGGAAGCACCGCCGUCCCGAGGUGGAAACCUGGGCAGAGGCCCUUUUGCUCUUCGGUAGAGCGAUUCUCUCGGGGAAACUUCCCUUCGGGAGGGGGAAAUCGAAGCCAUCAUCAUCACCAACGCUUCCUCCUUCGUGGGAGGAUCAAUAUUAAUCAACAUCUUCACCAGAACCAUCGCAUCUCAAACCCUAGUUCAUCUCUUGUAUUCAAUCUUUGUCUCAAAACCUCAGAUUGGUACGUGUGGGUUACUAGUAGUGUUGAUUAUGUCUUGUAGUUGAUGCUAGUUGGUUUACUUGGUGGAAGGUAAUAUGUUCAGAUCCUUAUUCAUAAUUAUUACGCUUAUGAUCUUGAACAUGGUGAUGAUUUUUGAGUAGUUACUUUUGUUCUUGAGGACAUGGGAAAAGUCUUGUUACAAGUAAUCAUGUGAAGUUGGUAUUCGUUCGAUAUUUUGAUGAUAUGUAUGUUGUUGCUUCCUUUAGUGGUGUCAUGUGAACUUCGACUACAUGCCACUUCACCAUACUUGGGACUAAGGCAACACAUUAUGGAGUAAUAAGUAGAUGAUUGGUUGCUAGAGUGACAUAAGCUUAAACCCUAGUUUAUGCGUUAAUUCAUAAGGGGCUGAUUUGGCUCCACAGGUUUCAUGCUAUGGUUAGAUUUCUCUUAAUUCUUCUUUUGUAGUUGCGGAUGCUUGCGAGAGGAGGGAAUCAUAAGUGGGUUGCUUGUUCAAGUAAGAACAACACCUUAGCACCAGUCCACCCACAUAUCAAAUUAUCAAAGUGACGAACGCGAAUCAACUGAACAUGAUGAACAUAACUCGACAGAAAGUCCCAUGUGUCAUCAGGAGCACUUUGCUUCAUAUAAGAGAACCUUCAGGCUUGUCCUUUGCUGCAAAAAGGAUUGGGCUAUCUUGAUGCACACUUGCUACUUGUCACUUGUUCCGAAUUAUCUUUCUACAAAACUAUCUACCACUGUUACUCACAACACUUGCAAAGAAUGCCUUGCUGGAAAGUGCUUAUUAUUUCGUUAUCCUCCGCGUUCGGUUCAACACUCUUACUUAUCGAAAGAUACUCUCCGAUGCUCUCUUGAGAACUUGUUCUCAUCGCUUUUGCGAUUUUCCCUUCCUCCUUCAACCCCUAUGGAUGACUACUGCAAAUGUCGUUCACAUUUUCUUUAUAGCUACUCUUGUUAUUACAAGGUACAUCAAAUUAUCUUACCGUGGAUUCGGUUGUCCUCAGUUGUCAUGGGUUUCAUAAGUUCUUCAAAUUACUAUUCGAUCUUCUGAAAUCCUCAAUAGCCUAUUGUUCAUGACCCUUCUCACCUGCUUGUGUUAUGGUUAAAUCCAUAUGCCUAGUAACGUCCAUUAAAAUCCUUUGCAAUUGUCCUUUGAGCUUGUUGAUUCUACCUAUGUGUGAUUGCACACAAUCAUUAGUUGAUCCUUAUAAAUUAUCUUUCUAGCUCAAAUGUUUUUCCAAACAUGAGCUAGUUCUCACCAAAUCAACCUUGAUUUAUUGUCCAUCUAAGUCCAUUCACCUUACUUGUAUUUGAUCGGAGCAUCUGAAUAGGAUACACCAACCUGGGAAUCAUAAAUUCCUUUGGUAUUUAAGUAUCGAUAUUUUUCGGAUGUUCUAUAAUCCGAUGACUUGCAUUCUAUCCCCCUCUGUUUGAGUACCGAUACUCACAUGAGGUCCUUUAUGGACCGUCAGACCCAUUGUUGGGUUAUUAUCCGACGACAUCCGUCACAUUCAAAAAAUUCUUGUGAUAUUCCUCCCCUGAUACAUGAUGCCAUUGGUAAAUUGUGUCUUCUCCCUCUGAUAAGUUGUAUCCUAUGAUUUUGUCAGCCAUGCUCUUCAAGCAUGUGUUAAUUACUCUUGAAGUUUGUGGUAUAUAUUCCUAAGAUGCCUCGAUGGGUUGAACCUAUGCCUUCCUAAAUCAAUGUGAUCCCAAGGGUUUUCACGAUUCUUACUCUUCUGAUGUUUUGCCAGAUAAUCUUUCCAAGUUACAACUUCAUCAAAGGCGAGGAGUAAAUGGCAGGUGAUGCAUUUAUGAAGUGGGAGUCGACCUUGAACUUUGUGUUCAUGCCCAUGGAAACGACGUUAAUCCUAUCAUAGUAGCUUCUCUUAUCAAUAAUCAUCCAAUCUAUGUUUUAAUCUCGUACCUAUGAUUUGGUACUUUGCAACCGUGGUUCCGACCAUGUAGUUCUACUUUGGUUUCAUUCUUAGACAAGUUAAAGUGCUUGUCUUCUUCAGAUCAAUACAUCGGUCCAAGCUCUAAUGUUGAUCUACCUCCGAGUAUUAUCCCUCGUAUCCCGAGAAUAUCGCAGAGCUACAUAACUUCUUCUGAGCUCCUCAUCAACUAUGAUAUUUCGUUGAUUCCAGUUUCCUCGUGUUCUGAGUUGUUGGACACUCAAGGACAUCGAUAACUAAAUCGAGUAUGCAUUACGAUUCCACAACGCAUAGUAAUCUUCUUUGCUUAUGAGUUUGUACUCGAUCAUGGCAUUCCAAGCUGUAGGCUAGAUCAUCAUCGUCAUGCUAGAGCUUGACCAUGAUAUAUCUGCGUUUAUCCUCAGAACACAUUUCCAACGGUGCAUUAAGCUUACGUAGAGAUUUCAACAUCAUGUUGGUUGUCUUGAAAGGCCAUUUCGAUUCUGAGCUAGCAAUCUUACCUGUGUUUCUGACAACCUUUCGCUUCACCAUUCUUUUGCUAGACGUUGUCGCUGAAUGAUUACAUCUUCAUGUAACUUAUCAACAAAUGUGUCGUGAUCAUCAUCAGCAUUCUGAGCUCUUCGAGGAUGUCAAUCGAAUUCUUGAUGAGGAAUACCAUCCUUGCCCCUCGAUGAUUUAUGUUAUCAUCGACAACCCUAUUGCCUUCCCUCCAAUCUAAACUUGUUCGUGUUUCGUGUUGCCCCUGUAAUUCCUUGCUAUCCAUCUUAUGUUAUCUUCUACCUGGGAGUAUUACCAUCUUUUAUGUCGAGAAUGUUGUGAGAAUUGUUGCACCUCUUAAGAAUUCUUGAUAUAGUGGUACUUCUCGCCAUCACCAUUCAUUUCUUGGUCCCCGUGUUGUCUCUAAUCGGAAUACCGACAAGUGAACUCUGAUGUGUGGUUCCAAUACUUCUAGCAAUCCUAUCACUUUGAAGUUAAUGACUGAUAGUUCCAUUCUGGGUGUGUUGGUUGUUGACUCACCAUUGCAGCAUUAGUCCUGCUACUCAGACCGUAUCUACGAGUGCACGGUUCAAUCAAUGUUUAAUUGUUGAUGUUUCCUCGAGCAUACGUCAUUAUAUCAUUUGAUUUGACAAAUGCUAUCUCCUUGAUCUUAUAAUUCUGGAAAUUCAUCCCUAUCGAAAUCUUGAGGGAUUGUUGCUGAGCCCAUCGGCCACACCCUCAACUUAUUCAUGGUUCACGACGAAGCUUUUGAAGGCAUUAUCCUUGUGCCUGGCUCAUGAAGAAUGUGUUUGAUAGAAGAUGUGUUUUCCCAAGGUUCACGUGCAUUCUUGUUGCUGUGAAUAUGAGAAAGUUUUGUUUUGGUUCCUCAAGGAUCAUCCCAAAUCAUUCACGCAUGUGCGAAGUGUUAUAUGUUUUGAAGAAUUUCUAUCUUCACUUCAUAUAACUUCUCUUAGCACUCCAAGCCACUGACUGAUUUGAUCGAGGAAAAUAAGUUCCUUCAUAAGAGCUAAUCCAGACUUACACAAGGAUUUUUAUAUCCUCGAUGAUGGUUCCGAAAUCAGAACUCGGAUGCAUUUCGUUGUAAGAAUUCCAUGUGGGCACGAAUGUCUUGACAUUGUGUUCGUGAGUCUUACAACCCGACUUACGGUUCAAGAAUUGCUCCUGUAGUUCAUAUACUGAGAAUCUUGCAUCAUCAUCUUUUCUUCUCACACAUCUUGAGUCUGAGGUGCCCUGACACCAAUCAGAUCUGAAUCUUGGGCAGAUAUGAUGGUUGGAACUUUUCCCAAUAAUCAUAACUUUGGUCUUUAUGUAAACCGGUACGGUGCUGUCUUGUCUAGCACACCGGGCCGAAGGACCUAUUGUUAUAAUAACUUGUUCAACAAGAUUCUCCAUUAUUUUGUGAGAAAAUUGUAAGACUUGUGUUAUAAGUUGUUCCUCAUGUAUCCCUUGUGUAGCCAAAGUCCGACCUUUAUUUGACGACCAUGUCGAUGCUACCUCAAAGCACGGAUGCGGUACUUCGAAUUUCAACAUGAACAUUGGAAGCGCAAUGCUAAAUUGUUCUUGAUCAAUUAUCUAAACCGUAUGGUAUGGAUAAACAUCAUGAUUCUCCUUGCUCCUUUAUCAAAAUGGUUAUGUACUUGAUGACCUAUCAUGUAUACCAUACUCUAUUUUCCUCGGGAAUGGUAUACUCUAAUACUUGUGUGUGUGAACACAUUUUCCUUUCUAUUGGUUUGUUUAAACCUUCUUAUAAGCUAAUUUAUCUGAGCAUCGACAAUUCCUUGCUUAGGUAAAAACCUUGGUGAACAACUCUGUCAGUAAGACCCUGUUACUAUUGUGGAUAACAUUACGGUAGCCAUUGGUGGACGAGAACCUUGCCUAUUGGUUCGCCUCGUUUCAGCGGGCAGGAACAUGGUUCUAUUCGUCCCCUACCCUUGGUACCGAUCUUGUUGCCAACAUAACAGACAUGUUAUCCUCCAACAUGUCUUGCUAUCAAUACCGUAUAGAAUGUCACCGCUUUGCCUACUCUUAACCCACAUGGUGGACCCAUAACCCAAAUUCCACAGGAUAUAAACCUGACUCUCCUGUACAUCUUUGACUUCAGAGUAUCCUUUGAACUUGGCUUCGUAUGAAAUUCCCGAGCCACCGUCCAAUGGGACGAUCUAUUCAGUAUCAUAAGCAAUAUUUAUAUUCGUUGCUCUAAACCCCCUCCCAUCUCUAUUUAGGCAUUAAACGAUUGCCUAGCCGUUUGAAACCUUGGUACCCUCGCAUGUUACUCUCAACGAAUUUCGCGACUUACAACUUGAGUAAUAGUUGAUGUCCUUUUCCUUGAGUUCGUCGGCACAUGCCCAACUUUGUGUAGCUACGUUCUUCCAAAGUUUUCCCUAUUAUCGCAUUCGUAGGAUGAUGAAGACCCCGAAGGAAGGAUGACAAAUUCAUCAGGAUGACCUAAGUAAGAUAAUUAAAGACUUCAACGAAACGCAUAAAAUUCUUUGGAAAGGACAAAAAAGACCGAGAAGACCCGUUAGAAAUUCGUAACCAAACGUUUCCCCCUUACCUCUACCUCUUAAUUCUCGAGACGAGAAUUUCUUUUACUGGUGGAGAGUUGUGACAUCCCCGGGCUAUGCUACACUAACCCCUGUAAUCAAGCUACAGUAAUCACACGCUAAUGGUGCCAUGUCAUCAAGAUUAACUAAGCCAAAUUGCCCCUUGAUAAAAAAACCAAAACUAAAUUCAAAUUUAAAAUAAAGUAAAAUAAAUUAUUUCUUCCAACUAUAAAAUAAAAAUCAUGAAUAGGUUGUAAAUAAUCCCUUGGUAAAUAUAAAUUGUAACCAACUUUUUGUAAGUAAUUAAAGGCUUUGAAACCAUUAAAACAGAGGCCAAACAAUAAUUUGAAUGCCCUAUUUAAAUCCUAUAAAUUUCCAAACCACUUUAAAUAAAUGUCAAACUUUUUGUGACAGUUUCUAAAAAUGUAAUAUAGAUAAUGGACCGAGUGCCAUUUUUUUACAAAAGAUUGUUGUUACAAGAAUAAUUAGAACUGAAACAGAUAAAAGAAAAAGCAAAAUGAAAAGAAAAAGAAAUAAUAAAACCCCCUUCCCCCCGGGCCACGGCCCAUGUGCCCCAUCCAGCGAGCCGAGCCUGGCCUCCCCGCCGUCGGCCCAACCAGUGGUAUAACCCCCCCCCCNNNNNNNNNNNNNNNNNNNNNNNNNNNNNNNNNNNNNNNNNNNNNNNNNNNNNNNNNNNNNNNNNNNNNNNNNNNNNNNNNNNNNNNNNNNNNNNNNNNNNNNNNNNNNNNNNNNNNNNNNNNNNNNNNNNNNNNNNNNNNNNNNNNNNNNNNNNNNNNNNNNNNNNNNNNNNNNNNNNNNNNNNNNNNNNNNNNNNNNNNNNNNNNNNNNNNNNNNNNNNNNNNNNNNNNNNNNNNNNNNNNNNNNNNNNNNNNNNNNNNNNNNNNNNNNNNNNNNNNNNNNNNNNNNNNNNNNNNNNNNNNNNNNNNNNNNNNNNNNNNNNNNNNNNNNNNNNNNNNNNNNNNNNNNNNNNNNNNNNNNNNNNNNNNNNNNNNNNNNNNNNNNNNNNNNNNNNNNNNNNNNNNNNNNNNNNNNNNNNNNNNNNNNNNNNNNNNNNNNNNNNNNNNNNNNNNNNNCACGCGCGCGCGUGCCUGCGUGAGCCACGCCUUGGCCGCGCGCCUGCUGAUGCUACUCCACGGCCAACCUCGCUGCAUGCUCCUGCGCCUCACAUGUCGCCGGCGCCAACCCCGCUGGCCUCUCCCCAUUGGUCACAACCGCGUCGCCCCCAACCCCAAUUUGGUCAGGCGAAUUAACCCCCCCUUUGUUAGCAAUUUCCCACUAGAUGACAUGUGGGGCCUCCCCCUAAAACGUGUCUAAAAAAGGAAAAUAAAUAAAUUAAAUGUGUAAAUAAAAAUAUAACAAAUUAAUAAAUUUAUUUAACCAAGUUAAUUAAUUAGGUAAUUAAUUAAUAAGCUAAUUAAGUAGCCUAAUUAACCUCUAAUUAACCUAUCAAAUUAAUUAGAGCAAUUAAUUGGAUUAAUUAAACCUAAUCUAAUUAAUUAAUUCUGUUAAUUUAAUAGAGGGUAGGACAUGUGGAUCCCAUACACCUAAUCAAACCUGUUUAUUAAUUAGUUAAGCCUAGAUUUGAAGUGUGACUAUGACAGGUGGAGCCCAUUGGUCAAAUUGACCACUCAACCCCACUAUUGAUUACUGAUGACAGCAUGCCAUCAUGCUGUUGUCACAUUUAAAAUAUUAAAACAAAGUUAAAUCUGUUUAUUUAUAAAAUAAUUAUUAAAACAUUAAAAAUUAAUAUAAUAAUUCGGAUGAAAAUAAUUUAUACAUGAAAGUUGAUCACAAAAACGAGACGAACCCGGAUACGCUAUCCGUUCGUCUAUCACGUGUACCUAGCAUAGCGAACAUGGAACUUUUCCAUCCAUUUCGCCUGAUAAGUAAUAGACAGAGACCCGGAAAAUAUCGUCGGAUAUUAUUCCGAUCCGUCGAUGACGUAUAGUACCACGUUAGCUCAUGCCUAGCUCUGCCUUUAGCCAUGCCAUUCUUUGUGAUGCAUUUGAUUGCUCUGUUAUUUAUCGUGUUUCCCCUACGUUACUUCCUUUCUGGUAGACCCCGAGACCGAUGAUGAUCCGGUGAUUGACUACUUCCCGGUCGAGGAUCCGUUUUGUCUGCAGAGUACCCAGGCAAGCAAACCCUCUUGAUCAUUCCUAUAUCGCAUAUUUCUUUCUCCCUCGUGCUUGCAUUAGAAUUUUGCUACUGUUGUAGUUAGCUCCUAUAGCUGAUGCAUAGCCUGUUUUUUAUGAAGUGCUACUUUCCAAUACCGCACUUUAAACUGCUUAGUAUAGGUGGCACAAUCAUCCCCUUUGACCCCUUAGACCAGUUGCCCUCGCUUUAUCGUCAAGUCUCGAUCAACUAAUCGACGAGCCAAGACCCGACACAACACUUACACCCUCCCUUAGUUGUACGACGCUGUAAGGCUACUAUCGAGUACCGAGGAUGACACCUCGAUACGUACUCCUGAUGUUAGCUCUGUAGUGUAAUUAACCGGCGGUGGUUCUGAGAGGGUGAUUCCUCGUUCACCACCUCUGAUAACGACUCUGUCGUACAACCCAUCAACCUGGCCCAGCCUGGGUGAUUCCUUCCUGCCCACCUUGACAGUUACAUCAUUCGGAAUCCGUAGAGGGUGAUACCUCCGAUCCCUCUAAUGUUACAACCACACAGUUACUUGACCGUGCUACUGGGAACAUUGAUGAAUGAUGUUUGGCGGGUGGAUACCCGCGUGGAUGUGUCGAUGAAUAAUUAAAAUGCUAAGGAUUUGGGUAUUUGAUCUGGGUUGGUUGGAGACCUUUUUGCACUAACCGUCUACAUGUGAGGAGUUAUGGGUUCUCGACAUCGUGGUAUCAGCCGAAGCUCUUCAGACCUCAGCAAUGGAGCGGCGCGCGCCCGAGUGGCAUGGAUAAUCAUCGUUCGUGUAUAAGAAGUGACAAGAUUGACAUCGCCCGCCCUUGCAUUGUGCAGGAGCGCAAAGGGUGAUGGGCCCAUGACCCCUGCGCGCUUAGGAUUUAGACCAGCAGGCUGGCCUCUCUGUUGAGCUUAGGUGGGGUUGCGACGUGUUGAUGUGCCGAGGCCAGGCAUGACCCAGGAAAGUGUGUCCGACCAGAGUUUAUCAAUUGUGGCGGGAAACUUGGUGCACCCCUGCAGGGAAGAAAAUUAACUAUUCGAAUAGCCGUGUCCAUAGUUACAGGACGAUUUGGAGUUGCACCCUGAUCUUAUACAACUACAACUGUUACUUAACUGGAAUGUUUGCUAAAGGAUUGCUUCCUCACAGGGAGUCGAGGGAGGAUCUCCGGGCGUGACUAUAAUUAAUAUUACUGCAACAGUAUGACUAUAUAUCUGUGUUACUUGCUCUACUCUCGUCUAUUGCUGCAAGACCCCUGAAGAUGCUAGUCUUUGAUAGGACUAGUCCCUCUCUCUCUAUUCUCGUAUUGCUGCAGUGAGUCCACAUAUGACCCCUUCCUUUGAUACCGAUGCAUAACUUAGCAUAGUUCUAAUGUCAGUCUUGCGAGUACUUUGAAUGAGUACUCACCGUUUCUUUGCUCCCCCUUUUCCCCUUGGUACGUUACUCCGACCAGAUGAUGGAGCCCAGGAGAUGGCAUAUCCCGCCGACAACGACUGCUCCCCCGACGGUGUCUGCUACUACGGGGAGGCCGCUGAUGACCAGGAGUAGCUUAGGAGGUUCCCAGGCAGGAGGCCACGCCUCGUUCGAUCGUUAUCUCUUUUGUGCUAGCCUUCUCUAAGGCAUCGUCAUAUUUCAUGUGUGGACUCAGAUAUUUGUUGCUUACGCUAACUCGUGUGUUUAUCGAGCUUCUGUAUUCUAGCCCUCGAGGCCCCUGGCUUGUAAUAUGAAGCUUGUAUGUUUUUAUUUGUGUCUAGAGUUGUGUUGUGAUAUCUUCCCGUGAGUCCUUGAGCUUGGUCAUACGCAUUUGCGUGUAUGAUUAGCGUACGAUCAAAUCAAGGGUGUCACAGGUGGAGAGGGUUGGGCUUCAGUGGGAUGAGACCUCUUUUGUUUCUUGGCUUCGACUUCAUCUUGCUUGGUUAUCUUGCUUGAUGUAGCAGUUGAAGGUUGUGGGUUCCGAGGGCCUGAGAAACCAGUGGGAAACUAAAUGCCUCUUGAUGCAGGUUGAGGAGAAAUUUGUUGAUCCAAAGACUUUGAAGCUUUCUUGGAGUGUUCAAUAAUUUUUGGAUCAAGGGUAGGCUGGCCAAGUGCUUUCCUCUUUAGCAUUGCAUUGUGUGAUUGGACCAUCUGUUCAAUCUUUUUCUCGAGACACAUUAAGGCGCCUUUGACAGCAUCACAUCUCUUUUCAAACUCAUCCUUGAGAUCUUUCAUCAUGAUUUGAUAGACAUGUAUCUGAUUGGCGUAAAACUUGUAGAUGUUUUCCUUGAGAAGUGUCUUUUCAUGGUGAAUCUUUUCACGCUGUUGUACUGCCUUUUGAGCAACAGUUAACUCUUCAUUUACUAGCCCUUGGAAGGUGACACUCAUGCCAAUUGGGAGCUCGAGAGAGUCGACAGUGAGAGUGAGAUCAGCAAACCACUCAUCUAUGAACUCGCAUAUGAUGUUUGCAUCAAAGAGAGGUAAGUCUUCGAGACACUUGGCCUCUUCCUAUUUCUGUUGGAUAAGCUUCGCCAGAGAUUCAUCGUCGAACUCAUCAUCAGAGAGCUUAAUCAUGUUGGCGGCAUCCACCAACGAAAGGGAUGCCUUUGGCCACGAGCAGCAGUCGCUUUUCUCUUCAUACGCUUAUGCAUGCGAGAUUCAUCCUCAGCUUCUUCUCAAUCAGAUGACCAUGAAGCCUGAGAUGCUGCCGCAGAUUUGGAAGCCUUUGAAACCUUAGGCUUUGAAGCCUUUGAGGGCCUUGAAGCCUUUGACAUAUGCUUAGGCUUUGGGUUUGUGGCGGGGGAAGAUUUUCUUCAGCACCGUUAGCAACAUCUUUUUCAUUAUCAUCAUCACCAUCAUCCCGAGGGGUGAAGCCUAGCAUGCUUGUUGGAUCUGCAUUUUAUGGUAUGGGUGGCCGGAACAUGCACGGGAAAAUCCAUGACCAAUUGCUUCAGCCUUUGUCUUCAUAAUAAGAUUCUUGUAGACAAUGUCUGUCCAUGGGGCCUUCUCAGAGUGCUUCUUAGCAUAUGCAUCAGUCAAAAAACGAUAAUAGAACCACUCCACAGCCCAAUAUCUUCGAAUCCAUUAGGUUAGAUUCUUGUGUUGAGUGUAUGAUUCUUCUGGAUUAGAUUUGUAGCGUUCAUACAGAUCUGGAGGUAAAUCCUUUGCUGUGUUCAGACGUCUUCGUUUACCCCCCCUUCUUUGGAGUGCCAUCUCUUGCCAUUGUCUUCGACAAAAGCUUCACAGGAGAGAGAAAACAGGAGUAGGCUUCAGAAGAGUCCAGGUGAAUCUACAAGUAGUCUGCAAAUGAAUUCAGACUAUGAGAUCCUAGCGAUUCUGCUUCACACAUGUACCUGUGAGAGAAUUGGAGACGCGAGGGAAUAGAGGAGGUCAUAUGCAUUCCCAAAAGUUUUUUUGAAGAUAAAUCAUGGUUUGAAGACAUUAACCUCGUUCACCGAAGACAUUCACUUUUGUAAAGGUUAUGGUGGUUUUAGAUUUGUACAAGUCCGAGUAUUCAUACAAGUGAGAAAUCAAACCAAUAUAUGGACCAACAAAAAGUGAAGGCAUUGGGAGUUCAAGAUUUGAGUGUUGUUGUUAGAAAAAAACAGCUUUCAAAGAUUUUUGGUAACUUUUCAAAUCGAGAAGCAGUAAAUAAUAGAGCUUUAAUUACCGCGGUGAAGAACUCGAAGAAUAGUUUGACGAGGCGAGGAGGCCGAACUGCUCGAUCUGCCACACCCUAACUCGGUGGUGACAAACAGCUACGACGGCGGCGAGGGGAGAUGUAUGUGGCCGACAUGAGUACGUCGUCGGAGAGGUUGCGACAGCCAAGCGCGUCGUCUCCAGCGGCAAUGAAAUCUUGUGGCAGCGCUAGGGUUGGGGAGCUCAAGAGGUGGCGAUGGGAAGGAAGGUAAUAAAUACAACAUGCCUCAUGUAUUUAUAAUGAGAGGGACAUCUGAAUUUUGUGGACUGGACUGCCCCUGACGCUUCGGGAGUAGUGGGACAUGUGACAUGUAGCGAACUCCCCUACAUUCUAUCUGUUGCGCCAGAUGCGGGAAUUUGUUUUGAUAAGUGCGGUAAAAUGGUUUUUGAAGGUUUUAAAUGUUCGGUUGAGUUUGUCUUCGACUUACAAGGACGCAAUGAAGACAAUCAACACGUGUCAAGUAGAAUGCACGUGACUGGAAUUGAACAGUGUUAGAUGAGAUAAGAAUAGAUGGGGUAUCGGGUCCGAUCACAUUUUGCCUAGAUAAAGUUUGAAGAUAUAGCAAUAGACAAAAUGAUGUAGAGGACAAAAUUUCCUAAAGUCAAAUAGGACAUGUCUCAUUUGCAAAUGUUCAAGUUCGAAGUCAUGUGACAAAGUUGAAGAUAAACUCAAAUAUCUGAAGACAUUGAUAAACAUGCAUGAUAAAGGGAAAUGUCUUUAGAUGGGGUUGGUGGCGUUGCCCACCAUAUAAGAAUAUUAGACCCAUACACGGCGCACAAUUAUCGUGGCACUCUGAAGUCAUAUGCUUCGUUAAUGUAUUCACACUUAGAGUGUAAGUCUUCAUGAGUUGAAGACAUACAUUACUUUGUGUGUUGUGCAUCAAAUUCAUCAAUAUGCAUAAGCGUUAGGAUGUAUGCCCAUUCAAAGGACAUUUGAGGAUUCUAAGAUAUUUAGUUCACACCGCAACUUGCAAAAUCUGUUUUCAUCCAAAGGCUUCGUGAAGAUAUGAGCCAAUUGAUCUUCAGCGUUUGCAUGCUUGAUGUUGAUGUCGCCCUUCAUCACGUGAUCUCAAAGAAAAUGAUGUUUUAUCUGAAUACGCUUCGUCUUUGUGUGCUGUACUGGGAUGUAGGAGAUCUUGAUUGCACUCUCGUUGUCACGGUAGAGUGGAACAGGCUUCACGUUGAUGUCGUAGUCCUUCAAUGUUUGCGUAAUCCAUAGAAGCUAUUUGCAGCAUGCACCAACAUCAAUGUAUCCGACUUCAACAAUGGAAAGUGACACACACACUUCAUCUUCUUUGAAGACCAACAUACGAGUGAUCAUCCUAGAAACUGAGAGGUGCCUGAUGUAGACUUGCGAUCAACUCUCUCGCUAGCAAAGUUAGAGUCUGAGUAGCCGAUGAGGUCCAAGUUUGAGCUAGUUGGAUACCAUAAUCCUAGAGUUGGGGUGUGAACCAGAUAUCUAAGUAUUCACUUCACAGCUAAGUGAUGCGAUUCCUUUGGUGCCGCUUGAAAUCGGGCGCACAUUCAAACGCUAAGAAUUAUAUUUGACCUAGAUGCACAUAGCUAAAAUAAAGAGCAAAUCAUGGAGCGAUAUACCUUCUGAUCGAAAUCUUUACCAUUUUUGUCAGUGCAUAGGUGACUGUUUGUUGGCAUUGCGUCUUGUAACCUUUGGCUUCGUUCAUGCCAAAUUUCUUGAGACAAUCCUUAAGGUACUUCUCCUGAGAGAUGAAUAUGCCAUUGGGUUGUUGUCGAAUCUAAAGAACUUUAGUUCUCCCAUCAUAGACAUCUGAUAUUGUUCUUGCAUCAUGAAGCCAAACUCAUCACUAUAUCGAUUGUUAGUACAGCCAAAGAUGAUGUCAUCCACAUAGAUUUGACAUACAAACAGUUCAUCAUCAUAAGAUUUUGUAAAUAGAGUGGGAUCGAGUGAACCAGGUUUGAAGCCUUUCUUCUUGAGGAAUUCCUUGAGAGUGUCAUACCAAGAUCUUGGUGCUUGCUUGAGGCCAUACAAUGCCUUGUUAAGCUGGUAGACUUUUUCAGGAUGCUUGGGAUCUUCAAACCCUGGUGGUUGAGCGACAUAUACUUCUUUCUCAAUCUUACCAUUGAGGAAUGCACUUUUGACAUCCAUUUGAUAUAAGCAUAUAUCGUGAUGGUUAACAUAAGCAAGCAAAAUACGUAUAGCUUCAAGCCUAGCAACACGUGGAAGUGUCUCAUCGAAAUCGAUACCCACAACCCGUGUGUAGCCUUGAGCCACAGGUCGACCUUUAUUUCUGAUGACUUGUCCUGAUUCAUCUUGCUUGUUGUGAAAUAUCCACUUUGUGCCAAUGAUGUUGUGCUUCCUCAGAUCAGGACGCUUGAUGAGUUCCUAGACAUUGUUGAGCUCGAACUGAUGAAGCUCUUCUUGAAGGCUUCAUCUAGCUUGGUGGGUUCGGAGAUAGACACAAAAACAAAUUGCCCACGAAAGUUAGCAAGUUGGUGAGCUCUUGAGCGAGUGAGUGGACCUGGUGUGUUUAUGCUGGCAAGCAUCUUUUCAAUUUGAACUUCAUUCUCCGCACGUGGAUGAGCAUGUCGAAGACUUUGAUUUGGCUGCUGAGCAUUGUCUUGUCAGCAACAUUGUCUUCGACAUUAGUAUUAUCUUCGCGAUGAGUAGGCAAUGUAACAAUGACUUCCUCUACUUCAGGUUCUUGAGGCACAAUUUCUCCAGUGCCCAUUGUCGGGGCGCAGAUGCUCAAGAUCACCUAUGGUACCAAGGGCCCCUCUUGGUUCGACAAGGGGGUCAUGUUGAAUGAAGAGCGGAGAACAUGAGAUGGCGCAACGGUCGGGGCACAUGCAUUUUACCCAGGUUCGGGCCGCUGCGUACAACCCUACUUUUGCUUUUUGGUGGAUUGAUGGUGGGAACAUGAAUAACACAAUGCACCUAGCCCCGGCAAGCUACCUGGGAAGAGUGAUCGCGUGAAUACAAGUGAUCGAAGGUUCGAAAUGCCAACCUUGAGCUAGGUUUCCUUGGGCCUCCUUUUAUAGCACAAGGGGUCAGCACAAUGGCAAAACAUACGUUAUCUGUUGAUUAGAUAGGCAACACUACAAACAUACUUAACUGUGGCACUUAGGACAAAAUGCCAUAAAUGCUAGCCUAGGUGGCGUGCAGGGAUGCAUUCCUGACAGGCUUCUACCACCGCUUUAGCAAACUACUGCUUCAUGUCCUGACACGCCUCUGGAUGGGUGUCAAGUGGGCGUGAUCCAUCUUCUAGCGAACCGCCACAUACUUAGCGAGAGCCACUUAGCCACUUGAGGGCUCGGCACUGCAUUGGCAAACGACUAGCAUUGCGAUGCGGUGGAGCAGCGGCCGAUCGGCUCGCGCCUGCUGGGGGAUGGCUUGCCAGGCCUUCUAGGAGGGUGCUCACUUUGGUCCUCGGCAGGUGCCGGGGAUGUGACUGGCACGACACAGUCUAGGCUUGGGGUGCUGCACUGAGCUUGCUGGAAUCUUAUCUUGGUAGCUGCUGGGCCAGCGUGGCCUUUUGUGGCUGUUGUUGCUGGGCGCUGGGUGGCUGCUUGUCCGUGCACAAAUCAGGGGAAAAGAAUACCCCUGUUUGUUUACUCCGACAGAAGCCCCCGGGCCUGAACCAGACGUUUCGCUAGGCACGUUGGGUUAGGCCCCAAACAAGCACGGACACGCGGCGAAGGGGUUCUACUUUUUCACCCACGUCCACUCUGUGGGUCAUGGGGUCGUGGACGAGGGCCGUCGGAAAAAAGGGAAGUCCAGUGAUAAACGACAGUUUUUUGAAAGAAUUGCAAAGAGCCAACCUCCGUGCAGGCCCCUUUAAAAAGGACAAAGCAGAGGGGGCGCUGAUCAUUCACACCCCUUCCUCCGCCCUUCAUCUUCCUCCUCAAGCCAGAGAACUGCUCCGCAUCCAUUCUUGGUUUUUUCGAGUGCCGCUAGCUCAUCCGCCGACGUCGAAAGGUUUGAGGAUGGGGCAGAAGAAGGCUGCAUCAAGGGGAAGUAGGCGGCAACAUCCGUGGAUCCGGCGGCCGUGGAAAGGAAGAAGAGAGCAGAAGAGUUCGAGAGGCGGCGGCGGGGAGAUAUGGUUUUCUCUCCGUCGAGCCUGGACGACAACACCCUGAUCCACAAGUAUUGUUGGGGAUAUAACCCCGUGAUAUAAGCCGCCCUGGAGGGGCCGGGUUAGGAGGUUGAUGAUUUAACAAAUACAAACUUAAUGGGCCUGAAGACUAAGAUAAGCCUGGAGGUGGGUUACCAGGCAGGCCAAACAGCAGGCCCAGAGCCAGAAGAAAGUGUGCGACCCGAAGGCGUAAGCCGUCCAGAGAGGGUUUGCUGAUUAAGGCAAGGCGACUUAGAGCCAAGAUCGGUUACAAAGUGUAACCCGGAUUGGACUUUUGUAAGCCAAGUGCCUCGACCUGUGUAUAAAGGCGAGCCCCUGCGGUGACUUAGGGGGAGAGAAAAAGGGAUCGAGAGCAAGGUCAUGCGGAUCUGCUCCCUUGUAAUCAAUACCUAAUCAAUACAACACAAAGCUUGAUGUUGGCUUUUACCUCCUUCGUGAGGGGCCGAACCUGGGUAAACUUGUUUCUCGAUCCCGAUCAACCCCUUCGAGUCACCACAUAACCACGAUGGCCUCACACCUUAGUCCUUUUGCGAGGACAUCUGCUGUGACAAAACCAUGACAGUUGGCGCCCACCUUGGGGCAAUCGUGCAGUGGAGUUGAGUUCUCGAAGGGAGCCCUUCCAGGGUUCGGGAGCUAUGCAGUUGGGCAGAUGACCAAGAAUCACUGCGACAAGCUUUACAUUGAUGAUGCUAGCUGGGGCCGAGAGUCCGACUCAAUCGAGUACGGGUACGGGACCCCUUUGGCAGGAUCGGCGCAUCAUGGCCUGAGCCAGACAUCUUCAUCAACAUCAUUGAGACGGCUUAGCUCGCCCAACCCAGCCGACGUCAAGCUGGCCAAGAUCACGUCUUCGGCAAGAUCCGCGAGGAAACCCAAGUUAACCCUAACGGCGAGUCAACCAUGGGAGGCACCGAAUCAAGCUAUCCACUCGACGAUGGGUGGCUUGGGGGGUUCCUCGGUAGCAGAAUUCAUCGAGGAAUUAUGUGAACCACCCCGUCAGAUCACCAUCCACAUAGCAGGGACAACGACAACUCAUGACCUCGCGGCAGAAGUCGCCAAUGGCACUGGCGGGUCAGGCAAGACGCUAGCUCAGGCCAUGAUGGAUUUAAUGGAUGGGAUGGCAAAAUUCAUGGCAACGCCGGUAAUUACAGAGAACCAGGGGGAGCACAAUGUGGAACUGAUGAAACUUCGCGAAGAGAUGGCCAAAAUCCAGCAAGAGAUUGACAUCGAGACCACUCAGAUGGUGGAAUUACAAGCUCAUAUUCAUAAUGAGUCGGCGCAUGAAGGCCGAGGCUUGGCAGUUAGGGCUUCAUAGAAAUGCCCCUGAGGUGAUGCACCAGAAGAGACAUCCGAGCCGGUGGCCAUUAAACCUUGAGACGAAUCAUUUGUUUACCAAUCCACCCACGCUGGGUUGAUAGAUGGAGUCCGAUGGGAACUUAGGAAAACAAGGCAGCAAUGGAAAGUGUAAACAGGCUGAUGGCGGGUGAGAAAUUGUUGCUAACACCAAUGCCGAUUUCGAAAAUCAGUGCUAAAACAACGGAAAACCUAAACAAGCCAAUCGACGCAAUAGGAAAAAGCCGCGCAACUAUGAGGAAACACUCAAGGGGCCUUGUCCCAAGCAUGGUACCCAGGAUAACCCGACCAAUCAUUCAUGGGAGAAUUGCGAUAUCAUGCAGAGGUUCCGUGAACAAGUCGCCCAAGAGUGCAAGCCGCCAUAAUGCGCUGUUCAAAGCAUGGGUGACCUACCUUAUGGGUGAAAAAAUUUAAAAGUCUCCCAGGAGGACGAGUCGCCAUGAUACACGGUGCAGACAUAGGCACCCUAUUAUGAUAAGUGGAAUCAAGCCGGCUUUCCUAUGCUGAGCUUGCCCAUGCUCAUAGGUCACUUGGGGACUUCCAACUCACUGAGUUUAGCUUUCAUACCCUCUUGACCAGCUUGACGUCAUUUUGAGUUAAACAUGCCUGAUUGCAACUUGCUACACCGCCAGGUGACCUGCCGUACGCUUGACAGACACUCUUUUUAAAAAGACCCUGAACGUGUCAAAGUUAAAACGGUGGUUUAUGUCACGAGAGAGCCGACUUGCAAUGAGCUAGGAUAAACUCACCCGUUUGUUGUAACUCCUCCGCUAUGUGGCCCAUUCGUACUCUUAACAGUCUCUCUUUUUAAAAAGACCCUGAACUAAUUAAGGUUAAAACGACGGAUUUAUGUCACGUGAGAGCUAGCUUACGGGCUUUUAGGUUAUUAUGCCUAGCUUUUUGACACCAAAAACCUUGAGUUUUAUCAAAUUAGAGUUGUGCCUCCAAAGCCGCCUUAUUAUGAGUUGUCAUACCUGCUUUAUCAGCCGGUCUUGAAACCGGGUUAAAAGUACAAACUUUUGCAGGAUCAAAUAGAUCUUCAUCAUGGUUUAUUAUAACGAGUAUUAAAUGAUUGGGAUUUUUUAAGUCAGCUCAGAAGAUUUGAAUAUUCUUGAAGAGCCGCCCUAUCAUAUGUAAAUGUCGAGUCAUCUAAUUGACUGGCUCUUGGAUUGUUCCAACUUGUGCUCUGUAGUAAACUGCAACACUUAUGGAUUUCUCAAAAACAUAUUUGUUGGGUUGCAAUGCAACCACGAGCAGGGAUUUCAUUUAAAAAACAGGCAUUAUUCCAGAAUACUCAUACCAGGUUAUAUUACAACCACGGUCAAGGAUUCAUUCAAAUCAGAUUAAUAUGACAGAACCUCUGAAGUGCAUUAUGAUGAGUUAUAUAGUCCCAAGUCGUUGCAGGCAAACUACCCGACACUUGGGGGCUACACAUUGCUGCCCAAAUUUACAUAAUCAGAACUACAAAGUCCCUGCUUAUUAUUUGCAUAAAGAGUCGGCUUUUGAGAACUACACAUUGAGACACCAGGUUGUUGCCAGAACAAAAGCUCGACACUUGCCAAGUCUCACUGAGCCGACUUAUUAUGGGUUAUCACACCCGUUUUGUUCAAAGAUUGAGUAUUGAGGGGACACUAUUAUUUUACCACCAGUUCAUAAAGGAUAUCCGGGUUAUGAAACUACAAAGUCCUAUCAUGGCCUAUUCAAAUAUUCUACAAAUGGAGGGAAAACUUCAAGAAGCCGACUCACAUUUUUACCCGCCAAUGUUGAUUCAAGUCAUAAAAUGACACUGUGAGGAUACAUACAUUCCUAGUCGACUUAAGGAUAGGAUUAAAAGUUUAAGCGUGCACGAAGACACGACACAGGAAAGUAGUUGCUCACUUAGCUAGUACAAGGCUACAAUGAGCUUAAAAUCCUAGAUCAAGUUUUUCAAAAGGUUAUUUACAUAACUCGGUUGUUUUUCAAUAUCCGGGUUAAACCUAUCGACGCUUAAGACGCCUCCGGGUCAUCUUGUGUUGAGGGUGCUGGGUCUUGGAUCUGAAGUUUGUCCACAUCCCAGUUGCAAUUGGUUAAAGCGUGAAAUAUUGCUUCUUCAUGCAAGACAGGGGAUGGGUCAACAUCAGGGACAAAAAGAUGCUUACGGCGUUGAGGAGUUAGAUCCCGCAGUUCAAAAUUAGGCGGUUAAACUCGUGAGUUGAUGUCAUCAUAAGCCGCCUGAUAUACUUUUGAGUCUAAUUCUGAGGCCAAUUUGGUAGCGAGCACUCGACUCACUUUUAUACAAUGAGCAAGGUCAGUCCUCGUGAGUGAUGACCCAUCAUAUUUAAGUUCUGGGAACCCGCCGACCAUCUGGUUUGGGUCAAGAUCUAUUGAAUAAGCCAAUGCCCGGCUUAAAGACGCUAUGGCACCUGCUCGGGCGGCAGAUCUCUUCAAUUCAUCAAGUUGCUUGGGAAUUGUUGAGAGGCGGAUAAACACCUGCUUGGGAAUUAUUCAAAACUUUACCGGCUCUUUAUCCCCCAUUACAACCUUGAUAGUGUAGAGACUUCCAGCAUACAGUUGCUUAGUCAGAGUGUAUACAACUUUUAAUUUUAUCAAGCUGUCGUCCGGAAAAUUGCGUGUCCGAGGACCUGUAAGCAGUUUAAAUGCAUAAGUCGCGAGUCACCUGAGAAAAUCGUAAGAUCAUAAGCAAGUACUCACCAAAGAUGGCCUGAGUCAUCUGAGCAAUGUGCCAUUUUAAGCCAGACAACUCUUCAGUAACGGGUUUUAAUUGACCCUCGGCGUCUUCUCCCCGUUUAGUUAAGGAAGUUUUCUUAGAUUCCAAACCCACCUUGGCCUUCUCAAAUUCCUCCAACGAGAAUUGCAACUUCAACUCAGCUUCGGCCCGGGCGUCUUUCUACACCGCCAGAUUUUCCUUCAAACCGGUCAAAUUUGACUCGGCCAUUUUCAAAGCAUCCUGCACAAUCAUUCAUUAAAAUGGAUAUUAGUCAUCUAUAAGCAGGCGGCAAGGAGGAUCAUGACACUUGGGGGCUAUGUCAAGGAAAUAUUUUCUUCAAGUCCCAAGCAGAUUGCAAGCAAUAUACCUUGCACUUGGGGGCUAAUGUAUAUCAGUUUUUUCCUAAACGUAUAAAGAAGACCCGGCUGUUUCAAGAAGAUAAGCUGGCCCUUGUGUGCUACAAAGGGAUCUCCUCAACCGAUAUAUAUAAAAAGACCCGAGUCAUCUUCAACAAGGUAAGCCGACCCUUGGGGGUUAGAAAGGGAUAUACAUAGCAUAAACAAUCAAAGCUGAGCAUACCUCAUAUUUUUUGCGCAUCAUGCUGACGAGGCUGGCUUCCAUAUCCCGACUCAUGAAGAGGCGUUUAAGUAACCAACAUGCAAUUCUUCAGCACUGAUCCCCUCAUAAUUGGGAAGAUCAAGUUUAGUUUUCUCCUUCUCGGGCAAAGGCGUCUCACCCUUGGCAGUAUGUUUGGUCAGUGUUUGACAAGGCACCGGAAUGGUAUAACCCGUACCAGUAACAAUAACCUCUUCCUCAUGAGAUGGAACUUUUGUUAUUUUCCGAGGACUGGGCGGGUUAGCUUUAGCCAUGAUAGUUUCAGGACUCUGCGGCUCAAUACGUUGGGGCGGCUCAUCUUGGGCAUUCUGGUGAGCUUCAGAGCACUCAACAUGAAGUUUAGGGGUCACCAAGGAUGGAUUUUCUUGUUCACACGCAGCGGGAUGGACGUUUGACUCGCCAACUUUCCACUUCUUGGUCUUAGCCUUGGCCUUGUGAAUAAGACAACUUAGUGAAGUGGAUGCAAAAUUAAGGAUCAAUAAACAAAUAGUUAAUAUAAGGAAGAAAGUAUACCCUGGAUUGAUAAUAAGGGGUGACACCUUUGAGGCAGUUGAGUCGCCCGAGGAGGGUGGUGAAUCCUGAUAUUUAAAGUCAGAAGAAUUAAGAGGUUGUUGGAUAAGACUAGCUUCUGGGAAAGAAGGGGUUGGACUAUUAGGCACGUCGUUCGGUCGUUUUCGGGCGGCUGGCUUUUGAGGUAAGCCAGCCACAAGAUCACCAGAGCCGCUCCGAGUUUGGCGUCUUAAUUCAUAUUGGGCUUAUUUCAAAAUAAAAUUGGGGUCCAAAUGAGCAUCCAGGUGAGAACAACUUAUUUUCCUAAUGACCGCCUCAUUUUCCUUGGAAAUAAGGGUUUUGAGUCGGAAGAAACAGGAAGUACCUCAAUGCCUUCAGCCUUGCUUAUUUCAUCAUUAACCUGAGAAUAAGAGGUGUUAGCAUGUUUAAUAAAAGGUUGGCCAAGGUGUUAGGUUUUACCUCCACAUGAUCGCCAAUAGAUUGUGACUCGCCCUUAGACAAUGGCUCUUCUGCAGCCGCCCUACCCUUUUUUUUUCUGAAGAUUGGCUUUGGAUUUUUGAGUCGGAACUUUCCGAUUCUUCUUUUUCCAAAAUGUAGAACCAACCUACAAAAGUGUUGGUAAAGGUAGAAAGUUCUUAAAAAACUGAAAUUUGUUAUAAAGCCAAAAAGAAAUAUCAAGGAUUCUUACUCAAGGAGCCGGAUUAAGAAUGGAGAAGGGUCUCAGACCAACUUUAUUGCAAGUAUCUUGAUUUUCACCCAACAACUACUUCAUAAUCCGGUUCACAUCAUGAGUCUCCAAAGACAUGUUGCUAUAUCGCUGGGUGUUGUUUAAGUUGCCAUCAUAAGCGCACAUUAACGCAUGACGACAAGUCAAUGGCAAGAUCCUCCAAGAUACCCAACACCGGAUUAGGUCAACUCUGGUUAAUCCAUGAGCUGUCAAGGCCCUAAGCUUUGCCCACACAAGGGUGAGUUGAUCAUGUUCCUUCUGGGAAGUAGGACCAGGAAGUUCAAAGCAUGGAGGAAGGCGCUCGGCUGUGUAACCGGCAAGGGGUUCUCAUCUGCAAGGGUUGUGUUCUGGCAAUAAAACCAAGUUUUGGUCCAUCCUUUGGGGUGGCUUGGUAGGGAAGCUGCAGGAAAGCCACCAUCUCUUCGUCUUUGGAUUGUGACUCCAUCGAGCUCUAAGCUAGGGCCAUCAGCACAUUCCGUUUGGCGGUUGAGAUAAAAGAAUUCCCUAAAAAGAGGGAUAGUGGACUCCAUUUGCAUAUAGGCCUCGCAAAACACUUGAAUUAGCACAUGUUUGAUAUGGAAUUGGGAGCUAGAUCUUGAGGAUGAAGGUGGUAAAAGUGCAAGGCAUCCCGGAAGAAUUUUGACCCGGGAGGAGAAAAGCCCCGUUGGAGGUGAUCUACGAACACUACUACUUCUCCUCCGGCGGGUUGUGUCUGUUUCUCUCCAAGGGCGGCUUGCCAACCAAUCUCCUCUUUUGAUGCCAAGAGCCCUUGAUCCACGUAAUCCUUAAGUACGGUUUCUGAGACUUGCGAAGGCUCCUAGUUGCAGGUGGUGAUCUUUACCAUGAUGAAUUACUUGAAAAUGAAAGGAAGUUGCGAAAGCGCAUAUGGCGGGUUAUGCAAGUAACAACAGUUUGUUGAAGGGAAAUAUUAUGAUCAGAGGACUUGGUUAUCUACAAUGAGCGAGUCGCCGUGAGAUAAGUCGCUACUGAAAAUUGAAAGUGUACAGAUAUGGCGGGUUUCCACCAAGAUGAUGAACAACCAAAAACUUAAAGCCACCUUACAAACAGUCGGAACCUCUGGUUUUUGCUAAGUGUGGGGCAAACAGGUUUCAAACAAAGCAACUACAAUUACAGAUCUACGGAGUGAUUCGAAAAGAAAAUAUUUACUAACCCUAACAUCAGGGUAUGGAAACAGUGAUGACUUAUCGUAUGGAUUUCAAGGUGAAUCUGAAGCAUAUUCCGUGCGAAUCAGAUAUAUGGUUACCACCGCGGUUUAUCUAUGGGAAAGAAUCACUGGAACUAGGCAUGAGGUGACAAUGGCGAUGAAUGCAAAAGAACUCCGACGAACUCCUGAGAAUGGGGGAACGAUGCAAAUUACUGUGCGUCGAGGGUUUCAUCUGGUUGCGGUGGAGGUCCGAAGAAGAUUGCUGACGACGUCAACAACAUCGCCCGAAAGAUCCUGCGGCGACUAAGGUCGCUGAUGUUCUCGGGAGGUGAAGCAACAACGAAGCUCCAGGCGCGGGUGAAGAUGACGCGAGGAAGAAGAAGCGAAUAGGCACAGUGAAAAGUGAUGGGUCCCUUCGGGAGUAUUUAAAGGAUCAAAUAUUGAAGUGAAAACGGCACGUGCGGGAAACAAAUAGGUGCAGCAAACUUUGGAGCCAACGACGCCUCAAUUUUUGGACCAAUUAGUUAAGGCAAAGAUCCAUUGGGAUAUCAUGAAGAUUAGUUGGGUUGCGAGAGGUGAUGCCAGUCCUUCUAUAUGGCAGGUCGUGAAGAUAUACUCUCAACUAAAUGGUUAAAGGGAAAGUCAGACUCGCCAACCAGAAGAAUGGAAGUUUGAUAUGAACGGGUUCAAAUCAAUCUGGGGCCUAAUGUUGGGGAUAUAACCCCCGAUAUAACCAACCCGGGAGGGGCUAGGUUAGGAGGUUUGCGAUUUAACAAAUACAAACUUAAUGGGCCUGAAUACUAAGAUAACCCUGGAGGUGGAUUACUAGGCAGGCUAGGCAGCAGACCCAGAGCCAGAAGAAAGUGUGUGACUGAGAGGUGUAAGCCGUACGGAGAUGGUUUGCUCAUUAAGGCGAGGCGACUUAAAGCCAAGAUCGGUUACGAAGUGUAACCCGCAUUGGACUUUUGUAAGCCCAUGGCCUCGACCUGUGUAUAAAGGUGAGCCCCUGCGGCGACUUAGGGGGAGGGGAAAAGGGAUCGAGAACGAGAUCAUGCAGAUCUUCUCCCUUGUAAUCAAUACCAAAUCAAUACAAUACAAAGCAUGACGUAGGCUUUUACCUCCUUCUUGAGGGACCGAACCUGGGUAAACUUGUCUCUCGUUCCCGAUCAAACACUUCAAGUCACCACAUGACCGCGAUGGCCUCACACCUAAGUCCUUUUGCAAGGACAUCUGCCGUGACAAAGCCAUGACAGGUAUGUGUACAUGUGGGGGCGGACGACAAAGGGGCAUGGAGCACCCCAAGUUUUGCCAAACAACCCCAAGGAGAGGAAGCCUUUAGAUUCGUACCACUUCUUAUGUGCGUACUUUUACUACGGACUCGUUCCUCCUUUCUCUAAUUUCUUUUGCACAUUAUGGCAGCAUAUGUGUUCCAUUUUCUGGACUUUACCCCCAAUAUCGUGUCUUGCAUGGCGAUAUUAGCCCACCUGUGUGAGAACUUCGUCGGAGUUGCCCCCAAUGUCGACUUGUUCAGGAACUUCUUCCUUCCUGGAUUAAGGAUAAGUCCCACCGCUCGGGGAACAUAAGCUAGAUUCCUGGGGACAAGAAGGAGUACCUUUUUGGGCAGCUGCGUAGGAAGUGGGAGGAAUGGAGGGGCGAGUGGUGAUGGAUCAAGGAUGAAGAAGCCCCCGAGUUUUACCGGGCGCGGACUGAGUGCGUCACGCGCGACAGCGACUGGGGGAAAUCUGGCUCCUUCGACAACAAACUCCAACUGGCCUUGAACAGGAUCAUCCACCUCAAGGCUACAUGGCUGACCGUUCAACAAGUGAGGGCACACUUGCUUCGCCGCUGCAUCUCUCCUUUGGAGAAGAGAGACUAGUUCGCCUUGGAGUUCAAUGGACCCGCUGAUUGCAUGCGUCUGUAUCCUGGCCACGCCAACAACUUCACAGCUUACGGCCACGGCUUGCUGUGAGACCAAUUGUUCGGCCAUUUUGGGACACAUCGCUUGUCGGAGAAACUCACCCCACUUCAUCGCAAUUCCGCCAGGAACCAGAUUCUUAAAUGGAUGCCGGACUGCGAAGCUUUUGGCGUUAUGUCCGGCUGGGAGCUGGGUGAUACGUCCAUUUUGCAUCAUGCAUUUAUAUAGAUAUUUAUUGCAUUAUGGGAUGUUAAUACACAUUAUGGUACACUACUUAUGUCUUUUCUCUCUUAUUUUACAAGGUUUACAUGAAGAGGGAGAAUGCUGGCAGCUGGAAUUCUCGACCAGAAAAGGAGCAAAUCUGAGAGGCCUAUUCUGCACAACUCCAAAAGUCCUCAAAACUUACGGAGAAUUAUUUUGGAAUAUAUAAAAAAUACUAUGCAAAAGAGACACCUGAGGGGACCCACCAGGCAGCCACACGCCAGGGGGGCACGACCUACACCCCUGGCCGCGCCCUGCAGGCUUGUGGGCCACCUGGCAGGCCCCCAGUGCCCAUCUUCUGCUAUAUCAAGGGUUUGGACCUGGAAAAAAAAUCAGAACAGAGCUUUCGGGACGAACCGCCGCCGUCUCGAGGCGGAACUUGGGCUGAACCAAUCUAGAGCUCCGACGGAGCUAUUCCACCGAGGAAACAUUCCUCUCAGAGGGGGUAAUCGAAGCCAUCGUCAUCACCAACGAUCCUCUCAUCGAGGGGGGGGGGGUCAAUCUCCAUCAACAUCUUCACCAGCAUCAUCUCCUCUCCAAACCCUAGUUCAUCUCUUGUAUCCGAUCUUUGUCUCAAACGUCAGAUUGGUACCUGGGGGUUGCUAGUAGUGUUGAUUACUCCUUGUAGUUGAUGCUAGUUGGUCUAUUUGGUAGAAGAUUAUAUGUUCAGAUCCUUAAUGAUUAUUAAUACUCCUCUGAUUAUGAACUUGAAAAUUCUUUAUGAGUAGUUACAUUUGUUCCAUGCUAUUAUAUUAUCUGUUUUGGAUUUUUAUAUGCUGUUUUAUAUUAUUUUUGGGACUAACCUAUUAAUCUAGACCCUAGUACUCGUUUCUAUUUUUCCUUGUUUUUGGGAUUUGCACAUAAGGAACAUUAAACGGAGUCCAAACGGAAUAAAAUCUUCGGAAUGAUUUUUUCUAGAACGAAAGAGACCUGCCAGACAUGGAGAAGGGGGCAGGGCACUUGCCGGGAGGCCACAAGCAUGCAGGGCGCGACCAUGGGGGUAGGCGGCACCCCUGACUUGUGGGUCCCCUCCAGGUAUCCUAACCCUAAUCUUCGUCCUAUAAAUUCCCAAAUAUUCCCCCAAUAUCAAACGAACACCAAAAAAUACGUUUUUGCCGCCGGAAGCCUCUGUUUCCGAGAGAUCCAAUAUGGGAGCCUUUUCUGGUAAUCUGCUGGAGGGGAUUCGAUCAUGGAGGGCCUCUACAUCAACUCCAUUGCCUCUCUGAUCAUGCGUGGGUAGUUUACCACAGACCUCUAUGGGUCCAUAGCUAGUAUCUGGAUGGCUUAUUCUCUCUCUUUGUUCUUCAAUACCAUGUUCUUCAUGAUCUUCAUGAAGAUCUAUCCGAUGUAAUACUCUUUUGCGGUGUGUUUGUCAAGAUCCGAUGAAUUGUGAGUUUAUGUUCAGAUUAUCUAUGAAUAUUAUUUGUGUCUUUCCUGAAUUCUUAUAUGCAUGAUUUCNNNNNNNNNNNNNNNNNNNNNNNNNNNNNNNNNNNNNNNNNNNNNNNNNNNNNNNNNNNNNNNNNNNNNNNNNNNNNNNNNNNNNNNNNNNNNNNNNNNNUAUGCCAAGUCAUCGGACUUGUCAUAAUCUCAAGGUAUUAAUGAGGGCUAAACCAUCCGGGUUUACCCUAUAUGUCAAGUCACCGAACUUGAUCAUAUUAUUGUGAUUAUCAUGAUUAUAACAACACCUUUUUAACACCACACACACACACUUGGUUUAUGCGGAAACUCAGGACGUAGUUUAAGCAGCACCACCCAACUAUCCUUGACCAUGGACNUCCUUGACCAUGGACACAGCUAUUCGAAUAGUUUACACUCUACAGAGGUAGUACGCUGGACCCACGAGAAACGGAAUACUUCCGUUUCAUCCAUGAUUCGCGGUAUAUCACAUAUACCCGAGGUAAGUAUCCGAUCAUCAUAUUUCCCCUGACGAUACUAGACAAAGAGAUCCACUUGAUUGGUACCCAGCCCACAUGUUGUACGUCUUACGAGCACCGACUCUGGACUGUAUCAACCAUGCAGGGACCAACGGUGUGCCUGGAACUCAUAAUAAUGGCAUAGUCGUCCUACCUGGCACGACCCCAUCACGAGAGUGACACCGAUCACUCCCGCCACUAGUAAUGUGGCUCUUUGCUAGCACNNNNNNNNNNNNNNNNNNNNNNNNNNNNNNNNNNNNNNNNNNNNNNNNNNNNNNNNNNNNNNNNNNNNNNNNNNNNNNNNNNNNNNNNNNNNNNNNNNNNCAAAAGACUGGGAAGCGACCAACUAGAGAGCGACAACAGUCAUCAAGAUGCAAUGAGUUUGACUAACAUUGAAUGCAAGCAUGAACAGGAUAUAAAUCACUAUGAACACGAACAUCAUAGAGGCUAUCUUGAUUUUGUUUCAACUACAUGCAUGAACAUGCGCCAAGUCAAGCCACUUGAAACAUUCAAAGGAGAAUACCAUCCUAUCAUACUACAUCAUAGUCAUCUCAAAAUCUAUGUUGGCAAUCAAGACAAACCAUUAUAAGCUCUGAGCUAAAUAAGCAUGGCAUCCGAAACUAUGAUCUCUAAGUUGUCAUUGCCAAGAUGGUUCUCUCACAACAAAGCUAAAUCUGGGUCGACAAGCUAGUCAUAUUUACAAAAAAAAUAGAUAGAGUUCNNNNNNNNNNUUCAAGAGAAACCAUUAUAAGCUCUCAAUUAAAUAAGCAUGGCAUCAGAAACUAUGAUCUCUAAGUUGUCAUUGCAAACGUGGUUCUCUCACAAUAAAGCUAAUUCUGGGUCGACAAGCUAGUCAUAUUUACAAAAAAAAUAGAUAGAGUUCAUACUAGCUUUUCAGUCUCAGUCACUUCAUCAUAUAUCAUCAUUGUUGCCUUUCAUUUGCACGAUCGAACGAUGAAAACGAUAAUAAGCGCAUUGGACUAAGCUGAAUCUGCAGGCAAACACAAAGGAGAAGACAAAAUAAUAUGGCUCCCUGAAAGCUAAACAGGUAAGCAUGCAAGAACCAAUAAACAUUGUAACCAAUAUCUUCUACCUUGACACAAAGAAAAAGAAACUAUUUACACGGGAAAGCUCCCAACAAGCAAAAGAAGAAAGAAAAAUCUUUUUGAGUUUUCUCAAAAGAACACAAAACAAGAAAACAAGAAAAGAAACUAGCAUGGAUAAUACAGUGGCAAAGUGUAAACACCGGCUAACAAAGUGAAAGCAUAAGCAUGAGUAUAAGGUAGGUGAGAACACAUACUCCCCCAAGCUUAGGCUUUUGGCCUAGCUUGGUCUACUCCCAAGGUGGGAAAUAACCAGCUCCAGGAUACUCCGGAGCAGACUGUGGAUGCCACUGCUGUGUGAGCUCCUCUGGCUCCCACUGAUAAACUGGCGUGUGGUACUCGACUGGCGGCUCGGGCGCGGGUGCCUGUGGUUGGGCCAAGCCCCAAUAUGCGUAGAUGUCCGCGGGCAUAAUAGUGUACCUACCUGCAUGAAGAUCAAAUAAAGAAGGAGCAGGCAAAGUAAUAGUCUCUCGACUACCCUCACUAAACACCAGGUUAUAAAUCAUCCGUCUACUAGCAUCUCUAUCAGAAAAUCAUGGCGAACCAUGCUGUCAUAAUCCAGAUAUCUCUCGGGAAGAAACAUAUCUCCUUCCUCUCCCAGUCUAAUGGGUAUCUCAAAGUGUCUGGCAAGACGGGUAGCGUAGAUACCUCCAUAGACAAUACCUUUAGAACGGUUCAGGUUCAACCGUUGAGCUACUAUAGCACCCAAGCUAUAAGUCUUAUUGUUAUAAAGGCCUUCGUGCAAAACCGCAAGGUCGGGAGAACUAAGUGAUCUAGCCUCCCCACGGCCAAUCAAACAUUUUCCCACAAAUAGUGAGAAGUACUGAAGCACAGGAAAAUGUAUGCUUGCAAUUCUAGCGCGAGACACUCCUCUCUCCUCUCCAACAGCAAUAGAACCAAUGAAAUCCUCCAAGUCCCGUGGACGAGGGUCACGGAUAUCCCCAAUAUAAGGUAAUUUGCAUACAUUGUAAAAAUCCUGCAGCGUCAUGCACUGGGGAACAUCGUAUAUCAUGAACUCAACCAUGGGAGGAUUCUUCCUCGGAUAANNNNNNNNNNNNNNNNNNNNNNNNNNNNNNNNNNNNNNNNNNNNNNNNNNNNNNNNNNNNNNNNNNNNNNNNNNNNNNNNNNNNNNNNNNNNNNNNNNNNGGAUCACUCAGUUCUCCAGACCUUGCGGUUUUGCACGAAGGCCUUUAUAACGAUAAGACUUAUAGCUUGGGCGCUAUAGUAGCUCAACGGUUGAACCUGAACCGUUCUAAAGGUGUUGUCUAUGGAGGUAUCUAUGCCACCCGUCUUGCCAGACACUUUGAGAUACCCAUUAGACUAGGAGAGGAAGGAGAGAUGCUUCUCCCUGAGAGAUAUCCGGAUUAUGAAAGCAUGGUUCGCCAUGAUUUUUCUGGAUAGAGAUGCUAGUAGACGGAUGAUUUAUAACCUAGUGUUUAGUCAGGGUACUCGAGAGACUAUUACUUUGCCUGCUCCUUCUUUGUUUGAUCUUCAUGCAGGCAGGUACACUAUUAUGCCCGCGGACAUCUACGCAUAUUGGGGCUUAGCCCAACCACAGGCGCCCGUGCCUGAGCCGACAGUCGAGUACCAAACUCUAGUUUAUCAGUGGGAGUCAGAGGAGCUCACACAGCAGUGGCAUCCACAGUCUGCUCCAGAGUAUCCUGGAGCUGGUUAUUUCCCACCAUGGGAGUAGACCAAGCUAGGCCAAAAGCCUAAGCUUGGGGGAGUACGUGUUCUCACCGACUUUAUAUUCAUGCUUAUGCUUUCACUUUGUUAGCUGGUGUUCACACUUUGCCACUGUAUUAUCCAUGCUAGUUUCUUUUUGUUUUCUUGUUUUCUUGUUUUGUGUCCUUUUGAGAAAGCCCAAAAAGAUUUUCUUUCUUCUUUUGCUUGUUGGGAGCUUUCCCGUAUAAAUAGUUUUCUUUUUCUUUGUGUCAAGGUAGAAGAUAUUGGUUACAAUGCUUGAUGGUUCUUACAUGCUUACCUGUUUAGCUUUCAAAGAGCAAUAUUACUUUGUCUUCUCCUUUGUGUUUGCCUGCAGAUUCAGCUUAGUCCAAUGCNNNNNNNNNNNNNNNNNNNNNNNNNNNNNNNNNNNNNNNNNNNNNNNNNNNNNNNNNNNNNNNNNNNNNNNNNNNNNNNNNNNNNNNNNNNNNNNNNNNNAAACUUGUCCAUCAAUGUCCCACUCAUUAGGUGUGUCCAAGUCCAACAAAAGUCUCGAAUGAUUAGGUAUAGAGCCGAGCUUUGCGACUUGUGAAUUUUUGGCAACAUGGCCUUGACCGUGACCAGAGGGCGGCAAAGUUCACACAAGAGAUGUCUGAACGAAUUUGACUUAUUCCAACAUGUUAAUUUUCUUGGUGGCCGUCCAAGUUGCCACUCGCAAGGAUUCUCACAUAUGCGUACCCACGUGCUUAAGCGUUCUUUUUUUUUCAUGUUAUUUAUUACGAUUGUUUUUUUCCGGGUAAUUGCUAUCGUUAUCAGCCAUGCAUCAGAUGCUUAAUUAUGCGUUUAGCCGUCAGAACCACUCAAGGGCUAAAGUCUGCUACACUUGCUGCAAUACGGGCGCCGAGGUGUAAAUUGCAGCAAAAAAUAAAAAAAUAAAAAAAUAAAAAUUGCAGCAUGUAUGCGUACGCAUAUCAAUAGCCAAUGCACACACAUGUGCAUGUUUCGAGCCAAGUAUGCCCGCAUACACAUAUCAGCAGGCAGUGUACGGGCACAUGCAUAUUCAAAGAUUGUAAUAUUCCUGAAGAUUNNNNNNNNNNNNNNNNNNNNNNNNNNNNNNNNNNNNNNNNNNNNNNNNNNNNNNNNNNNNNNNNNNNNNNNNNNNNNNNNNNNNNNNNNNNNNNNNNNNNCUGGACUGACGCUGUUUUCAACAGAAUUGCCUUGGUGUUAGUUUUGUGCAGAAAUCAAAGUUCUCCAAACAUCCUGAAAAUUUACGGGGAGCAGUUUUGGAAAAUAUCAAAAAUACCUACGCCAGGAUCCACCUCAGGGGGUGGGCCAGUGGGCCACAAGCCCCUGCUCCGCCACCACCCCCCUCGUGGCGGUGGGCAGGCUUGUGGGGCCUACAGGCACCUGCCACCCCCAACUCCAGCUCUAUAAGUUGUCUUUCGUCCCAGAAAAAAUAAAAAGAGAAGUUUUCGUCGCGUUUUCGAUACGGAGGCGCCGCCACCACCUGCUCUUCAUCUGGAGGGCAGAUCUGGAGUCUGUCUUGGGCUCCGGAGAGGGGAAAUCUUCGCCAUCGUCAUCAUCAACCUUCUUCCCUCUCCAAUUCCAUGAAGCUCUUCAUCGUUCGUGAGUAAUCUAUUCGUAGGCUCGCUGGGCGGUGAUGAGUAGGAUGAGAUCUAUCAUGUAAUCGAGUUAGUUUUGAUGGUGAUUGAUCCCUAGUAUCCACUAUGUUCUGAGAUUUGAUGUUGCUACUACUUUGCCAUGCUUAAUGCUUGUCACUAAGGCCCGAGUACCAUGAUUUCAGCUCUGAAAUUAUCAUGUUGCCACCAAUUUAUGUGUGUUUUAGAUCCGAUNNNNNNNNNNNNNNNNNNNNNNNNNNNNNNNNNNNNNNNNNNNNNNNNNNNNNNNNNNNNNNNNNNNNNNNNNNNNNNNNNNNNNNNNNNNNNNNNNNNNUGGCACCACCGUCCCCAAACUCAGCUCUAUAUCUUCCGUCUGGCCCGGAAAAAAAAUCAGAGAGAAGGUUUCAUCGCGUUUUAUGAUACGGAGGCACCGCCACGUCCUAUUCUUCAUCUGGAGGGCAGAUCUGGAGUCCGUUUUGGGCUCCGGAAAGGGGAAAUCGUCGCCAUCGUCAUCAUCAACCUUCCUCCAUCGACAAUUCCAUGAUGCUCUUCAUCGUUCGUGAGUAAUCUCACCAUAGGAUUGCUGGACGGUGAUGAGUUGGAUGAGAUCUAUCAUGUAAUCGAGUUAGUUUUUGACGAGGAUUGAUCCCUAGUAUCCACUAUGUUCUAGAUUGAUGUUGCUACUACUUGGCUAUGCUUAAUGCUUGUCACUGGGGCCUGAGUGCCAUGAUUUCAGAUCUGAACCUAUUAUGUUGUCGCCAAUAUAUGUGUGUUUUAGAUCCUAUCUUGCAAGUUGUAGUCACCUACUAUGUGUUAUGACCCGGUGACGUCAGUUGUGCUUCCCUGGCAGUGGCUCCAGAAAAGUGUUGAUCCUGCAAUCUCUAGUGUUAGCUAGAUGAAUGCUUAUAACAACUAACCUUCUCCUGCAACGGCACCAGAAGAAUGCUGAUAGCACUCCCAAGUAAUGAGACUAGAAGAAUGUUGUUGAUGGCUCACCAGCGCGUGGGUUCGCAACAGUUUUCGAGGGUAGAGUAUUCGACCCAAUUUGUAGAUAAGCCAGUCAGGAGGUGAGAGUAUACUCUCGAGUAUUAGCAGCUGAAUUUGUCAGAUUCAACCACACCUGAAAGAUUAGUAUCUGCAAGCAUAGUAGUAACAGCAAAGUAACGAGUAACGGCAGUGUAACAAGCAAUAGAAGUGGCAAGGAACAACAGUAGUGACAGCAGUAGCAAGUAGCAACAGUAGCAAGCGAUAGUAGUAGCAACAGUAGCAGCAUAGCAAGACAAGUAACAGCAGUAGCAACAGUAGUAGCAGCAGCAGAGCAAGACAAGUAACAGCAGUAGNNNNNNNNNNCAGUAGUAACAGCAAAGUAACGAGUAACGGCAGUGUAACGAGCAAUAGCAGUGGCAAGGAACAGUAGUAGUGACAGAAGUAGCAAGUAGCAACAGUAGCAAGCGACAGUAGUAGCAACAGUAGCAGCAGAGCAAGAGAAGUAACAACUGUAGCAACAGUAGUAGCAGCAGCAGAGCAAGACAAGUAACAGCAGUAGCAAUAGUCGUAGCAGCAGAGCAAGACAAGUAACAGCAGUAGCAACAGUAGUAGCAGCAGGAGGACAAACUCGUAGGCAAUGGGUCGGUGAUUUGUUUGGAAGCAACAGUAGUACAAACUCAUAGGCAAUGGGUCGGUGAUUUGCUUGGAUGGUAUUCAUCAUGCAACAGCUAUAACACGGAGAGAUAUGUGGCUAGCUCCCGUUCAUCAAUGUGAUGUAGGCAUGCAUUCCGUGUGUCGUCAUACGUGCUUAGGGAAAAGAACUUGCAUGACAUCUAUUGUUCAUCCCUCCCGUGGCAGCGGGGUCCAAAAGGAAACUAUGGGAUAUUAAGGUUCUCCUUUUAAUAAAGAACCGGACCAACACAUUAGCACUUGGUGAACACAUGAACUCCUCAAACUAUGGUCAUCACCGGGAGUGGUUCCGGUUAUUGUCACUCUGGGGUUGCCGGAUCAUAACACAUAGUAGGUAACUACAACUUGCAAGAUCGGAUCUAAAACACACAUAAAUUGGUGGCAACAUGAUAAUUUCAGAUCUGAAAUCAUGGCACUCUGGCCCUAGUGACAAGCAUUAAGCAUGGCAAAGUAGUAGCAACAUCAAAUCUCAUAACAUAGCGGAUACUAGGGAUCAAUCCCCAUCAAAACUAACUCGAUUACAUGAUAGAUCUCAUCCUACUCAUCACNNNNNNNNNNNNNNNNNNNNNNNNNNNNNNNNNNNNNNNNNNNNNNNNNNNNNNNNNNNNNNNNNNNNNNNNNNNNNNNNNNNNNNNNNNNNNNNNNNNNNNNNNNNNNNNNNNNNNNNNNNNNNNNNNNNNNNNNNNNNNNNNNNNNNNNNNNNNNNNNNNNNNNNNNNNNNNNNNNNCGAUUUCCCCUCUCUGGAGCCCAAGACGAACUCCAGAUCUGCCCUCCAGGAUAAGAACAGGUGGUGGCGGCCCCUCCAUAUCGAAAACGCGACGAAAAUUUCUCUUUUUAUUUUUUCUGGGACGAAAGACAACUUAUAGAGCUGGAGNNNNNNNNNNNNNNNNNNNNNNNNNNNNNNNNNNNNNNNNNNNNNNNNNNNNNNNNNNNNNNNNNNNNNNNNNNNNNNNNNNNNNNNNNNNNNNNNNNNNUACAUACAUNNNNNNNNNNCUAAUUAAUUAAUUAUUAUAUCUAAUUAUUUACUUAUUUAAUAAAAACAUAUAUCUUUAUUAUUAUUAUUUUCUUAACAACGGUUGUGGGGCCUCCCUGUCAUUGGGAGUGGGGGGUUUGGCCCCACGUGGUAAUGGCCAAAUGGCCACACACACAACUCUCGUACACACGUUUUAUACACACACAUACACCAUAUACAUACAUAAUACAUACAUCCAUUCAUACAUAUACAUACAUACAUAAUAUAUACAUGCAUCUAAUACAUACAUAUCUCAUCCCUCUUUUCUAACAGCUCUCUGUACAACUCUCACAGCUCCUCUGUGUUAACAGAAGAGACAACACAGAGUUCUCUCUGCUAACUCAACAUAGAAGAACAAAAUCUUCAAUCCUUCCUACCGGUCUCUACCGGCAACGGAUCGAAGCCCCGUUUGCCGGAACGGAACCGGGACGGCGAGGAGAACAAGAUGGUGGGAGGAGCCCGAGGAGGGGCUCACCGACGUUGACGAGAGGGCCCGGUGAAACCCGAGUUCUCGCGAGGCGGAGGUGACGUCGAGGAGGAAGACGAUGCGGUGACGGUGAUGACGAUGGUGACACGGUUCCGAUGAAGACGGUCACCGGAGAGACCUCUCGGAGGUGGUCAAUCGGCAUGACGGGGAGGAGGGCUGCUCGUGGGGGAGGGGCUCGGUCGUGAGGUGUUCCUCCCGUGGGCGGCUGCGUCGGUGGGAAGUGGGGGGGGGCAGGGGAUCGGGCCAGGGGUGCCGAUCUGGUGGAGGGAGGCCGAUCUGGAGCUCGUGGGAGGACGAGGAGGAAGGGGGAGGCCCCGGUGGCGAGGGGGUGACGGUGCAGGGCGGGGCUGGGGGCCUCGCGACGGUGGCCUGCACCGGCCGGUGGUGCACGAGGCUGAGGCGGCGGUGGCCCGUGAACGUGUGGGAGACGGGGCUAGGGGUGGCGGCGAUCUAGGUGUGGGGUAGGUAGCGAGGGAGUGGGAAGGGGAUCGAGCCCAGGGGGACUCGGUGGGGGGUGUGGUUGGUGUCGUGGGGAUUUGUGGGGCUCGGGAGGCAGGUNNNNNNNNNNGGAGGGUGAGGCGGCGGUGGCCCGUGCAUGUGUGGGCGAUGGGGCCAGGGGUGGCGGCGAUCUAGGUGUGGGGGUAGGUAGCGAGGGAGUGGGAAGGGGAUCGAGCCCAGGGGACUCGGUGGGGGUGUGGUUGGUGUCGUGGGGAUUUGUGGGGCUCGGGAGGCAGGUGCUCUCGUGGGGUUUGGCCUCGGGGGAGAGAGAGAUGUCGGUGGGGAUGGGGCCCCCCACGAGGGCUGGUGGCGACCGAGGCGAGAGCCGGUGGCGGUGGAUGAGGGGGAAACAGGAGAGCGGGGGGAGAGCCAGGGUCUCGCGAGGGGGAGCGCUAGGGUUCCCAGCGCGGCGGCUGGAGGCCUGGCCGGCUGGGCCACUAGGCCGAGUUGGGCCACGGGGUGGGGGGUCUUUCCUUUUUUUAAUAUUUUUUAUUAAUUAUAAUCCUUUUUAUUAUUCUAUUUUAUUUACUUUCUUUCAUAAUUUAUAAUUUAUAAUUUUAAUCCUUUCUUUUGUUUAUUUAUUUUCAUUUACUAUAUUUCUUUNNNNNNNNNNAAUAUUUUUUAUUAAUUAUAAUCCUUUUUAUUAUUCUAUUUUUAUUUACUUUCUUUCAUAAUUUAUAAUUUAUACUUUUAAUCCUUUCUUUUGUUUAUUUAUUUUCAUUUACUAUAUUUCUUUACUUAUUUUGUUAAAGCUCCUUUCUUAAUAUAUUGGGAUCAUCAAAGAUUCCAAAAGUACUCGACUUGAUAUUAUAAUCCGUUAGGGAAUCUUUAUAACUCCCCGACGUUGUUAUCUCAACAACAUAAAAUCUUUUCACGUUUGACUUAAUCUCGAAGCUUCGAAUUUUGAUUCGGUUUCAANNNNNNNNNNNNNNNNNNNNNNNNNNNNNNNNNNNNNNNNNNNNNNNNNNNNNNNNNNNNNNNNNNNNNNNNNNNNNNNNNNNNNNNNNNNNNNNNNNNNGCGAGAGUAGAAUAGGGGUAAAACAUUAAUAGUCAUAUUGUUGCAGCAAUAUUAAAGUGAGGUCACACCUAAAGAUCCUCCCUCGACUCCCUGCGAGGAAGCAAUCCCGAGGAAAACUAAUUCCAAAUAAGUAACAAUUGUAGUUGUAUAAGAUCGGGGCACAACUCCAAGUCGUCCUGUAACCGUGGACACGGCUAUCCGAAUAGUUAAUUUUCAUCCCUGCAGGGGUGCACCACAUGUCCCGUCACGCUCGAUAACACUCUGGCCGGACAUACUUUUCUGGGUCCUACCCGGACUCGGAAUAUCGACACGUCGCAGCCCCACCUAAGACUAAUCAGAGAGGUCAGCCCGCCGGUCUAAAUCCUAAGCGCAAAGGGUUCAUGGGCCCAGUGCCCCUCCGCGCUCCUGCACGAUGCGAGGGUGGCCGACGUCAGUCCUAGCAUCCCUUAAUCACAAGCGCAAUGCAUCUCGGGACCACUCGGGCGUGCGCCACUACGAUUGCUGACAUCUGAAAAGCUUCGGCUGAUACCGCGGCGCCGAGUACCCAUAAUUCUUCCCGCGUAGCCGGUUAGUGCGAAAAGGUCUCCGACGAACCCAGAUCAAAUACCCAAAUCCAUUAACAUUUUAAUUAGGCCAGCAACAUAGUCUCACGGGAAUCCACCCGUUUUACAACUAAUCACCAAAGAUCCCAGUAACAUGGUCGAGUAACUGUGUGGUUGUAACAUCGGGGGGAAUCCGAGGUAUCACCCUCGUUGGAUUCCAAACGAUGUACCUGUCAAGGUGGUCUUAGAGGAAUCACCCUCGGGGGUCCCACACUUGAGGGGUUGCACGACNNNNNNNNNNUAAAGAGGAAUCACCCUCGAUAACCACGAUCGACUAGCUAUACUACAGAGGUAUCAUCAAGAGUACUUAGCGAGGUGUCACCCUCGGUACUCGAUAGUAUCUGUGUAGCCUCGUACAACGAAGGGGGUGUAUGUGCUGUGUCGGGUCUGGCUCGUCGAUCAAAGAUCAAGAUUUGAAAACAAGCGGGGCAACUGAACUACGGGGUCAGAGGGAUGACUGCUCCACCUAUACUAAGCAGAUUUAAAGUACAAGACUGAAAGUAGCAGUUCAUCAAAAAUAGGCUAUGCAUCAGACAUAGGAGCUAAGUACAAGAGUAGCAAAAUACUAAUGCAAGCAGUAGGAAGAAAGACAUAGGCGAUAUAGGAAUGAUCAAGGGGGGUUUGCUUGCCUUGCUGCUCUGCGGCAAAGGACUGAUCGGCACGGUCGUAGAUGUACCCGACAGCAGCGUCAGUCUCGGGGUCUACCGGUAAGAAGAGGGGGAAGAAACAAUAAAUAAUAGAAACGGUGCAACACAAAGCAUGACAUGGCAAGAUGCAGGCUAGACAUGAGCUAAUGCAGCAACAUCCAUCAUAGACGGGUCGGACGAAUAUCUGACGAUAUUUUCCGGGUCUGGGGCUACUACGGGUCAGACUGGAAACGAUGGAAAUGUUCCAUGUUUGCUAUGCUAGGGANNNNNNNNNNNNNNNNNNNNNNNNNNNNNNNNNNNNNNNNNNNNNNNNNNNNNNNNNNNNNNNNNNNNNNNNNNNNNNNNNNNNNNNNNNNNNNNNNNNNUAAAUCCAGGUUAUUAUUUUGAAAAAUGUUCCCUACUGUUUUAUUAGCUAAGCAUAUUUAUUUAAAAGCAAACAGAAGCAAACAAGUGCUUUUUAAUAUCGUUUUAUUAUACCAAAAUAGUUUCUGUUAUUGAUAAAUGUCAACUAUUACAGAAUCAAAUACUACUCAUUUUUAGAAAAAUACUGGUGGAAGAAUUAUAUUUUUCUACUAGCUAAAUCUUUUUAUAAAAAUCAUUUAGUUUGCUGGAUUAAAACAAAAGAAAAAGGCCAGGGAAACAGAUCCAGCCGGCCCAGCCAGCAGGCCUGGCCACCAGGCGCGCGUGGGCCAGGUUCAAACCUGACCUGCGGGCCCCUGGGGUCAGCGUCAGCGGCUGCGCGCGCUGGCUGCCCCAGGACACCGCCAGGUGGGCUCCACCUGUCGGGUCCUUCUCCUACCUCUGGCCAGAGAGGUGGAGAUGGACACCGGCGAGGAUGCCGUUGUCCUCAGGCCUAGCUAGGAACGGGAACGGGUUCCUCGUGCCUCCGCCUACCUGCUCGUGGUCGGGACGUCACCGGAGGUGGUCUGGGUCGCCGGCGACGAGGUGCUCGUGGCGAAAGGGUUUCGGGUUCGAGUUGAACUAGGAGCUAGAGGUAUGGAUUUGCUCGGGAGAGUUAGGGGAAAUGUUCCUGGUGCGAGGGGAGUGUAAUGAGAGGUCGGGCAGCGCAGGAGCCGACGUGUUGCCGGAGAUCGACCGGAGCUCCGAGGCGGAGGGGCCUCGGUCGAUCUCGAGCACCGGGGCUCUGCGAGCUCGAUUGGGCGGCUAGGGAGUGUCUACUGGUUGUGCUGAAGCUGCUUGGAGGGUGCUGGAGAGCCGGGGGGGUCUAUUUAUAGGCCAACGACGGUGACCCGACUCGGGCACGCCGGUGACUCACCGUGGCACGCGUGCAAGCACAGUGAGGUGCUGGCCGCGAAAACACGGGUUCGGGACGUGGUUUAGGGCCUCCUAAUGCAACUGCCGCAGAGGGAAAGUGAGUGGGGACGAGCUGCAGCGACCGUGCAUGCNNNNNNNNNNCCGCCGGCGAGGCUGCCGUUGUCCUCAGGCCUAGCUAGGAACGGGAACGGUUCCUCGUGCCUCCGCCUACCUGCUCGUGGUCGGUACGUCACCAGAGGUGGUCUGGGUCGCCGGCAACGAGGUGCUCGUGGCGGAAGGGUUUCGGGUUCAAGUUGAACUAGGGGCUAGAGGUAUGGAUUUGCUCGGGAGAGUUAGGGGAAAUGUUCCUGGUNNNNNNNNNNUCACUGAGGGGCUGUCGGGGGAGUGCUUGGACACUACUGGGGAGGCUGACCGGCCGGAGCAUCGGCCCCUUGCGGGUGGCUCUCUGCAGCGCGCCCAGAGCACAGUUUUGGCAUGCCACGGCAUGCUGGCUCGCUCUGGGGCACUUGGGACGUGUCCUCCAUGUCCUGAGUGUUGCUGGGAGUGUGCCUAGCCGUUGUGGUUUCACUACAAGAAAUAUGGUCGAUAAUGACCCACCAUUUUGGUCAAAAAAUCGUCAUUGGUAUCAUAUUAUGACCUUUUUUGACCAAAUUCAGAGGGUCAACAGUUGGCCGUCAAGAACAAACAAACAUGACCUUUUUAAUGCUUUGGUGAAGUAUUCUUUGACCAAAACAAUUAGGUCAUAAAAUAUUUGACCAAAUUUUUUGGUCAUUACAUGUGUACGUGAGCCACGCAGGAUCUGACAUGGCAUAAACCACGUGGCUAAGGUGAUGACAUGGCAGAUCAACAAUGACUGAAAANNNNNNNNNNNNNNNNNNNNNNNNNNNNNNNNNNNNNNNNNNNNNNNNNNNNNNNNNNNNNNNNNNNNNNNNNNNNNNNNNNNNNNNNNNNNNNNNNNNNGCGCGUGGCAGAGGUGGGGGGCGCGACGGCAUGCGGGCGUAGGACGUGCAAUAGCUGCAGAGUAGUGAAGGUAACAUUGGACUGGCGAUGCGGCUAGUGGCAGCAGGCGGCUCGGCGUCGCGGUGGGCGGAGCUCCACGGCGAGAGCUCGCCAAAUCGGGAGGGGACACCGAAGCGACGCGGCGCCGAGUGAGGGCCGGUGCGGCCGGGCUGGUAAGGGUGCGCACGGGAGGGGAAAGGGGAAGCGGGGUGGCGCUCACAGGGGGGCGGCGAGGUAGCACCGGUGUGGUAGGGCGUCGGGGACGGCGAGCGGUGGGGCAGGGUCAGGACGGCGAGGGAGCAACGCCGGAGCAGCGUGGGGCUUGGGUUGAAGGAGGGGAGGGUGCAGGAGAGAGCGCCGUCGCGGGGGUGGGGGCUGGGGAGGACCGGUGAGGGAGCGUCGUCGGGGCGGCACCGGCCGGCGCCGGUGAGGUGUCGGGGUCGGGGCGGCUCCCCGAUCCAGAUCAAGAGGAGGGGGAGGAUGGAGUGACAUGGGUGGAGGGGGAAAUGGGGUGACAGAGUGGGG
rnacentral:lncRNA from 1 species